GGCGAACAACACAGAGGAAUAUCCUGGAAUAACAUUCCCACCACUGUUGAUAAGAACCACAGAUUUGACCAAAGCAGGCCAGAGACGAGCGACAAUUGCAAUAAUAUAACAUGGAGACAGAAAAUCGUAACAAAUAACAAUAAGAUACACAACAGAUAUGCACACUGGAGAAUAAAAGCUAAAAAUUAAAGCAGAUAAGCCACCAGAACUGGUUAGGUAAGUUGUAAGACAUUGUUUAGGUAAGUUGAUCAUCUCGUUUCUAGUUUAAAACAUACCACCAAUUGAGUUCCCAACCAGAUGUGCUGGUUCACCCACAACUUCAAUAAUGAAAUCUCUAAGCAUUUCAGCCCACAUGAGUUCAGUGUAUUCAAUAUUUGGCUUUUCCGAUUUGCCAAAUCCUAAUAGUGUGAUGGCCCAUACUCGAUUUCCACCUUCAGCAAUGGCGCGUAUGUUGUCACGGUAAUGCUCCAAGAAGGCUCCAAAACCAUGAACCAGAAGAGUAGCAGGACCUUCUUCACCCACAACUGUAUACUGACAAAAGGAUAGUAGUAUCGUAGUGAAAGAGUAGGUACCCCAAUCUACAACAUAAAGCUAGCCAAGUAUUUAUCCAGAUUACAAGGCACAGAAUAUCUUUGAAAUAGAAAAGAAUUAGAUAGCCUUUCCAUCUCCAGAUACGAAUACAAAAUCUUCUGUCAUCACUUAACUGACUUUUUAGAGCGAGAAGCAAAUACCACUGUCACAAAACAUAACUCAGUUGCUUACAAAUAUGUUAUGCAAUACAUAAUGUUUUUUUGCAAACAAAGCAACUUAGGUAAGUCUCCGAAAAGCCACUUCAAUCAAAACAUAAAUACAAUUUUCGCAUAACUGGUACAGCACCUCCAUUGAGCACACCGAAUCAACAGUUGCGGCAAUUGUAGCGGAUGAAUAUCCAAAAGGAGAUAGAAAUCCAGAAUCUCGUUCUUUCUUAUACUUGAGAGCUUCAAAAUAUACUCUUCUUCUGGAUAGGAUAAAAGAAAAAAGGCAGGACCAAAGAGUAGUAAAUGAAGCUCCAUCCCGACUUUCAGCACAGGGCAUCUGUUCAUGUAUUCUGCAACAAGAUUAUCCCAAAAGAACCUUUUAGUUAAUGCAGGAAUGAAGUGGAAAGGAAUAUCUGAUCAUUAAGUUUUUUUUACGGUAAAAUAUGACCACGUACUCCCACCAGUAGUGAUCACGUUCUGUUCCCUCCAAAUAUCUCAAGUAUGCACCCAAAGCUUUCAAUGCUUUACUCGUCCCCCCUCCCAGAGAAUUUCCCUUUGUAGUGACAAACAUAGAAUUCUCGCGCUUCUUUGAUGGGACCUGGACAUGUCUAGAACUCGAAUUGUUUAGAUUUCUUUGCCCAGGCUUCAAAAUUUCCUUCAUCAAAAUCAUUUCAGCGCACAUCUCUUUCAUUGAAUUCCAACUCUCUUCCAUUUUGCAUGGAUUUUCUUUGAUAAAUUGUUUCAAAUCAUUAAAUGUGGGGAUGGGACCUGAAUCAUAGUAAAGCGAUUAUGGUCACUACUACUUGCAAGAUAUAUCUUCGACAAAUUUAGUAACGAAACAAAUCAAGUAGAAGUAUAAGCAGAAGCAUUAACAAUAUGGGAACUCUUACCCCAAUCCACUUCCAUGUUUCGACCAGUUAAUGUUGCGGAAGACAGUGGCAAAGUUACUGGCAAUCUAAGUUUGGUAAAUUCAUCGUAUGAAUCUGGAAUACCCUUCAAGCUCUACAUAAUCACACACUCAUCCAAUCAAUUGCUCGAUAGUAACUAAGUGAAUCACCAACCAGCACCUCAAAAACAAAUAAACAAACCAAUCAAGACAACGACAACUACCUUCACAUCAUAAAACGGAGACUGCCACAGCACAAACUUGGGGGAAGACCGCAUUGCCGCCAAGGUGUCCCUGACACUAUCAGUCAUAUUCCUUAAGCCAUACUCCACCUCCUCCUCGGCAUAUACCGUACUAAAAAACUGAACCAGUUGCAAUCCUCUCCAAUGAUGAGUGGUUCAACUACUCUCAUACAAUAUAGAAACCUACCCACAGCUUGGAUACUGAUGUGGCGGAAUUCCAAUCCAAUCCUGCAUUUCACUACUACAAAAUUAACUAUAACUGGCGGUUCAAAAAUCGACAAAAAACGUAUAUUACUGUCGGAUUUUAAGCAAAAUCAGACACAAUAUGGAUGCAGUGACGGAUAUAAUAAGCGACAGAAUUGCCAGCGUCAGGAAAUGAAUUUUCCGACAGAAACUAAUCUAAAACCGACAGAAAUUGUGUCGGAUAUAACCGACAGAGAAUAAAUUAAUAAUGAAUAAAUAAUAGCAUUUUCUGUCGGAUAAAACCGACAGAAAAUAUACAAAACCGACAGAACUUGUGUCGGUUAUAACCGACAGGAAAUAUAUUAAUAAUAAAAAAGACCAUUUUCUGUCGGAUAAACCGACAGAACAUAUAAAAACCGACAGAACUGGGAAUAUAUUAAUGAUAAAUAAGACCAUUUUCUGUCGGAUAAAACCGACAGCAGGGUGAUUAAUAAUAAAAAAAAAUAUAAAAAGGACAUGACAGCAUUAUCCCUUCUCCUUCUCCUUCUGGUUGAGCAUUCUUCUUCUGCUCGAAAUGACCCAACAUGCUUGAACCAGAUUCUGCAGCUAAUGAGCAAACCAGAUUGAGCUAAUAAGGUACACCAUAUUCUUCACUUCUUAUAGUUCAUCCUGAAAAUACAAAGCAAUGAGGAUCAAAUUGGUUGACCAUCUCCGGCCACUGAUUGAUGAAAUGGCGAAGAGUAUGAUUUGGGACUUCAACUACAAAAUAUGUUGUCCUAUUGACUAAACAACCAUGAAAAUUCCCAUUUACAUUUUACCAUAGAAAAACAACUCCUCAAGUAAAGUUAAUUCCACCUACUUUAGUUUUUCAAGCCAUAUAAAUCACAAAGUUGAAUUUGAACUACGUGAAAGAAUGAAAGUACCUGCACUGGCUUUCUCCUCAACACCUGAAAUGCUUCUGCUCUCAUCGACAAAAAUCUAAGAAAUUUUUUAGUGAGUAUAUUUUCAAGCUCAUCUGCAUGCUUUACAUAUACAAGAGAGAACGCACAAAAAAAUGAGAUAAGGGAAAAAAUAUGGGAUAUUGAUUUCAAUUCUAUGAAUCUAUAUACAACAACAAAUCUUGCAGGUGAGAAUUGCACCAUGAGAGAUUACCUGAGGAAAGCCACACUGAUUGGGCAUUUGAACAGAUGGGGAAAGUCAUGCCAAAUUGAGUACAAGUGCCUAACAAAUUCACAGAAACAAAAAAAACACAUCCAAUUUUUAACUAUAGGAUCAAACUCGAAUUCAGUUCAGAAACCUAACAGAUACAUUGAAUUCCAACCAGGCUUCAUCAUUUACAUAUUAUCACAAGAUUAACAUAAAACUUCACUAAAAUUUACAAGAAAUUAAUAAAAUAUGAGAGAUAAGUUCACUUCAUUUGUAUUGCAAUUAAUACCAAAACCACCAUGAAUUCACAAUUAACAGUACCUGUAAUGACGGAAGCCCACUCGUCACGAAACUUAAACCUGGAACUCCGAAGCACCUUCCUACAAGAAUUCAGAAUCUGAUUCUGAACACCCAAAUCAAGCAAUCGGAGCCCCGCCCUAGCCAUAAGCCUAAUCUCCAUUUCCGCCCAGAGAUCUUUCGGAACCCUCCCCUUCCCAAACUCCAGGAGCUCCCUCAAUGACCCGCCUGCCGAUUCUGGAUCCUCUGCGUACGCUGAGAGCCCAGGAUUGACCCGCAUCGAUGUCAACCCGUCCUUUCCAAAAUCAAACACGGCGCCAUUACCGCCAUCGGCUCCGUACCCGAAACAAGCUCGGAUCUUUGAAGCGAAACGAAGACGAUGAGUGGGUUCCCAAAAAGACCACCACCUAGCUUCAAACUUAACGACAUUCGCCGGAAUUCGUCGCUGUGAUGACAUGCAUGCACAGAUUCAAAGCAGAGAUUAAACCCCAGAGAUUUUCGACAUAAUACUCAUCACAAAUGGAUUAGAACCCACACAAUCAAGAGGGGAAAAUAACUCAUACCUGAGAUGGAGUUCGAGAUAGCUGAAGCUCUCAGUGUUAAUGGCAAAGCACACGGUGAUGCAUCGAUGAUACAUGCAACGCUGCAGGUUGAUUCCCCAUGUCCCAAGGGUUCGAUGUUCAGAUUUUUUAGGGUUGAUUUGGUCAUAAUUGAAAGGAAUGGUGGGGGUUCCUUCUCAGAGCUUAGAGAGAGGGAGAGUGCCGAGAGUUAGAGUUAGGUUUCAGAAAAAUGAAGGAGAUGAGUGAGGGCUGGAUGUGGGUAUAAAAAAAAAUUCAUUACUGUCGGUUAAAAUCGACAAAAACAUUUUUUAAAAUAUAAACCGACGGAAAAUUUUCAUUCCUGUCGGUUUUAACCGACAGUACAAAAAAUGGCAGCAAUAUUACCCCAAAAUUCCCUCUCAAAAUUUUAAAUUCCCUCCCAAAAUUUUAAAUUCCCCCCAAAAUUUUGUUACUAUUUUAAAAUAAAAUAAUAAUUGUUUGGUUUAAUAAAUAAAUAAAAAAAUGUAUUUAAGUAGAAUAAGUUUUUAAAAAUUAAAUAAAUCAUUGUUUUUUUUUCGUCGAAAAUAAAUAAUUGUUUGGUUUAAUAUAUAACUAUUAACUACAUCUUGUAAACUUUUUUUUUUGUCAUGUUCAUUGUUAAUUUGGAUAAUCCAAUUAAAAUAUUCCAAAAAAAAUUGAACAUUUUGCUGUUAUUUACUAAUUGUGUGUAUCUUUUACACGUUUUUUAUAUUUUGCCAUGUUCUUUGUUAUAUUUUGCCAUGAUUAUAAACAUACAUACUAUUUUGUUUUGUCUAAUAUAUAUAUAUAUAUAUAUAUAUAUAUACUGACAUACUACAAAAUGUAUAAUAAUUCUACAUAAAAUAUUUACCAAAUAUUAUUGAAUUACAUAUACAGAAGCACAAAGAUUGAUGUACAAAUAUCCGAAACUUAGAAAUUUUAAAUUAUGAUGAUGAUCUGAAAAUUUCAAAAAAAAAAUUUGCAACCGAAAAUCCAAAAUUUUCAAUCUGAAAGAUAAGUUAGUUUCAAAAUGUUUUAAAUUAAAAAUAAAAUAAAAAAAAACCUUAGUUAUUACGGAAUCUGUUUGGAAAUCACCCUACUGUUGCCAUACAACAACAACAAAAUGAAAUCUUAUCUUACUAAAAUUAAUCAAUUAUAUAAAUAAUAGAACGCCACUCAAUUUUGCUACACUCCUCGACCCUAUAAGAAUGCAAUGAAUAAAUUUGAUCUUCAAUUUAAAAUAUUUACACUAUUGGAUACCACAAAAUAUUACUUUAUACUUAAUGGAAGUAUAACAUUAACUCUUAAGUGUUUAUUUAAUCUACCGUUUUGAUGUGAUACACAUUGUACGAAACUUUUUUCAAUGAUCUAACCGUCAAACUUGUUUGUACACACUCCAAGAUCACAUACGUAAAAAAUUACAAAAAACAAAGGUUCAGAGAUUAGGUAACGGAACAAAAGUUUUCGACGGUUAUAAACGAAAAAUCACAAUUUAACGGUUACUUUAGCUCCGGUUUUGAUGAUUUUUUUUACAGCUACACUCCUCGACCCUAUAAGAAUGCAAUGAACGAAUUUGAUCUUCAAUUUAAAAUAUUUACACUAGUUGAUACCACAAAAUCUUAUUUUAUACUUAAUAGAAGUAUAAUAUUAACUCUAAGUGUUGGUUUAAUCUACCGUUUUGAUGUGAUACGCAUUUUAUGAAACGUUUCUCAACGAUCCAACCGUCAAACUUGUUUGUACACACUCCAAGAUCACAUACGUAAAAAAUCGUAAAAAACAAACAUUCAGAUAUUAGGUAACAAAACAAAAGUUUUUGAUGGUUAUAAACGAAAAAUCACAAUUUAACGGUUAUUUUAGCUCCGAUUUUGAUGAUUUUUUGCAGCUACACUCCUCAAUCCUAUAAGAAUGCAAUGAAUGAAUUCGAUCUUCAAUUUAAAAUAUUUACACUAGUGGAUAAAUCAUAUUUUAUACUUAAUGGAAGUACAACAUUAACUCUUAAGUGUUUGUUAAAUCUAUCAAUUUGAUAGGAUAUGCAUUCUAUGAAACUAGUUUCAACGAUCCAACCGUCAAAUAUGUUUGUAUAUACUCCGAGAUCACAUACCUAAAAAAUCACAAAAAACAAACACACAGAGAUUAGGUAACAGAACAAAAGUUUUCGACGGUUAUAAACAAAAAAUCACAAUUUAACGGUUAUUUUAGCUUCGAUUUUGAUGAUUUUUUUACAGCUACACUCCUCGACCAUAUAAUAAUGUAUUGAACAAAUUCGAUCUUCAAUUUACAAUAUUUACACUAGUGGAUAAUUUUUUAUACUUAAUGGAAGUAUAACAUUAACUCUUAAGUGUUUGUUAAAUCUAUCAAUUUGAUAGGAUAUGCAUUCUACGAAACUAGUUUCAACGAUCUAACCGUCAAAUAUGUUUGUAUAUAAUCCGAGAUCGCAUAACUAAAAAAUCACAAAAAACAAACAUUCAGAGAUUAGGUAACAGAACAAAAGUUUUCGACGGUUAUAAACGAAAAAUCAUAAUUUAACGGUUAUUUUAGCUCCAAUUUUGAUGAUUUUUUACAGCUACACUCCUCAAUCCUAUAAGAAUGCAUUGAAAAAAUUCGAUCUUCAAUUUAAAAUAUUUACACUAGUGGAUAAUUUUUUAUACUUAAUGGAAGUAUAACAUUAACUCUUAAGUGUUUGUUAAAUCUAUCAAUUUGAUAGGAUCUGCAUUCUACGAAACAUUCAGAGAUUAGGUAACGGGACCGUAAGUGAAAAAAAAAUAUUUAAACCAUUUGUUUAUUUAUUUAUUUAUUUUUAAUCAAUAUAACAUUUUAAAAUAACAUAAUAGUCAAUUUCUGUCGGUUAUAACCGUCAGAAUAAUACAAUCAUAACCGCCAGAAACUAAAAUAAUAAAAUAGUCAAUUUUUGUCGGUUAUAACCGCCACCAUAACUUAAAAACCGCCAGAAUAUGUUAAAAAUAUUAAAAAAAAAAAAGAAUUAAAAAAUACUGAGGGUUAAAUCCGCCAGGAAAAAUCCGACAGAAAGUAACUUUAAUCCGCCAGUAAAUAAAUUAUGUGUCGGAUAUCUUUUAUCCGUCAGAAUGGCUUAUUAACCGCCAGAAUCGUCCGACAAACAACUAUAGCAAUUUUUCCAUCUCAUAGUCUUAAGAUCCUUAAAACGAAAACUACGUCAAACCAAGGUAUCAAGUGGGUUGGCCCGACCUAUCCCAUUUAAUAAAACAUUAGCCCAACUUGUGGCCCUGCCAAGUUACCAUCUUGUUCAUCAUCUUCCUCAAAAUAUUUCUUUUUCCUCUUCAUAGUCAUCAAACACUUGGGUUUUGAUGAUUUUCUUGUGACUCCUUUUGUGUCCGUCGAGCGCUUGAUAAGAUUUAAAUACUUUGUCACAAGUCUCGCACUUGUACUUCUCCUAAGUCCGGAACAAAGCUCAGGCCCGAAAACCCUAAUUGACACUGUUGUCAGACUCAUCAUCCUCCUCCUCCUCCUCCAAGGACUCAACCACCUCGUGUUUUACUUUUAUCAUUUUCCAUUUAUCCAUCGAGAGCAUGACAAGACACUUGACAACAUCUUUAGUUGAAAAAGCAUCAGAAACAGAACUCACCUACAAUGUACAAUGCACCAAUCUACCUAGAUGGUAAAAAUGUAAGUAAUGAUGGUAAUAACGUAAGUUUUGAUGAUUUUCUUGUGACUCACUUUGUGUCCGCCGAGCGCUUGAUAAGAUCAAAACACUUUGUCACAAGUUUUGCACUUGUAUUUACCCUGAGUCUGGACCAAGUUCAGGCCCGAAAACCCUAACUGACACUGUCGUCAGACUCAUUCUCCUCCUCAUCCAAGGACUCAUCCACCCCAUUUUUACUUUUAUCUUUUUCUAUUUAUCCAUUGAGGGCAUGAUAAGACACAUGACAACAUCAUCAGUUGAAAAAGCAUCAAAAACAGAACUCACCUACCAAUGUACAAUGUACGAUGUACCAAUCUAUGGUAAAAAUACCAGUAAUAAUGAUAAUAACGUAAUUUUAUUUUUCUCAUGACUCACUUUGCGUCAAUCGAGCUCUUGAUAAGAUCGAAACACUUUGUCACAAGUCUUGCACUUGUAUUUCCCUUGAGUCUAGACCAAGCUCAGGCUCGAAAACCCAAACCGACGUCGUCGUCAUCAGACUCAUCAUCCUCCUCCUCCGCAGACUCAUCCACCUCAUUUUUACUUUUAUUUUUUCCCAUUUAUCCUUCAAGAGCAUAAUUACAACAUCUUUAGUUGAAAAAGCAUCGAAAACAGAACUCACCUACCAAUGUACCAAUCUACCUAGAUGGUAAGUUUUGAUGAUGCUAAUAAUAAGCUAUAUCAAUUUUCCAUCUCAUAAUCUUAGGAUUCUUACAACGAAAACUACAUCAAACCUAGAGAUGAAAUGGGUCAAGCCGGCUUGGCCCACUUAAUAAAACAUUAUCACAGCUCAGCCCAACUGGCAACCCGAACACAUUAGAAAAUGGCUAUUAUCAUGUCCGAAAAAAACCAAAACAUAUAACUUACUGGAAAAUAAGGCGGGUUUGCUUAAGGAAUUUGAAUUUUGAUCACCUAAUUUGGGCCUUCGAUGUUGCAAAAGUGGUAAUUGGAAGGCCGAUUUAACAUCCAACUAAAAUGUACGUUUGACCCUCACUAUCCAAGUUUUGUUAGUUAACUUGUUACAACACAUUAGAAACUUUGAGGUCUAAUAUUCCCACCAACUUAUAAGCAUGAUUCCUUCAACCCUCAACCUUCUCGUGCGAAUUGUUUGUAGUACCCACAAAGACAGAGGUCAUAAACCGCGGGAGCUCCAGCUAAAAUGUGAACUUUGUGGGAUCGAUUAUUUCAUGAAUAUUCAUCAACUGCGAUUUAACUCUGGUUUGGUGCACAUGUUGUUGUUCUUGUAUGCAGUUUUUCUCCUUCGCGCAAUCCAUCAACUUAUAAUCGUUUGGUUUUGUGAUCGGUUGCAGUUUUUGUUAUCUCAGUUCAUAGAUCUCUAAUUUGGCGAGGAUUGGAAGGCGGCUGAGAAUUUUUUGGGUGUGUUAUCUCUGCUUCUGUUUAUCCCAAUUUUAAUAUGUAAUUUUUUUGGGUGUGUUAUCUCUGCUUAUAACUCCGCCUAUGUACUUACAUUGCCGGUCCCAAGCCCGGAUAAAGGAGGAGGGGGAGGGCGUCAGGUAGUCGACAGCCGGCACUCCAUGAUCACGUCGAAUCCUUAUGAAAAUGAAUUCAGAACAAAAUUGCGCUAAAGCUAGGGCGUCACCCGUAAGUGGCGCGCUGUGUGGCCCGAGCACAGUGAUAAGUGAGCAAGGGUCGCUGUAUCUCCAUCGGCACCCGGAUGCAGUGUUAAAUGAGCAAGGGGGCCAUAGAAACUUCUUUUCGAACGACUCCACUCAAAGUUGUUUGGGAGCAUAUGCUCCUAUCAACUUUACACAGGACACACAAAAGAAGUACUUUGAUCCUAUUAGACGGGGGAGGGUGAAGAAGCUAGGACAGAAGGGUAGAGUUCAAGAGAGCAAAAUGCGUUUAGGAACGUGGAAUAUAGGAACCUUAACGGGAAAAUCUAUGGAAGUAGUGGAAGUUAUGGUGAGGAGAAGGAUAAAUAUUAUGUGCCUACAAGAAACUAAGUGGGUUGGUAGUAAGGCAAAGGAUCUAGAAAACUCAGGGUUUAAACUUUGGUAUUCGGGCACAAAUAGAACGAGAAACGGUGUUGGCAUCAUCGUGGACAAGACCUUGACACAAGAUGUUGUAGAUGUCAAGAGGGUAGGAGAUAGAAUCAUGGCAAUCAAGAUUGUAAUAGGACAAGAACUUAUCAAUGUGAUUAGUGCGUACGCACCUCAAGUAGGGUUGGAUACGAGUUCGAAGGAGAAAUUUUGGGAAGACCUUGGAGACUUGGUGCAAGGAAUUGCUCAGACGGAGAAGUUAUUUAUAGGAGGAGAUUUAAAUGGACACGUGGGCAGGGAGACAGGCAACUAUGGAGGUUUUCAUGGUGGCCAUGGUUUUGGGGAGAGAAACGAGGAUGGGGAAGCUAUCUUGGAUUUUGCAAUGGCAUAUGAUCUCUUCUUAGCCAACACCUUCUUUCAGAAGAGAGAAGAACAUGUGAUCACCUACAAGAGUGGGUCAUCAAAAACACAAAUAGAUUUUCUUCUAAUGAGGAAAGAGGAUCGUAUAACUUGUAAGGAUUGCAAAGUUAUACCAGGAGAGAGCGUGGCUAAUCAACAUCGCUUGUUGGUGAUGGAUGUACAUAUCAAAAGAGUGAGACAAAAGAACAAGACUUGGAAGUGCCCAAGGACUAGAUGGUGGAAUCUAAAAGAAGAAAAACAAGCCAUUUUCAAAGAGAAAGUAAUCACCCAGUGUGUGUGGGAUAGAGAUGGGGAAGCUAGCCAAAUGUGGGAUUUCAUGGCUAGUUGUAUCCGAAAAGGAGCAAAAGAGGUAUUAGGAGAGUCCAAGGGCUUUGCCCCACACCAAAAUGAAUCUUGGUGGUGGAAUGAGGAGGUACAAACAAAGGUGAAGGCUAAGAAGGAAUGUUGUAAAGCCUUAUACAAGGAUAUGACUGAUGAAAAUGGUGAAAGGUAUAGAAAAGCGAAGCAAGAGGCGAAGAAAGCUGUGAGAGAAGCUAAGUUAGCGGCUUACGACGAUAUGUAUAAACGACUAGAUACCAAAGAAUGAGAGUUGGAUAUCUAUAAACUAGCUAGAGUAAGGGAAAAGAAGACAAGGGACCUAAACCAAGUGAGGUGCAUCAAGGAUGAGGAUGGAAAGGUUCUUGCUACAGAGAACGCGGUUAAAGACAGAUGGAGAGGUUAUUUUCAUAAUCUUUUCAAUGAAGGACAUGAAAGGAGUGCUUCUUUAGGGGAGUUGAGUAACUCAGAAGAGUGUAGAAACUACUCUUUUUUAUCGUCGAAUCCGGAAGGAAGAAGUGGUUGUAGCUUUGAAGAAGAUGAAGCAUAGAAAAGCAAUAGGCCCAGACGAUAUACCAAUCGAAGUGUGGAAAGUUUUGGGAGAGACAGGUAUAAUAUGGCUCACUGACCUUUUCAAUAGGAUUUUGAAAACGAAGAAGAUGCCAAAUGAGUGGCGAACGAGCACUUUGGUGCCUAUCUACAAGAAUAAGGGCGACGUACAAAAUUGCAUGAACUAUAGGGGUAUUAAGCUAAUGAGUCAUACAAUGAAGCUCUGGGAGAGAGUCAUUGAGCAUAGAUUGAGGCAAGAGACACGGGUUUCGGACAACCAAUUCGGGUUCAUGCCAGGGCGCUCAACCAUGGAGGCAAUCUAUCUCUUACGAAGAUUGAUGGAAAGAUAUAGAGAUGGGAAAAAGGAUUUACACAUGGUCUUUAUAAAUUUGGAGAAAGCGUAUGAUAGGGUCCCAAGAGACAUUCUUUGGAGGAUUUUAGAGAAGAAAGGAGUACGAGUAGCAUAUAUCCAAGCUAUAAAGGAUAUGUAUGAAGGAGCAAAGACUGCCGUAAGAACUCAUGAAGGACAAACUGAAAGCUUUCCCAUAACUGUAGGAUUACAUCAAGGCUCAUCCUUAAGUCCUUACCUUUUUGCGUUGGUAAUGGAUGAGUUAACAGGACAUAUUCAAGAUGAUAUUCCUUGGUGUAUGCUUUUCGCAGACGAUAUAAUGUUGAUAGAUGAAACUCAGGAAGGGGUAAAUGCAAAGCUUAACCUUUGGAGAGAAGAGUUGGAAUAUAAAGGUCUUCGCCUAAGCCGAUCAAAGACAGAAUAUAUGGAGUGCAAGUUCAGUGCAAAUGGAGGCCAAAAUGAGUUAGGGGUGAGGAUCGGAGAUCAAGAAAUACCAAAGAGCGACCGUUUUCGUUACCUAGGAUCUAUCUUGCAAAAGAACGGAGAAUUAGAUGGAGAUCUCAACCAUAGAAUACAAGCUGGAUGGAUGAAGUGGAAGAGUGCAUCCGGCGUGUUGUGUGACCGCCGUAUGCCACUGAAGCUCAAGGGAAAAUUUUAUAGGACGGCAAUAAUGCCGGCGAUGCUGUAUGGCACAGAAUGUUGGGCGGUGAAGCAUCAACACGUACACAAAAUGGGUGUAGCGGAGAUGAGGAUGCUUCGUUGGAUGUGUGGGCACACGAGAAAGGAUAAGAUUAGGAAUGAGGAUAUCCGGGGUAAAGUAGGAGUAGCCGAAAUUGAAGGAAAGAUGAGAGAAAAUCGGUUACAGUGGUUUGAACAUGUGCAAAGAAGGCCUACUGACGCUCUGAUUAGAAGAUGCGACUAUGGGACAGAGGUUCAGGGCCGAAGGGGUAGAGGAAGACCUAGGAAAACUUUGGAAGAGACUUUAAGAAAAGACUUAGAGUACUUGGAUCUAACGAAGGACAUGACACAGGACCGAGCACAAUGGCGUUCUAAGAUUCAUAUAGCUGAUCCCACUCAGUGACUUGGAUUUUCCAAGUCUCCAACCGAGAAAUUUUCCUCACUCAGGAAAUUAAGGGAACACUACCUCAACCUACAUGCUCCACUCACAAAGCUUCAACAAAAGAAAAUUCAAAGAACUUAGCGAAUAAGGCUUUGGUGUAUUUAACACAAUACGUUGAAAUGAAGGAAAGCUUAUUUAUUGAUAUCCCCGAUAAGCUACAAAUAUGUACAUAUACAUAAGUCAAAAUAAACAAACAAGAGGGAGCCUUCACAAAGGUUGCUUAGGAGAAGUCUCAGCAGUCGGUAGAGCCCCAGAAAGAGAAGGCACCGGAGGGGGAUCAUUCGGAGCCUCAGUACUGGACAGAACCCUAGAAGGAGGAGGCAUCAGAGGUUGACCAUUUGGAGCUUCAUUACGCGGUACAGCCCUAGAAGACGAAGGCAAUAAAUGCCUUUGGAAUAAACCCACAAAUCUCUGAUGAUCAAGUAAAACCUGACCAUCAGAUUCCUUCAUCUGGUCAAGCUUCCUCUUCAUGUUUGUAGCAUAGUCAUGUGCGAGCCGGUGCAACUGUUUAUUCUCAUGCUUGAGCCCUCUAAUCUCCUGUUUGAGACUCAUCACUUCAGCCGCCAAUGAUUCAACUUGGCGGGUUCGAGCAAAUAGACGUUGGGCCAUAUUAGACACAGAACCUGCACACUGAACACUGAGAGCCAGAGAAUCCUUAACAGCUAACUCAUCAGACCGUUUGGAAAGUAGUCUGUUAUCUUUGGGAGUGAGAAGGUUCCUGGCCACCACCGCAGCGGUCAUAUCAUUCUUCAUCACGGAAUCCCCAACGGUAAGAGGACCAGUAGGGGAGACGAAGGAUAGACGCCAUAUGUUGUCAGGAGAAGGCGGGGCUGCCUCUUCAACAAGGUUCAAGUCAAAACGACGGUCGGAGGGGCCAGACAUUUUCAAAGGUGUUGAAGAGAGAAGAGGUCGGACAAAUCAAGAUCUUAGAAGUGCAAGAAUGGAGCUUCUACUGGUGGAGAUUCAAGUGUGCUUUGGAACUUAAUGCCAGCCUCUAUAAAAAUCUGCACUUGACGGAGCUUCAGAAAUCGAAGAGGCGCCUGCUCAAAAAUCGAAGAGGCGUUUGCUUUCUCAAAAGCAAGGCUACUCAGAUACCACGAGGGUCGAUCUCAGAAAUCGAAGAGGCGUUUGCUUUCUCAAAAGCUGGGCUGCGCAAAGACCACGAAGGCCGAUCUCAGAAAUCGAAGAGGCGCUUGCUUUCUCAAAAGCUGGGCUGCUCAGAGACCACGAGGGCCUAUCUCAGAAAUCGAAGAGGCACCUACUUUUCCAGCCUUGUCAGCACCCGUCACACGCACACUCAGCUUUGCAGAAAUUAUGGGCAUUCGGUCGAAGACUUCUGGUGAAGUAGAAAGCACAUGAGUCGUACUGUUCAAUCACCCACUUCCCACACGCAACAGUAGCUCAUAGGUACCACAUAUAACUUUGCCAAAGUUCUCUGCCAAAGUUAAACACGUGAAGCUUGCAGCUCCCACUACAUCGCUCUGACCAAGAAGGGUAAAAGAAUAGCAAAGAAACAACACUAACAAAGUUUAGACACAUAAAUUUUGAAGGUCUAGCUACAAUAUUAUUACCCACAAGGGUAAAGGAACAGUACCACUGCUGGAUAAUUGGAAAGUCCUUGUGUGUCAACCUCUGUGCUUCGUGGCAAGGUAGACUAGCAAACAUGCCCAACCUUUAAUCACAUUCGAGAAAACACUCCCAACAAGAUUGCUUGCUCCAAAAUCGAAGAGGCACCGUCCUCCGAAUCUCGAGAGCCAGACUCCCAACAUGACUACUUUCUCAAAAAUCGAAGAGGGUAAAGGAACAGUACCAUUGUUGGAUAAUUGGAAAGUCCCUGUGUGUCAACCUCUGUGCUUCGUGGCAAGGUAGACUAGCAAACAUGCCCAACCUUUACUCACAUUCGAGAAAACACUCCCAACAAGAUUGCUUGCUCCAAAAUCGAAGAGGCACCGCCCUCCGAAUCUCGAGAGCCAGACUCCCAACAUGAUUACUUUCUCAAAAAUCGAAGAGACACCGCUCUCCGAAUCUCGAGAGCCAGACCCCCAGCAUGAUUGCUUUCUCAAAAAUCGAAGAGGCAUCGUUCUCCGAAUCUCGAGAGCCAGAUCCCCGAUAGGAUUGCUUGUUCGAAAACCGAAGAGGCAACACUUUCCCAACUUCAAGAGCCGGAUCUCCUUGGAUAAAGCUGUCUGUAAUCUUCACACGCAACAUCAGCUUUCCAGAUACCACAAACCAUUUUUUCAAAGUGCUCUGACAGCGUUAAAACAUGUGAAGCUGGCAGCUCCCACUACCGUGCUAUGACCAAGUAGGGUAAAGGAAUAGCAUUACUACUUGUUGUUAAGGAGACUCCUAUAUAUGUCGACCUCCAUCCCCAACGGACAGGCAGACCUGCAAAAAUGCUCAACCCUUCCUCAUAUCUGAGAGGGCACUCCCAACGAAGCCUUUCGAAAUAUUCAGCUUUCUUUCCCCCCGAUAAUACCUCUGCAAACAAGCUAUACUAGAGCAAGAAUAUCUCAUAUCAUCAGGGUUAAAAGCAAGAGUAUCCCAUAUCAUGCUUUUUCCCUGUCUUUUCCUUUGACCUUGUUCUUACCUGCAAGACAAGGAGAAAGAGAGCAAUCAGUCAGUACUUGGAAUCAAGCUUCCAGUCAGAAACUGACUGCCUGGAACCCCUUACCUGAUUACUUACCUGACAUUGCUCUCGAGUACUCAUCUUCAACAUCUUAUGCUUCCAUGGAAGAUACCGCAUCUGCUUGAGGAACAGAUAGGGUAAGGGAGAAGGAUACAAGGAAGUAUGUGGAGACAAGCGUAACAGCACACGUGCCGAUACAUCCAUUACUCUGUCAAAGCAAAAGUAUCCCAUAUCAGCAGGGUCGAACGUACUCUAGAUUUGAUGGACUUGUUUUGACCCUCAAAUUCUUCAGUCGGCCUUAUACUCUGGAGGAAACCAGAAAACCCUCCAGCUCAGUUCAAGAAUAAGCCUGUGGAAAGUUACUUCUUCAAAAGCAAAAGUAUCCCAUAUCAUCUCUUCUCAUUUUCUUCUCUUUAUCCUUCAUGCUGCCUGCAAGAUAGGGAGACUGUGAACAAUCAGCCGGAGCUAUGAUUGCUUACCUUGUCUGUCACCUCUUUCAGCAGAUCCCCUAGCUCGGCGACUUGGGGGACUCCUACUACAUGGUUUGUAUCGCGCUUGACCAAGCCUGAAACUACAAAUAAGCUUCAAGUGAAAUUGAUACAUUACCUUGUGCAUCUCCACCAGUUAAAGAUACCACCCCUGGAUGGAGGAAGAGUACUUCCAGAGAAGAUGCCCCAUCUAUCUAUGAGACAGAUAAGGCAUGUCAAGACGAUACCACACUCUGAUACUUAGAAGUUUCGUGAUUACGAGAUCAUUCUCCCACAAUAUUUCCUAAUGUCAUUUGUACUAAAUCAUUCACUUGUACUCACUAAAGGAGAGCUUGAACCUAUGUACUUGUGUAAACCCUUCACAAUUAAUGAGAACUCCUCUAUUCCGUGGACGUAGCCAAUCUGGGUGAACCACGUACAUCUUGUGUUCGCUUUCCUAUCUCUAUCCAUUUAUAUACUUAUCCAUACUAAUGACCGGAGCAAUCUAGCGAAGAUCACAAAAAGCGACCGUUUUCGCUACCUAAGAUUUAUCGUGCAAGAGAACGGAGAAUUAGAUGGAGAUCUCAACCAUAGAAUACAAGCUGGAUGGUUGAAGUGUAAGAGUGCAUCCGGCGUGUUGUGUGACCGUCAUAGGUCACUGAAGCUCAAGGGAAAAUUUUAUAGGACGGCAAUAAGACCAGCGAUGUUGUAUGGCACAGAAUGUUGGGCGGUGAAGCAUCAACACGUACAAAAAAUGGGUGUGGCGGAGAUGAGGAUGCUUCGUGGGAUGUGUGGGCACACGAAAAAGGAUAAGAUUGGGAAUGAGGAUAUCCGAGGUAAAGUAGGAGUAGCCGAAAUUGAAGGAAAGAUGAGAGAAAAUCGGUUCCGGUGAUUUGGACAUGUGCAAAGAAGGCCUACUGACGCUCCGGUUCGAAGAUGUCACUACUGGACAGAGGUUCAGGGCCGAAGGGGGUAGAGGAAGACCUAGGAAAACUUUGGAAGAGACUCUAAGAAAAGACUUAGAGUACUUGGAUCUAACGGAGGACAUGACACAAAACCGAGCGCAAUGGCGUUCUAGGAUUCAUAUAGCCGACCCCACUUAGUGGGAAAAGGCUUUGUUGUUGUUGUUGUUGUUGUUGUUAUCUCUGCUUAUGUUUAUCCCAAUUUUAAUAUGUAUUUAGAAUUGUUGGAUUAAAAGGGGUUUGUGAUUUGUUAUAAAAUAUGAGUCAAAUAGCUCCAAUUUUUUAAAGUUUUCUGGUUUUGGUUUCUAUUGAAAAUAAGAAAACUGAGAGAGAAAUUAUGAUAUUAAGUAUAAAGUAUUAAGUUUAAUUACCUAGCUUUGUAGCUAAUUUUAUAUCAACAUUAAUUCACACGUUUAAUUUCCAAUGAACUUAUAUGCAUUUUCCUUUAUUAUUUAUUUAUUAAUUUACUGAUUCAGUGAAUAAUUUUGGCUUUUAGAUUUGUUUGAAUAUUUUUCUGAUUCAACUUGCAGGUUUAGUAUCAUUUUACAGCUUUCUACAACUCUUUGUUCUUUCUCUCUUCCUUUAUGUAUUUUUAGUCAAAUUGAACUGCUCUUUUUAACUUCAGAUUUAACUAAAGUGUUUAGAACUUAGUUAAGUGGAAAUUUACUCAGGUUUAAUGAUCUCUAUGUGUUUGACAAAGUAAGCAUAUAAUACCUCCACAGGUGAGGGGCCGGACAAUUUGCAGGCCAACGUUAAGAUUGUUCAGAGCAUUAGAGGAUAAUGGUAAUGGAUAUGAAAUUGUUGUUUUAUGACAAACACUGCAUGUUGAUGUUGGUAGUUUUAGUUUUUGCUCCACCAAAUUGUAUGAUAAGAUAAUUCCAAGUUACGAACUUUUUUAUUAGGCUUUGUAACGCCCCUGCAUUGUGUAUUCCUGAAAUUAUUUCCAAAUUACAAACAGUGCCAAUUUUCCAACAUAUUCUCUAUAACCUAUUCUAUUGUUUUCUCUAAUAUACAUGUUAUUGCCCCCAUUUUUUUUAAGGCAGUGUCUUAGGUACUAUUAAAUUAGUUUUAUGUCUUUUUUUUUAUUUGAAGGCUGCUUCUUUUUCUCUGGCUUUUAUUAAGAUUCUGGGGUGUGCUUUGGAUUUGCUACAUAUGGUCAUAUUUUUUGUCAUUGGCUUUUUGUUCUGCUUAGUUAUUUUUAAUUGAGUGUUUUAUCUGGUAUUUCAUUUUGUUUUGUUUAUUUGUUUCCUUUUUAUGUUUAAAUGUUUUUUUUUUCUUUCUAAAUUUAGGCUUCUGGGAAAUUCUUGCUCACUGUUUGGAUUCCAAGAAAAUUUAGGAGAUGUCCAGUAAUAUUCACAUCCUGAAAACUCAAUGAAAAUACAUACUAAUUUAUGUGCAGCUGAAAAUUUGUUAUCUGAUUAUGUUCUAAUUAAAGAUGAUUUAUUUGUUUUUUUUUAAUUUUAAUUAUUUCGUAUUUAUUUUGUGAUUGCAGAUGUUUAAAUGAUGUAGAGGUUUGCAAAGCUGUUACUCGGAGGAGACAUGUCUGGAUGAGGGAAAGGUCUCUGCACUGCCCUUGCUAUCUCAAAUGCCAUCACCAAUCUCUCUGGUUAGUCACAUUUCUCUUGGAAUAUGCAUUUCCCUUGGUGAUGAACUUAAUAAAAAAUGUGAGAUGAGCAAAUUGAAAAGUCUACUUUCUUCUCAUAUGCAUGCUUUAACAUAUGUCGGUUUUAAUUACUGAUAAGCAAUUGAAAAUUCAGUUUUUCUCCUCAUGGUACACUUACAUUGGUGGAUCAACAUAUGUUUGCUUUUAACAUAUCUUAUUAAAUGCAUUUGAACAUGUUGAGUUUCAUGCCUGCAGCAUCGCGCUGCAGACUUAUUCCUUCGGUUGUUCUCGUCUUCGACGGACAACGAUGGUGGUUGAAAGGGAUUUGGGUCGAGUGUUUCGACAAGAAUCACAAGGUAUCUCCUUUAUACUGCCUUCGGGGUAAUUCCCCAUCACAACCUCAAUGACAAAAGAUGUUGGAGAUGCGUGCCAUCAUCAUCACUAACGGCCAGAGUCAUAGGAGGUGGCAUGGGAUCACAUCCCUCACGACUCAACGAUGCAGAGCGGCGACGACCAAGUUUUGGAAAGAAGAAGACAUGUCAAACGACAUAGCGUGCAACCAUUUAAACGACUGGCGCAGCUUGGCAGCUCAGACGCUGGUGCGGCUUCAAGCCGCGACUUCCGUGAUUUAGGGUUUUGAAAUCCCUUAAUUUGUAUCUUCUUUUUUGAUAUACCUGUUAGAGUAUAUAAGGCAGUUAGGAAUGUGAUUGUUAGAAUAAUUAGUUAGGAUUGUUGGUAAGGGAGUGAGUGGUUAAGGUGGUUGGCCUAGCACUCAUCUAUAUAGUAAGCAUACCAUUGUAACCAUCGAAUUAAUCAAGGAAAUAUCAGUGCAAUUCUUUCUUUCUUCCUCUCUAAAUUCUCUCUGAUUCCUUCUUCUUUUUCCUCUGUGAUCUCUCUGUUUCUCCUUCUGCAUAUUGCUUAACAUGGUAUCAUCGCCUCACAUAGACCUGGCGCUUCCGCACCUCAAUCAAAGCAUUUCUUUCUCUUCUUUACCCUCUAGUUUGCAAUCUGUUGUGUGAUAAACAAAACAAUUGGCUUCUUCCGAUCUCCAUGAAUCUUCAAGAAAUUGUUCUUCGUUUCUGCAUACCAACUGUUCGAUAGAUUGUCUCAGUGAAAGAAUUCUAUACAACAUCAACAAUGGUGACUACUGAUCAGUUAAAGAUCGUUCAAUCUCCGAUCACUGGAAGAUAUUGACCAGAAGAUAUUGGGUAUGUCUUCUCUGUUUUUCUGGGCAUCUCCGAUUGCCCAUUUCUGCAUUCUACAUUCAACAAAGUUGUGCACACAAGGUGUUUGCUCUUUGUUCUCAAAGAAAACUAUCAACUAGUUUGAUUUGUCAGCAACAAAUUUGGGGUUUCUCUUCUAAAUCUCUAUCUGGGUUGUUCAUUUCUACAACAAAAGUUAUGGUUACCGCUGCACAAUUGCAACUUUUGCACUCCCCAAUUGUAUCGUUGAUUCCGUCAGUUUCUUCCUCUACUUGUGUAAAAUUAGAUGAGACUAACUACUUGCAGUGGCAUUUUCUGAUGAAGAUGAUGCUACAAGGUCAUGGCAUUAUGGGAUUCAUUGAUGGAUCGAAUCCUUGUCCUCCUCAGGAUGUGGCAACAUCUACACAUUCUGUAAUCACAUCUGAAUCAUCUGCCAGACUAGAAUUAGAUGAAUUUAAAGUGUGGAAAAUGCAUGAUCAUGCUUUGAUGUUGUUACUUACUGCAACCCUUUCUUCAUCUGCAAUUUCUUGUGUGAUUGGUAGCAAGAGUUCUCAAGAGAUGUGGGUUCGUCUUCAAGAUGAAUUUUUCUUACCAGUCACAAGAACUAGUAUCAUCAAGUUAAAGACUGAUAUGUACAACAUGAAGAAAGGAUCCGAUUCUGUUUCCCAAUAUCUUCGACGGCUUAAAGAAGCAAGGGAUGGACUUUCUAUUCUUGGUGUUACAUUUCCUAAUGAAGACUUUGUGGUCUUUGCGCUGAAUGGACUCCCUCCAAAAUACAACACAUUUAAAUGUGUACUCAGAGGGCGUGAGAAUAUCAUUUCACUCAAGGACUUUCGUGCACAAUUGCUUGCUGAGGAAACCAUUGUGGAUUGUUCUGCUGAUUGGAAUCCAGAUUUUACCUUCAUUUCUGCACAAGAGAAGUAGGAGGAAGAGAUGACGUUUGAUGCUUCACAGACAGGGGAUCUUGGUGGAAUACAUCAUAGUGACAGCAAUGGCCUGGCUCCCUCUGCACGAAAUCUUGGAUUUCUUGGCCAUGCUUUAAAACAUUCACAUGGAUUUCGUCAUGACUGCUCCCGGCUGCACCAAGUGCAGGGUACGAAGAAUGAAGAGGCCGAUCCAAGUAAGAGGGAUCUGGAUGCACAACAGAUAAUUGCUAUGGCAGGACGGCAGUCAAUUUAUGGUCAUAACAAGGAUGGUGAACUGAAUUCUCCAUCAGCUCACAAGUUAUCGCCACUUGGAAAUUCCAAUGCAACAAAUUUCCUGACGGAUGUAAGAGAAGGUCUAAGUGUAAAAACUUCUUCACAAUCUGCCUUCCAAGCCCAAGGCAUGGUUGCAUUUGGUGAAAGUGAUUCUCAGAGUCCAUCUAUUGGCAAUAAUGUGUUACCUAAUUAUUACAGAAACUUCUCAGAAAGAAGCUUCAAGGAACAAGAACAAGAAGAAGAACUGGACCAAGAACAAGAACAACAGUUGGAUUUGAUGAACUAUCACAGUUUGUCCCGAACAAGGUAUGUGGAGGAAAAGACAGCAGUUGAAGAUGAGAAGGUGGUUAAUAACAAGGAACAAACUUCUGUAUCAUCAUUUGAUUUGUCCAGUAGCCAAGGUAAGAAGAAAUCUGGUGGCGAAGGUAAAGAACAAGAUCACUAUGCACUGUUAGGUUUGAGUCAUUUAAGAUCCUUUGCAAUCGAGGAGUAACUACCUAGUUCUGUUGGUGCAGAAAGUUCACACAUUAGCAGAUCACAUACCAUUUGUUCGCAGAAAUAUCAUUUUGAUGCUGACAACAAGACGAAAAUUGGUGUUUCUACUCAAAUUGUUGUACAUGAGUUCCGGAGAUUUUAUGUACUUCAGUCAUGCAAUGGUGGAUGUAUAUUUGAUAUUCAGUUAAGCUACCAUAUGCGAAUUUCUGAUAAGGGUGGGGGCACCGAGUCUACGCUGAUUUGGGUACUAUGGUAUACACGGUAUAAUGGUAACAUACGAGCUCCAGAUGCUAGGAGGUUUCUUUUUUCAGGGUAUGCGUGCAGCAGUGACCAGAUCCUAUACUCUCCAAUUGUAACAAUCUCAUGCUUGAACCACCAUGAGCUUGCGGGGGGAUGUUAGAGUAUAUAAGGCAGUUAGGAAUGUGAUUGUUAGAAUAAUUAGUUAGGAUUGUUGGUAAGGGAGUGAGUAGGUUAAGGUGGUUGGCCUAGCACUCAUCUAUAUAGUAAGCAUACCAUUGUAACCAUCGAAUUAAUCAAGGAAAUAUCAGUGCAAUUCUUUCUUUCUUCCUCUCUAAAUUCUCUCUGAUUCCUUCUUCUUUUUCCUCUGUGAUCUCUCUGUUUCUCCUUCUGCAUAUUGCUUAACAAUACCCACCCAUAUAUUCAUCAACGUUGAUAUGACAUGCAUAUUACACAAAACAAUAAUCAUAUUAUUCAUGGGAUAUAUUAAAUUGAAACCAAAUAGAUUAUGGUUUAAGAUUACUUGGAUGUUGAUGAAGAUGGUGAAAAGGUUUAGUCUUCUUCCAAGACCUUCUCUUUUUCGCAAAAACACAUCAUGCUGAUAAUGUGUUGUGAAACUAAUUUUAAAAGUGGGUGAGAGAGAGAGGAGACGACUAAGAGAGAAUGGCUCAUGAGAAUUGUGCCCUCACUUGUUGACCUUGUACUUUUAUUUGUACUAAUCAUGAUCAGUUUUUUUUUUAAUUUUUUAAUUUUUUUUUGUCUUACAAGUAAUACUAACCUUUGAGGAUUGGAUCUUCAUAUCCUAUUAGAAUUUUAUUUUAAGUGUACAAAAUCACGUUUGUCAUUGAUAAUUCUAUACAUAACACAUCCAUGUCUUUUUGUUUGGCUUACUAUCCAAUAUCGGACUCCAAGUCAACAGUGGCUAUGCUUAAAGAGCAUUGUGCUGGGUUCAUCGUCAAGGAGUUGGAUGCCGGUGUGUAAAAUAUUUCCAUUGUUGUAUACUGUGUUUAUGCUCAAAAGUUUCAUACAAGUUUAUUCCUUUCAUUGUUCUCGAAAUUAGGUCAUUGCCCGCACGACGAACUGCCCGAUGAAGUGAAUUCAAUUAUUCGUGAAUGGAUAGUGAACCAGAGGAGUAAACUUCCGGCUGUUAGCUUCAAGUAGUUUAUGUAAAUGAUCUGUACCGUUAAUUCUUUUUUAUCCUUGUCAAAAUUCAAAUGCAAGUUUUUUGAAAUCAAAUGGCUUGAUUGAUUAUUCAGUAUAUGCUACAAAAUCCAUGUUGAUAUGUAAGAAGGAAACAUGGUACUCCAACAUUGCCCGAGCAACGCCAGCGCAAAAUCCCUACGGCUGUUAGGGCGGCUAUGUUUGACAUUGUUUCCUAUAAGAGGAUCACUCCAACAUUGCACUUUCAUUCCUUGUGUUGCUGUUUAGUUGACUAGUUCUUCAGAACUCAAUGUUCACGACAGCGGCUGUUCACUGUACCUCCUCUCCCAACUUCAUUUCAUCGCAAAGACAGGUGAUAUCAGGAGCUAUUCCUCCAUUACAAUCCCUCAAAAUCCCAUCACCUACAAGACCGUUUAACAACCGCGGAUCCUGUCGUUAACGACAGCGGAUCCUCGUGACACAGCUUCUGCCAUAUCGUUGCGGCAAAACAUCUGGUGUACAAGUAGCUAUAACAACCUGCAAUAAUGUUCAAAUUCUUGAUUUGAGGUACUUCUGAACCUCAAAGACGUUCAAAUGGAGUUACAUUAAAAGCAUCACGUCAAAUAUAUUCAAGUUCAACCGCGUCAUCGUAUAAAACGGAUGAUAGGAAAAUAACAUACUCAAAAAGGUUUGAAGGUGUUUCCGCUGGAUCAAAAAUACCCUCGUCCCUCGAAAGUGUUGGUAAUCCUGCCGAAAAUUCGAAAAAAAGUGGCAUUUUGAAUUUAUGAUAAGGAAGAGGAAGUGCUAUAGCUUGUACUUUUGUUUGUUUUUUGAAGAUAUUUUCAUGCAGCAUGGAGUUGAAGAUAAUUUCACAAAUAUAUAUAAAGCACGUAUAUAAUAUAUAUAUAUAUAUAUACACACACACACACUUAUUUUCAGUCAGUUACAUCUAUUCCAUUGUGAUUUCUGAUAAACAACCCUGAAAGCUAGAACCAACAUGCCCAUGACAACCACAGCAUUCCUUCAUGUAGCUUGUACAGCACCCACCGACUUCUCUUUUCUCCAACACACAAGCAUGAAUUGCUACUAAUUCUGAGCAACAUGCUUCCUUUUCCGCUGUCCGGGAGCCAAUGCAAGAAUUCGUUGCGGCUGAUUCUGUGCGGUUGCAACCCGCUACAAUAUCAAUCGUCGUGUGAUGAGGGGGUGAUUGUUUGUCUUGAUUAUGGUGGGGCUGAUGAUCACAUCUUGUGGCAAACGUUUCUCCUAACGAUUCAUUGUGAAUAUGAUCUUUGCCACAUUGAGUUGAGUGGCAAUGACCAGUACUUGUCAACUUUCUGCUUUCCUCCAAGGAAAAAGUAGAAUGGUUGCAGUGUUUUGGCUCAUGGAUUGCAUCAUCUUCGUUUCUAACAUGCUCCUUUCCACAGUCGCUUGAGUGGCAAUGAACACUACUUGUCAAUUUUUCGCUUUCGUGCAAAGCAAAAGCAGAAUAAUUGCAGUGUUUUUCCUCAUGGACUCCAUCACCUUCAUUUCUGCUGUGCUCUUUGCCGCAGUGGGUCGUGUGGCAAUGACCUUUACUUGUCAACUUUUGAAUUUCCACCAAAGGAGAAGCAGAAUGAUUGCAGUGUUUUUCCUCGUGAAGUUUAUCACCUUCUGCGCAUGAGCUGAAAUUAUGAUGCCUCAAACAACCAUGAUUGUGUUUAUUCUGUGACUCGAGAUCAUGACUGACUUUGAUGCAGCUUGUUUCAUCACAGUGUCGUGCCUCGUGUAAGUCAUCACUGCACUUAAGCUUACAAGGAAAGCUUGAAUUUAAGGGACUAGGAUGGCACUCUGAUCCGCAUUUCUGCGAGGAACACUUUUGAGGUUUACAGACUUUUACGGGUAUGCUGUCCGAGCAACAAUGUUGGUUUUUGUGAGAAUGGCUAUGUCCAUGGCUUCCAUGUUUAUGGCCAUGUCCAUGGCUUCCAUGUUUAUGGCCAUGUCCAUGGCUUCCAUGUUUAUGGCCAUGUGGUGCAGAAGUUUUCCCUCCAUGCUUGUUGGUUCCUUGUAAGAGUAGCAUGCUGUUGAAUAUCACAAGCAAGCAUGUCCCGGCAUCAGCAAGAACUGCAGCCCAAACAAGCGGAUGCCCUGCAAAUCCCAGUGCAAGGAUACUAGCCUUAGCAGUGAUUGACAAAGCCACAUUCUCAAUCACUUUUCUAUUAGCUCUUCUCGCAAGUUGGACUGCUUUCGGUAGUUUCCUAAUGUCAUUUGACAGUAAAAUUAUAUUCCCAGUUUCUUGAGCAAGGGCUGAUCCUGAAAUGCCCAUUGAGAUACCAAUAUCGGCAGUAGCUAAAGCAGGGGCAUCAUUGAUCCCGUCUCCAACCAUUGCUGUGUUUCCUUCCAUUUUAAAUUCUCUAAUGAUUCUUGCCUUGUCUUCAGGUAGAAGUUCUGCCUGGACUACCUCGAGAGCUUGCUUAAGCUGCAAGUCAGAUAAAUUUUCUACUCUUAUUUGUUCUUUUUUUUUUUCUUUCUUAAUCUGCAAGGAAAAUAUAUAUGCAGUUCUACAGCCAUGUAUACCAGGGAAGAUCAUACAUUGAAUCAAUAAAAGUGAGUGGAGAGUGGAGCGCAUGGUAUGUGCGCGCAGAUUUAAGCAUAGCGAUAUGAGGCUAAGAUAUUAGGAAUAACACACCUGCUCAUUUGUAUGCAAUGCGGCAGCAUUACUAUCUCCUGUGAGCAUAGCUGUUUUAAUGCCUAACUUCUUUAGUUCCUUGAGAGCCUCUGCAGCCCCAGAUCGACAAGCAUCAGAUAUCAUAAAGACUCCAGCAGGGGCUCCCCCAGAGUAUAUGUAUCCAAUCGUCUUCCCACCUUUCGAACCUUCAAUUGUUGGAACUGAAAUUUCAAAAAGAUUUAGCGAUGAGAGAUCCAAAAAGACCAUAAACAAAAAGAAAAUGAAUCAUAAUCCUUGAAAUCAUUCGAAAUAGCUUCGAAGAUACAGGAGUUGAUGGCAUUUACCUAUUUCACAAGCAGCUCUCAAAGCUAUUUUUCUGUUUCCAAUGUAGAUAUCUUGUCCAUCAAUUUUCCCAUGAAUACCUUCGCCGGGAAAAUUUUGAAACUCCUCCACAUUCUCAGGGUUUGGCUCGACCGAAAACAAUCUUCCAUAGUCAACCAGCGCAUCUGCCAUUGGAUGACUUGACUUCCUCUCAAUGCUUGAAACCCUUCAUGAAGAUUAAUAGAGAAAUCAACGAACUGCAAACUUAGUGAAAUAAUAGGAAACGCUUUCGGAGAAUAAUGCAGCAUUAAAACAGCCUUAAAUUUGUCUUUAAACUAAAAGCCUCUUUCUGAAUUUCAUGAAGUAAAUUUUUUCUUUCCAUCAAAAUUUUUGUGUGUUUCAUUCAACAUGUUGCUGAAUAGAGGAGUUGCAGUCUAUACCAGUAAAGCAAUGUGUUCAAGCUAAUGUCAUCACGAAGAGAUUGAAAAUCCAUCACCACAAAUUCACCCCUUGUUAUUGUACCAGUUUUGUCAAAAGCCAUGAUCUUGACUUUAGCAAGUAUCUCAAUGUAGUCACCUCCUUUGAUCAGAAGUCCAGAUGUUGCCGCUUUUGUGAGCGUGCAGAAAGUCACAACGGGUGUAGAGAGGAUGAGACCGCACGGACAGGCGCUCACUAAAACAACCAAAGCUAAGUGAAACCACUUUCUCCAAUUGUGAACAUGUAAUGCAGCUGGAAUCACCGCGAUAGAAACAGAAAUGACCAGGACCGCUGCAAAACAGCGCCACAAAAAACGUAUAAAUCCAACCGUUUGCAUUCUCCUUAGUAGUAAAGAAUAGGGAAACAUAUGAAAUGUAUGGGGAAAGUAGACUAACCUGGGGUAUAGAACAUUGCACAUUUGUCAAUGAAUCUUUGAGUUCUGGAUUUGCUGUUUUGAGCCUCUUCGAUGAGUUUUGCCAUUUUGGCGACCGCACAAUCUUCAGCCAAUGAUGUAGUUUUCACGCUAAUAUAACCUUCACAAUUGAAACCAAAUUUUGUCAGAAAUGAAAACAUAACUCUUUCUUCAAAAUCAAAGAAUGACGGGAGCGACAUUUAUGUUACCAUUAAGAUUGAUAGUGCCUGCCCAAACAGUGGAGUCCUUUUCUUUGGCAACUGGAUAGGAUUCUCCAGUUAGUGUUUUCUCAUCGACUUCAGCUUUUCCUUCAACAACUAUUCCAUCAAUCGGUAUCUUUUCGCCGGCCUUAACAGCAAGAAUUGUGUUCAACUUUACCUCAUCAACACCCACAACUUCUCCACUCUCUGCUAAGACUGCUAUUUGGGGGGCCAUGCUCAUCAACGACGACAUCACUGCUUUUGCCUGAGUAGAUAAAAGCAUGUUAUUCUACAUGUCUGACUGUUUAUGAUAUACAUUACCAAGUCAUUCGUUAAUCCCUUAAACAACAUUUUAAUGUAUUAGUAUCAGUGUUUUGAAAAACAAGCCUUGAGGCGCACCUAGGCAGCUUUGGAGACAAGGCGGUGAUGAAAAUGCCUCUGCCCAACGGGAAUAGGCUUAAACUCGCCUAGAUGUGAUCGAGGCAUGCCUAGGCAGCUGCAGAGUUGACUGGGUUUUUUUUUUUCUUUUCUUUUUUAAAAGAAAAAAAAAUGCCAAAGUUCAAGUUCAACUAGACUCCAUGACAUACCCUCUAAGUUCAAGUUCAACAAGACCAUAUGACAUACCUUCCAACUAGACUAUAUAUUAAUAAUUAUAGGUCCCAUGAGUCGCCUCAAUAUCAAGGCUUUCGCCUAGGAAGGGCUUCACUUUCGUCUUUUAAAGCAUUGGUUAGUAUGUGGUUUAUCACAAAAUUAUGUACAAAACUGUCUUCAGCAAAAUUUGUUGUUCCAAAAUCAAUUGCUAUGUUUUUCUGCCACUUAUCGUUACUUGUAUUUUGUUUAAUUCAAUGAGAUUAGUUCUUAAUUUUUUCAUAAAAAAAGAAGGAUGAGUGUUUUAUGCUAACCCUGUAACCUGCAGAAGACUGGAGCCACUCUGCAAUGGUGAACAGAAAGACAAUCGAGGCAGCUUCUGUAUAGUCCUUCAAAGCAAUUGUCCCAAUUACUGUCAAAAGUUACACCAAAUGGAUUUACAUAAAUAUACAAACAUGCGCAAAUAAGUAACUUCUGUAUCAUGUGUGCUGUUUUGCAAUAGAGUAGAUAAGUGGUAACAAAAUUUUGGAGUGUAGAAAAUAUAAUUUGACAAGUAAUUUUAAAGUGGAACAGAUGAUUGUAUCACAUUAAGUAUUAUUCUCGUGAUAGAUGAUUGACUGACAGUCAUGUGUACAGUGUACCUCAAUGUUUAUAAGAUAAUUUCAUAUAACUAACGCAACAUCAUGCAGUAGAGUUUCUACCAAUUUAGAAAACCAAAAUUGUGGAGAAUGAAAUGAAAAAAUAAGUUGAAUAUUAAGACAAAGUAUUGACUCACCGGCAAUGAUAACAAGAAUGUUGAUGUCAUGAAACCUGAAAUUCCGAAUAGCCGCAAAACAUUUCAAAGCAACGGGGAAAAUGCCAACGGCCACGGCUCCAAGGGCCAACCACCCUAAUGGCCGAUAUGCGUACUUGAGAAAUGAUAGAACCAGUAACACGCCACUACCAAUUGCAUAUGGACUUGGCCACGUUUUCUUGUAAAUGUCCCCUGCCCCAUACACUCUCACAUUUGCUUCUAGCCUUGCUUGGUUUAGUGCCUUAACUGUCCAUGAAAUAACAGAUCAAAAGGGCAAUUUCCUCAAGGAAAAAUAAAUUUGUUUAUGUUGCCCUAUCAGUUUUUCGAUAUCCAUUCAUGUGAGUUUGCUGUCGUAUUAAUUUUCCUUCAAUUUUCAAUGUUUCUAAAUGUUAUCUGAUGGGGCAAAUCAAAAGAACUUUAUCCUUAUAAGUAAUAAUGGAGUUUGAAAAACUUGUGCAUUUGUAUUAAGAUAAAAGAGUGUGUGAGAGGCCGACUAAAUGGACUGAGCAUACUUUAUUUUAUUUUCGAAUAAAUAGCUUGAGCUUUUUUAUUUUAAGAAAACUAAUGUGCUUUUCCUCAUAGUCAAGGAGUCUCAAGAUUCACACCGAAGGGGUGUAAAACUAUUUAGUAUUAUAUAGUGUAAGGUGAAACGUACAACGCUUCCAAAAAAAGAAAGAAAAAAAAAGGUGAAACGUACAAUGAAUUAGCUACAACUGAAACCUAUUUUUAAGUAUAUUAUAGUGGGUGAUGAAAAGGAAAGCAAAAUAGUACGUGAAAGUUGGGUAAAGAAAAACAUAUAAGGCAUGCUCGUCUCUAUCUUUUUGGGAACCGGAUUCUCUCUGGAUCCAUAUAUAUUGAAUAUGCUGAGCAGGCGAUCUGCACUGUUAAAAUUUGAUCCAACGACUACAAACAGAGUAUUCUCUAAAAAUUAUAAUAGUUGUAGCCGUUGAAUUAAAUUUCAACGGUCCAGAUCGCCUGCUCAGCAGCCUCAAUAUAUAUAUGGAUCAUGACAGGAUCCGGUUCCAUCUUUUUGGUUCAUAAUGGUACAAACAGAGGACCCUCUAAAAAUUAAAAUAGUUGUAGUCGUUGAAUUAAAUUUUAACAGUCCAGAUCGUCUACUCAGCAGACUCAAUAUAUAUAUGGAUCAGGAAAUGAUCCGGUUCGAUUUUUUUGGUUCAUAAUGGGACACGAUAUGCCGAUUAAUAAUUCUCCCACAACAGAAAAAGUACACGUCCACCUACUGCUAUCGUUCUUUUUUUUUCUUUUUCCCAAAACUAUUUGCUUUCUGUUGUGCAACUAUUAAGAAAAAAAUAACCAAUUUUUAGCGCAAAUAUUAGAGAAUUAAGGGGAAACACUAAUAUUAACUGGCGUAAAAUUAUUUAAGAGAAUAUAUUACCGAUUUGAAGCUGGGAAAUGAGAAGGCUAUCAUGGACAACAAUGACAGUUCUGGAAGGCACAAUCACUGAAACCGAUUUCACACCUUCAAGAGGCUUGAGGAUAUUCUCUAUCAGAGGAACUUCUGAUGCGCAGCACAACCCCAACACAUCAAAGUAGCUCUUCUGAAACUUUAUGGCUGCUGGCUUUUCUUUUCCCUGGACAGAAGCCAUCCUGCUUAAUUAUCUCUCAACUUCUGCAAAUACACAGGACACAUGAAAAAUUACUAAUUUUAUGUUGGUAUACAAACUUUGUGUCUGAUUUGUGAAGAGUAGAGUUAUGAAAAUUAUUUGGUCAGAAGUUCGUGUGUGUGUGAUACAGGUGUACCGAGGGUCUCGAGGAGACGAAGAAUAGGAGACUUGAGAAUUACUUAACCAGGGGCAACUCAUCUCCGUCGACAAUACUAAUCGUGAAUUCACUCGAUAUGACCAAGGUAAAUGCUUAAAGAAAAUCACCUUGUAGGUAAGGGGGAGCUCUGGGGAUUUUUCAAGCUUAAUUCAGAGAGAGAGAGAGAGAGAGAGAGUAAUAGGGUCUGAAAGCUUUAAGUAGAUGAAGUUGUGAGAACUAUACCUAUAAGAAGGGAAGGAUUAUAACUUAUAGAGGGACAUGUACAUAAAGAAUAUCUUAAAUUAAUGAAGUAAUCUCCUAACAAAACAACUUUCUUUGGUUGGAAUAAUUGGUUAACCAGAUGGAGGGAAAAAGAAUGGAAUCCACAUCAAAGCUUGUUUUAUAGCAUCUGUGGUUAACCUGAUGAGAUGGCCAUUCAAACUGAUUUAGCAAGUAAACCCUCAACGGCAAGUAAUGUAGUAAGCUAAUGUUGUAUUAUAACUUAUUUAGCAAGUACACCCUCAACGGCAAGUAACGGCAAGUAAUGUAGUAAGCUAAUGUUGUAUUAUAACUGAUUUAGUAAGUUUCUACAGGUAACAUUGGUUGUUAGAGGAGUUGUGCGAGCUUGUAUUCGGAGGAUCGAAUUUACGACGUGUGAAAUUAUUCAUCCUCAGGAAAUUACUACUUGCUUAUCGAGACAACAAAUGUGAGGUCGAUAUUGCAGGCUGUAGACUGUGAUAUCGAUAGCUUAUUUGUUGGGUUCAUUAAGCAAGUGGGCGGGAAGAUUCGUUGACAGCAGCUGACGCAGAUUCGGAAUUGUUAUUCUUGGGACUCGACCCAAAGACACAUCUGUUCUCGGAGUACUUGACGUUUCGAAUUCUUGGGCAAGACCCACUCUCAUUUUUUUUCAGUUUUGGUUUUCAGUAUAAGUAUUUUGAACUUCCGUUACUAGUUAAUUGUUUUGACUUUACAAAUGUUUUUGGAAAAGUAUUCUGUUUUCGUUUUUAAGUUGAUUCGAGCUUUUGAUCUAUAUGUUAGUACAUAUCUAUUUUGACGUUAUCUGGCCUUAAAUUAUUUUGUGUUUUCGACUUUAUAUCUUAUUAAAGUAUGUUUCUACUAUUACACUGAUGAGGAAAGAAAGUAUGAGUCUGGGGGCACGAAAGAUGGAAUCAUUGCAACCCGAUCGCGACGGGAUGACAUUUUUCCUUUUGUGCAACUGCUCUGAUUUGAUUUCUUCGUUACGUAUAUAUAUGUGUAUCUUUUUUCGUAUUUUCGAGUUUUUCAGUGUAGUAUGUUAUUUUAAAUUUCGAGGACGAAUUUUUUUUAUAAGGGUGGUAGAUUGAAACACCCCAACCCCAUUUUAUUUAAAAAUUGUUUUAAAGCCUUAAUUGGUGAGCCCGUGGGGCCCACCUUGUUUUAUUUUAUGUUUUCUGGUCUCCCUCUCUCUUCUCUCAGUUCUCUCUUCUCCCUCACCUUUCCCGCAACUCUCUCUCCCUCACUCUCUCGGCUCUCUCUAUCUCCACCCCUCGGAGGGUUUUUCUUACCAACUAACAUCACCAUCGUCUUUAUCUCGUCGCUACGAACUCAACCAUAGUAUUGGCAUCUUGAAAGUCAAACCAGGAAGCCCCGUUCAUGAGCUCCGUCGAGCACCGCCCCUUUCGAGGCCAUUGUCGGCCAAUCCACGGCGAGUUGGCUGGCGUGUAAGGUAUCAAUCUCUUUGUCUGCCUACGUACUACAACUUUCCUUUUUGUUUCACUCAAUUUUGUUGAGUAUUGAAGAAGUUAUACUCAUUUGAAUUUUACCCAGUUUCCGGCGACCUCUGAGGCUUUCGAGGAAUUUUCCGGAAAAAUAACGGCGAGUUAGAUGUCGUGUGAGGUACCAUUCUCUUCGUCUCUUCAAGGGUUACAACUUUUGUCUUUGUCUCGCUUGAUUUCGUUGAGUAGUGAUAAAGUUAUGGCUGUUUAAAAUUAGGUGGUUUUCCGGCUGAAUUUCCAGCCUUCUUCUUAGGCAAAACCAGGCCUCUUAGGCCCUUUAGAAAACCCCUCGGGCCUUAGGCCCGUGUUGUCUUAAGCCCAAAACCCUAGCCCCUUUAGUUUUUAAGUUUUGUUACUUGGUUUUUAAAACCCUUAGGGCCUGGGCCGGUUUUGACUUAAAGGGCUUUAAGCCCUGUUAGUUUUUGUGAGGCCUUAAGGCCUUGGUGCCGUGGGUGUGUGUGUGUGUAUGUGUUUAUGCAUGCACAUACAUGCCGUGUGUGUGUGUGUGUUUGGGGUUUAAGCCCAAACCACAUUUCUUCACCCUAAACCCUUUUAACCCAAAAACCUUAGAAAACCCAAUAUAUCCUAAUCCUAUUUAACCUAAACCUUAAUCCGGAUUUCAAGCCUAAAACCCGUUAGACCUAAUUUGACCGUUGACCCCCGGUCAAUGUUGACUUUAGGGUUGACUUUUCGGGUUUUCGUCCGGGACCCUUCUUAGGGUAAUUCGACGUUCUGAAUCCGUUUCCAAUGUCCGUUUUCCCAAAUUCAAUUUCUAUUAUAUAGUUUUAUUUAUUGGACUCUUUAUGUGCUUAGGGGCAAUUAUUGUGACGUUUCCAUCUUUGCUAGUGGCGCAACUUUUGGCAACUAAGUACUGUGAGUGGACCCCUUCUAAAAUUUCAUGAUUUUAUAGUAAUUGCAUAAAUGAUUAGCAUGCCUACGAAAUUUGUGAAUUGAUUUAUAUCAAUCCUGUUUACUGAAUUUAUUGAUUUUGUCUCGUGUUUUGGUGAGGAAAUAAAUGGUUAGCCUAUUUUGAACUAUAUUUUUAUAUAUCGUAUUUUCUAUAAAAACCAUGAACUGGUAGACUAUCCGAUGGAUGACGAUAGGAUACUAGAACAUGUUUUAGAAACCCCUCUUUAUAGUAUAGACGAUGGAUGACCUUAUACUAUGAAGUGGUUAUUUAUGAGAGGCGUAAAUAUUUGUGCGUACCUAAUAGACACUAUGCCGCCUGGGGCGAGGAUCUGGUGUUGGCAUGUAGGCCGGGAGAAAUAAUCCCUAGCGAAAGGCUGAGGGACACGGAGACAGGCAUUGGGCCGGGAGGGAGUUAUCUCUGGCUACGGGCACAGAGACUGAGGUGCAGGCAUUGGGCCGAGAGUUAUUAUUUAUUCAGUGAUCUUUCUAGCAGCACACCGCGUUUACGAGACGAUUUAUGAUACAUUUAUUGUUUUGAUUUCCGCGAUGCGUUUCUGCGAUAUGACUUUUGAGAUAUUUGGCAUGCUAGGAUUUUUUUAUUAAAUCCAUCACUUAUCAUGCUAGUAGUUUUCAUUAUUAAACUGUGGGGGUUAGUAUCUUGAUAACUGUUUUAUUAUUAUUGUAUAUAUGAACUUGGUCCACUCACCUUUGUUUUUCGCCCCUAUUCAGGACUUAGAAUCAAUGCACCUAAUCCCGACAUCAAAACACUUCCGCAGCAGCAUAUUUGAGUCCUCUCGAUGUAGGACCCACUUCUCUAUUUAUUCAAUUUUAUCUCAAUUCUUUUUAGUGAUUAGGUUUAGUUGUAUGUUCUGAACACGUUCCUAAAUUAUUAACUCAUUGUUUUUAAAUUCAUAACCUUUAUUUAUUUCUGAUUCUUAGCUUUUGUAUCAAUUAAUGGCUUUCGUCAGCCUCGGGUGUCGGCCAGCACGUGUCUAUCCUGGUAUUCGGGGAAUAUCAGGGUUGGGGCGUGUCAAGUUUCAUACAUCGUCUUUAAAAAGUUUCAAUGUCAUACCUUAUCUUCGAAUUUGUUGCAAUGUCAUACCUUCUAUCAGUUCCUUUGUUAAAUGCUGACGUGGCAUGAGACAGGUCCACUUUUUAUUAAAAAAUUAAUAAAAUAUUAAAAAGUAUUAAUUAAAUAUUAACUAAAUAUUAAAAAUUAAAAAUUUAAACCCCCCCCCCCCGAAAGAAACCCCAUCCCCUUCAUCAUCUUCCCUCCCUGCAACCCAAAUCCAAAACCACUCCCACCCAUCCUCCACCUCCUCCUCCGCACCCAUCCUCCACUUCCUCCGCGUACCCAUCUUCCCAUCUCCCUCCCCCUCCCCCCCCCCCAAACACGAGCCCAACUUGCAACCCAGAGCAAAAAAAAAAAAAAACCAUCUUCAUCUUCCUCGACCCCCCCUUCCCUGCAACCCACCCCUCGCCUUUCUUCCCCAUCCCAUCUUCCCCAAACCCACCGUGCACCCAUCCUCCUCCACCUCCUCCUCCGCACUCACUACCUGCAACCCAAAAAAGAAAAAAAAAAACCCAUCUCCCUUUCCCUGCAACUUAGAUCUCGUCUUCCCCAAUAGGUGUGGAUUUAAGGAGUGGGGUGUGUAGAGGAGGGAGGAGGGUGGGUGUGAGGGUGGGUGCGAGGGUGGGUGCGGAGGAGGACGUGGAGGAUGGGUGCGGUGGGUUUAGGGAAGACAGGAGGGGGAAGAAAUGGGUGGGUCGUAGGGAAGGGGGUUCGGGGAAGAUGAAGAUGGGUUUUUUUUUUUUUUUUCCUUCUUCUGGGUUGCAGGUUGGGUGGGGAGAAGGGGGUUGAGGGGGAGGGAAUAUGAACUAGGUUUUUUUUUUUUUUUUUUUUUUUAAUUUUAAUUUUUUAAUACUUAGUUAAUAUUUAAAUAAUUUUUUAAUAAAAAGUGGACUUGUCUCAUGCCACGUCAGCAUUUAACAGAGGAACUAACGGAAGGUAUGACAUUGCAACAAAUUCAAAGAUAAGGUAUGAUAUUGAAACUUUUUAAAGACGAGGUAUGAAAUAACCCAAACGUUGAGGUAGUUUUAUGUAAUUUAUCCUUUUUAAUUUGUAUAAGAAAAAUCAACUGUGAUUGCUAGUUCCUAGAGAAAAAUAAAUGUACUUCACAUGGAAGAGGAUACUGUUGGAUUUGUGACCAAGUGGACAACAAGCCAAAAUACCUUUCGGCUAAUAAAAUAGAAUAAGGAAAAGGGAGACAUCAUUAUGAUGUCUAGCCCUUGAUUUGUGGCUUUUACAAAAGCAAAGAAAGGUGGCCUUUUGUUUAUAUUAAGGCAUUUGGUUAUGCCUUUGGAGAAUGGGGAGUUGGGAACGGCAGAUUUGAGAGAAGAAAGAGAAGGGUUGUUGUUUUCUAUCAUUCCCAUUUUGUUUGUAAUUCCCUUUUGUUAGUUAUCACUCAAUAAAAGAUAUUUGUGCUACAUUUUGUGGCUUUUGGGAGAGAAGGAAUUUGGUAUAUGUUUCCAUCUUCUCCAUUUGUUCUUUGUGAGAGUGAGAGCUAUUGGGUGUAUGUGGGAUUUGGGUUUGAGAGUUAAAACUCUAUUUGUAAUCUCCUUUUGAUAUUAGUGGAAUUUCCUCGCCGUCUCGGAACUGGACGUAGGCUUACGCCGAACCAGUAUAAAUCCUUGUGUCAUUUGGAUUAUUUGUCUUAUCAUAUUUUGCCAUUGUUGCUUAUUGGUUUCAUAUUUGACGCUUCCGCACAACAGAUACUGCUCUUAGCAUUUCAUCAAUAAGCCAAUUGUCGACUCGCUCUGUUUUCUGCAGAGAAAAGGUAGUAAAACGCACAAACGAAAACUACGAAAGUGAACCAUAUUAAAAAAAAAGACAGUACCGAUACUUACAGAUGGGUAGCAAUUCUUCACUAUGUCCUUGAGUGUCAACCUUAAGCAGAACAAAAGGAAUUUAGCACCUAGCCAUGAGGCACCCGAAGUUCUUCUCUCCUGAAACAGAAAACUAUAUUAUGAGACUGUUUUUAAUCAAGCUUACUUUGGCGAACAACACAGAGGAAUAUCCUGGAAUAACAUUCCCACCACUGUUGAUAAGAACCACAGAUUUGACCAAAGCAGGCCAGAGACGAGCGACAAUUGCAAUAAUAUAACCUGGAGACAGAAAAUCGUAACAAAUAACAAGAAGAUACACAACAGAUAUGCACACUGGAGAAUAAAAGCUAAAAAUUAAAGCAGAUAAGCCACCAGAACUGGUUAGGUAAGUUGUAAGACAUUGUUUAGGUAAGUUGAUCAUCUCGCUUCUAGUUUAAAACAUACCACCAAUUGAGUUCCCAACCAGAUGUGCUGGUUCACCCACAACUUCAAUAAUGAAAUCUCUAAGCAUUUCAGCCCACAUGAGUUCAGUGUAUUCAAUGUUUGGCUUUUCCGAUUUGCCAAAUCCUAAUAGUGUGAUGGCCCAUACUCGGUUUCCACCUUCAGCAAUGGCGCGUAUGUUGUCACGGUAAUGCUCCAAGAAGGCUCCAAAACCAUGAACCAGAAGAGUAGCAGGACCUUCUUCACCCACAACUGUAUACUGACAAAAGGAUAGUAGUAUCGUAGUGAAAGAGUAGGUACCCCAAUCUACAACAUAAAGCUAGCCAAGUAUUUUUCCAGAUUACAAGGCACAGAAUAUCUUUGAAAUAGAAAAGAUCAGUUUCGAACAAAAUACCUGAAUUAGAUAGCCUUUCCAUCUCCAGAUACGAAUACGAAAUCUUCUGUCAUCACUUAACUGACUUUUUAGAGAGACAAGCAAAUACCACUGUCACAAAACAUAACUCAGUUGCUUACAAAUAUGUUAUGCAAUAAAUAAUGUUUAUUUGCAAAGAAAGCAACUUAGGUAAGUCUCCGAAAAGCCACUUCAAUCAAAACAUAAAUACAAUUUUCGCAUAACUGGUACAGCACCUCCAUUGAGCACACCGAAUCAACAGUUGCGGCAAUGUAGCGGAUGAAUAUCCAAAAGGAGACAGAAAUCCAGAAUCUCGUUCUUUCUUAUACUUGAGAGCUUCAAAAUAUACUCUUCUUCUGGAUAGGAUACCAAGAAAAAGGGCAGGACCAAAGAGUGUAGUAAAUGAAGCUCCAUCCCGACUUUCAGCACAGGGCAUCCGUUCAUGUUUUCUGCAACAAGAUUAUAACAAAAGAACCUUUUAGUUAAUGCAGGAAUGAAGUGGAAGUUUUUUUACUGUAAAAUAUGACCACGUACUCCCACCAGUAGUGAUCACGUUCUGUUCCCUCCAAAUAUCUCAAGUAUGCACCCAAAGCUUUCAAUGCGUUACUGGUCCCCCCUCCCAGAGAAUUUCCCUUUGUAGUGACAAACAUAGAAUUCUCGCGCUUCUUUGAUGGGACCUGGACAUGUCUAGAACUCGAAUUGUUUAGAUUUCUUUGCCCAGGCUUCAAAAUUUCCUUCAUCAAAAUCAUUUCAGCGCACAUCUCUUUCAUUGAAUUCCAACUCUUCCAUUUUGCAUGGAUUUUCUUUGAUAAAAUGUUUCAAAUCAUUAAAUGUGGGGAUGGGACCUGAAUCAUAGUAAAGCGAUUAUGGUCACUACUACUUGCAAGAUAUAUCUUCGACAAAUUUAGUAACGAAACAAAUCAAGUAGAAGUAUAAGCAGAAGCAUUAACAAUAUGGGAACUCUUACCCCAAUCCACUUCCAUGUUUCGACCAGUUAAUGUUGCGGAAGACAGUGGCAAAGUUACAGGCAAUCUAAGUUUGGUAAAUUCAUCGUAUGAAUCUGGAAUACCCUUCAAGCUCUACAUAAUCACACACUCAUCCGAUCAAUUGCUCGAUAGUAACUAAGUGAAUCACCAACCAGCACCUCAAAAACAAAUAAAAAAACCAAUCAAGACAACGACAACUACCUUCACAUCAUAAAACGGAGACUGCCACAGCACAAACUUGGGGGAAGACCGCAUUGCCGCCAAGGUGUCCCUGACACUAUCAGUCAUAUUCCUUAAGCCAUACUCCACCUCCUCCUCGGCAUAUACCGUACUAACAAACUGAACCUGUUGCAAUCCUCUCCAAUGAUGAGUGGUUCAACUACUUGUUAAAGAUCAACACCAGCCCAUUAAGAUCAGUCGGUACAAAGGAACUAGAUUGGUCUAGUUCAAACAUGCAUGGUUUUCUCUAGAAGAUUCUAUAAUGGGAAUAUGCUAGAAAACUCUAGCAAAGAAGGUUGUUCCUUAAGUUGGUGGAAGAUUCUAGAAGAAUGGUGAGGUUUCCACCAACAUGCAAGAUUAGUGUAGAUAAUUCUAGCUUGGGAAGUUAGUAGAAUUAUCUAGAUAACUCUAGCAUGAUGUUUCCAUGCUUCUCCAAGGUUCCAUCCAUGCCUAUAAAAGGAGAAGGCAUCCACACCAUUUGUAUCAACCAAUCAACCAAGUAACCAAGUAACCAACCAAUCAAUCAAGAAGGCAACCAAGUGAGAGUGAGAAGCAAGAAUAGUCUUGUAGGAGUGUGAGUGAUCUAGAGUGUGUCUCUAGAAAGUGAGUGAGUGUCAUUGCUUCUAAGUUGUGUCCUUGUGAGUGUUGUAAUAUUUUGUGUGUGUAAUAGAAGUAAUUUGUUUACUUGUGUUGUCUCUCCAACACUUGUGUUAGAGUUGUGUACUCUAAGUUCUUCCCAACACUACUCUCAUACAAUAUAGAAACCUACCCACAACUUGGAUACUGAUGUGGCGGAAUUCCAAUCCAAUCCUGCAUUUUGAUGCAUUUCUGCGUGAUUAUCUUGGAAUUCUGCCACAAUGGCAUCCCCGUGGCAGGAAGUUGUUUCUCCUUAUACACAAUAAGCAAUGCUAUUGAUGUAACAACCUCUUUUACAAGCUCUUGAAUCACAUUUUAGGCAUUCCCCAACCGAAUCAUCAAGUUCACACCUUUAUCCUUCAACGAGUUUCUCAAAUCUUGCAAAGCAAUCAAAACCGUUUCUUGCAUUUUCUCGGGAAAACCUGCCCAUUUUCCCUCCAAUGAAUCCACCUAUAGAUAUAAUCGUACAUCACUAUUUGUGUAAGAGUUUUUCAUGCUUUCUUGUUUGUCAUUUAUGCGACUUAAUCUUGUUCUUGGCAAUAUAAGUUUACACCCAUUACCUACAAGGUGAUUUUCUUUAAGCGUUUAGCAUGGUCAUAUGGAGUGAAUUCAAAAUUAGUGUUGUCGACGGAGAUGAGUUGCCUCUGGUUGAGUAAUUCCCAAGUCUCCUAUUCUUCGUCUCCUCGAGACCCUCGGUACACCUGUAUCACACACACGAACUUCUGACCAAAUAAUUUUCAUAACUAUACUCUUCACAAAUCAGACACAAAGUUUGUAUACCAACAGAAAAUUAGUAAUUUUUCCUGUGUCUUGUAUUUGCAGAAGUUGAGAGAUAAUUAAGCAGGAUGGCUUCUGCCCAGGGAAAAGAAAAGCCAGCAGCCAUAAAGUUUCAGAAGAGCUACUUUGAUGUGUUGGGGUUGUGCUGCUCAUCAGAAGUUCCUAUAAUAGAGAAUAUCCUCAAGCCUCUUGAAGGUGUGAAAGAGGUUUCAGUGAUUGUGCCUUCCAGAACUGUCAUUGUUGUCCAUGAUAGCCUUCUCAUUUCCCAGCUUCAAAUCGGUAAUAUAUUCUCUUAAAUAAUUUUACACCGGUUAAUAUUAGUAUUUCCCCUUAAUUCUCUAAUAUUUGUGCUAAAAAUUGUUUAUUUUUUUCUUAAUAGUUGCACAACAGAAAGCAAAUAGUUUUGGGAAAAUUAAAAAAAAAAAAGAACGAUGGCAGUAGGUGGACGUGUACUUUUUCCGUUGUGGGGGAGUUAUUAAUCGGCAUAUCGUGUACCAUUAUGAAUAAAAAAGAUGGAACCGGAUCCCCCCCUGAUCCAUAUAUAUAAUUAUAUAUUGAGUCUGCUGAGUAGAUGAUUUGGACCGUUGAAAUUUAAUUCAACGACUACAACUAUUAUAAUUUGCCCUCUGUUUGUACCAUUAUGAACCAAAAAGAUGGAACCGGAUCCUGUCAUGAUCCAUAUAUAUAUUGAGCCUGCUGAGCAGGCUAUCUGUACCGUUGAAAUUUAAUUCAACGACUACAACUAUUAUAAUUUUUAAAGGGUCAUUUAUCUGUAGCUGUUGGAUCAAAUUUCAAUGGUCCAAUCGCAUGCUCACCUGAUUCAGUAUAUAUAAAUCCGGAGAGGAUCCGGUUCCCAAAAAGAUAGAGACGAGCAUGCCUUGUAUGUUUUUCUUUACCCAACUUUCACGUACUAUUUUACUUUCUUUUUCAUCACCCACUACGAUAUCCGACCAAAUUAUACAAAAUAAAAGUAUUUCAGAUAAUUUCCCAUUUUCUAGGUGCUUUCUGCAGUUUUUAUGAUGAGUUUGUAGCAAAAAAAAUCUUACGAACUCGUUCUACGUAACUUUUUUCACUGUUUUUUUAUUUUAUUUUUGUUGUUGAACUUCUUUGAACGUUUCUUUGGUUUCACAAUUUACUAUGUAUAAUAUAUUUAAAAAUAGCUUUCAGUUGUGGCUAAUUCGUUGUAUGUUUCACCUUACACUAUAUAAUACCAAAUCGUUUUACACCCCUUUGGUGUGAAUCUUGAGACUCAUUGACCAUGAGGAAAAGGACAUUAGUUGACUUAAAAUAAAAAAGUUCAAGCUAUUUAUUCGAAAAUAAAAUAAAGUAUGCUCAGUGCUUUUAGCCGGCCUCUCAUACACUCUUUUAUCUUAAGACAAAUGCACAAGUUUUUCAAUCUCUGUUAUUACUUAUAAGGAUAAAAUUCUUUUGUUUUGCCCCAUCAGAUAACAUUUAGAAACAUUGAAAAUUGAAGGAAAAUUAAUACGACAGCAAACUCACAUGAAUGGAUAUCGAAAAACUGAUAGGGCAACAUAAACAAAUUUAUUUUUCCUUGAGGAAAUUGCCCUUUUGAUUUGUUAUUUCAUGGACAGUUAAGGCACUAAACCAAGCAAGGCUAGAAGCAAAUGUGAGAGUGUAUGGGGCAGGGGACAUUUACAAGAAAACGUGGCCAAGUCCAUAUGCAAUUGGUAGUGGCGUGUUACUGGUUCUAUCAUUUCUCAAGUACGCAUAUCGGCCAUUAGGGUGGUUGGCCUUGGAGCCGUGGCCGUUGGCAUUUUCCCCGUUGCUUUGAAAUAUUUUGCGUCUAUUCGGAAUUUCAGGUUUCAUGACAUCAACAUUCUUGUUAUCAUUGCCGGUGAGUCAAUACUUGGUCUUAAUCAUUGCGUUAGUUAUAUGAAAUUAUCAUAUAAACAUUGAAGAACACUGUACACAUGACUGUCAGUCGGAUCAGGAUCCUCUCCUGAGCAAAUGGAGAGGAUCCUCCUGAGCGGGCUUAUCGGGCCGUUCAAAAUUUAUCCAACGGCUACAAACAGGGGGCUCCACUAAAAGUUAUAAUAAUUGUAGCCGUUGCAUAAAAUUUGAAUGGCUCGAUGGACCUGGUCAGGAGGAUCCUCUCAAUUUGCUCAGGAGAGGAUCCUGAUCCCUGUCAGUCAAUCAUCUAUCACGAGAAUAAUAUUUAAUGUGAUACAAUCAUCUCUCCCACUUUAAAGUUACUCAUCAAAUUAUAUUUUCUACACUCCAAAAUUUUGCUACCACUUAUCUACUCAUUUCUUUGUCAGCUACUUUAUAAAAAUGAUUACAAAAAUUAGCUAUAAAAAAUUAUAAGUAAAAUGUCGUAUUAAAUAAAUCUAGGCCGUCUUGUUCUUAUUGCAAAUUGGAUUAGUUUUGGUCACUAAAUUGUGAUUGUUGUUCGUAUCGUUAUAUAUUGUAGAACCUUAACGGUUUAUCCUUUUGUUUUGUUUUUCUCCGUUGCAAGGAUGUUUAAGAAAAAGACUUUACUGAGACCUUUUGUGAUAAAACCUCAUACCUGACGGAUUGCAGGUGGUAAUUACCAAGUUGGGGACAAUAUCGGUGUUGUUGGAAAUGAGCCGUAUGGUCCGUCUCUUUGAUAAUUCUAUCGUAUCAAGAAAUGUACACAAAUAUGAACAAAAAAAAAAUCUCAAACCCUUAAUAAUCCGAUGUGAAAUAAUGUGGUAGGAUGACCUUCAACUGCCAAAAUAUGAUAAUAGUUGCUAAUAUUCAAAGUUUCACAUUCAUGGGCCAUACGGUAUAAAUGCAAAUAAAAGGGUAGUUUCAAUAAUGCAGCAAAACACAAGGGCAGUUACGACACUUUAUUUCAUGGGGGCAUUGCUAAUAUUUCUCUAUUUUAUAUACGAGUGCUACUACACCCACUCCAAUGUCUUAUUUUUCCACCCCAGUUUUUAUUAAAUUGUUAAUGACUAAUUUAUCCUCUCAUAAAAUGACAUAUAAGGACAUGCAAAAAGGCAAUGCUUCCGUUUCAGUCUCCUUCGAGCUCUCUCAAUCAUUUUUGAAACUCUAACCUCCAUAUUAAUGGACAAUGCAAUUGUGAUCAAGGUUAUGAAAUGGACUGGAUCCUGUGGACAGGUGACUCAAGUGAAGGUCAAGUUUCUAUUACUUUGUGUCGGUGAAUGGCGAGGAGAGAGGAAGGGGAUGAGGCAUUUGGAGGGAAGGCGAUUAUUGUGGAUUGAGAUGCCAUUGCAGCUGCCACUGCCAAACCCACUAGGCGGUGCUAGGAGGUGGUAUCUUUGAUUGGGAUUGGGAUUUGAUUUGGAUUUGGAGGGUGGACAAAUCCAUUGGCAACCAGUUUUGAUUCCAUUUUUGGUACUUCGUUUCUUGCCUUGCCUUCGCCUACAUUUGCUUCUGUGGCUCUGGGCACUUGGGCACUAGCCAAGCAGCAGAGCAUGCAAAUUGCAAUGGAAGUGCAAAGUAAGUGUAUGAUUGUAUCAAAAGUGACGGGUGAGCUCGGCUUUUUCCUUUCUAUUUUGUUUCAAAAUUAUUUCAUAUUUGGAAAUUCAAAGAAUUGAAAAUAGAAUGGAGGACAUGUUACUGGAAGUCUAGAAGGAAAUCAAGCAUUGAUAUGAUAGUAUCUGGGGUUUUAAGCGAUCAAUAAUGAUGGGAUAUGAGGCCAUUGAGCAGGGUGUAAGGGCGCUUUGGGAAUAACAGUGGGUGGAAAAAUAGUAUGGUUUUCUUUUUACUUUUCUUGGUGGGUGGGAAUAUAAAGUGGGUGGGAAGAUAAGAUAUUGGGGUGGGUAUAACACCACUCUUUAUAUAUAUAUAUAUAUAUAUAUUGUUUUUUUUUUAAUUCAAAAGUAUAAACACAAUUCUCUUUAGCUUUUCAAUUAAUUCAACCCCUCUCUGGUAUUUCCCCUUUAGAAAUUAAUAAUUGCAAAACAAAGAGACAUACGAUAUUGAGUAUAAAAUAGUGUUUGACAAAAAUAUCUAAAGAGGGGAUGAGGAGGGGUUCUUACUGCUAACAAUUCCCUUAAAAAUGGUGCGGCAAUCAUAAGAGAGAAGGGCGCAAGUGGGGCUUUCCUAUGGGAAAAUGCACGCUGUCACAUGGCCAUGCCAUAUUUUACCUUCCAGAGUUACCACAAACCUUACUUUUUCCAGGAAAAUUUUCAUUUUCUAGGAAAAGUUUUCAUUUUCUGUAUCUUGAGAGAUCAUUCCGUUACUGAUUUUCUCUACACAUAAUCUUGAUUUGUCUACUUGGUUUAGAGCAGUUUUAGUUCAUUUGGCUUACUACAUUACUUGCCGUUGAGGGUGUACUUGCGAAAUCAGUUAUAAUACAACAUUAGCUUACUACAUUACUUACGGUUGAGGGUUUACUUGCUAAAUCAGUUAGAGUGGCCAUCUCAUCAGUUUAAGCACAGAUGCUACUUUGAUGUGUUGGGGUUGUGCUGCUCAUCAGAAGUUCCUCUGAUAGAGAAUAUCCUCAAGCCUCUUGAAGGUGUGAAAGAGGUUUCAGUGAUUGUGCCUUCCAGAACUGUCAUUGUUGUACGUGAUAGCCUUCUCAUUUCCCAGCUUCAAAUCGGUAAUAUAUUCUCUUAAAUAAUUUUACACCAGUUAAAAUUAGUAUUUCCCCUUAAUUCUCUAAUAUUUGUGCUAAAAAUUGGUUUUUUUUUCUUAAUAGUUGCACAACAGAAAGCAAAUAGUUUUGGGAAAAAGAAAAAAAAAAGAACGAUAGUAGUAGGUGGACGUGUACUUUUUCUGUUGUGGGAGAAUUAUUAAUCGGCAUAUCGUGUACCAUUAUGAAUCAAAAAGAUGGAACCGGAUCCCCUCCUGAUCCAUAUAUAUAUAUAUAUAUACAUAUUGAGUCUGCUGAGCAAACGAUCUACACCAUUAAAAUUUAAUUCAAUGACUACAACUAUUAUAAUUUUUAGAGGGCCCUCUGUUUGUACCAUUAUGAACCAAAAAGAUGGAAUCGGAUCCUCUCAUGAUCCAUAUAUAUAUUGAGCCUGCUGAGCAGGCGAUUUGGACCGUUGAAAUUUAAUUCAACGGCUACAACUAUUAUAAUUUUUAGGAGGUCAUUUAUUUGUAGCUGUUGGAUCAAAUUUCAACGGUCUGAUCGCCUGCUCAGCAGAUUUAGUAUAUAUGAAUCCGAAGAGGAUCUGGUUCCCAAAAAGAUAGAGACGAGCAUGCCUUGUAUGUUUUUCUUUACCCAACUUUCACGUACUAUUUUGCUUUCCUUUUCAUCACCCACUACGAUAUCCGGCCAAAUUAUACAAAAUAAAAGUAUUUCAGAUAAUUUCCCAUUUUCUAGGUGCUUUCUGCAGUUUUUAUGAUGAGUUUGUAGCAAAAAAAAUCUUACGAACUCGUUCUACGUAACUUUUUUCACUGUUUAUUUUAUUUUAUUUUUGUUGUCGAACUUCUUUGAACGUUUCUUUGGUUUCACAAUUUACUAUGUAUAAUAUACUUAAAAAUAGCUUUCAGUUGUGGUUAAUUCGUUGUACGUUUCACCUUACACUAUAUAAUACUAAAUCGUUUUACACCCCUUUGGUGUGAAUCUUGAGUCUCCUUGACCAUGAGGAAAAGGACAUUAGUUGACUUAAAAUAAAAAAGUUCAAGCUAUUUAUUCGAAAAUAAAAUAAAGUAUGCUCAGUGCAUUUAGCCGGCCUCUCACACACUCUUUUAUCUUAAUACAAAUGCACAAGUUUUUCAAUCUCCGUUAUUACUUAUAAGGAAAAAGUUCUUUUGUUUUGCCCCAUCAGAUAACAUUUAGAAACAUUGAAAAUUGAAGGAAAAUUAAUACGAUAGCAAACUCACAUGAAUGGAUAUCGAAAAACUGAUAGGGCAACAGAAACAAAUUUAUUCUUCCUUGAGGAAAUUGCCCUUUUGAUCUGUUAUUUCAUGGACAGUUAAGGCACUAAACUAAGCAAGGCUAGAAGCAAAUGUGAGAGUGUAUGGGGCAGGGGACAUUUACAAGAAAACGUGGCCAAGUCCAUAUGCAAUUGGUAGUGGCGUGUUACUGGUUCUAUCAUUUCUCAAGUACGCAUAUCGGCCAUUGGGGUGGUUGGCCCUUGGAGCCGUGGCCGUUGGCAUUUUCCCCGUUGCUUUGAACGUUUUGCGUCUAUUCGGAAUUUCAGGUUUCAUGACAUCAACAUUCUUGUUAUCAUUGCCGGUGAGUCAAUACUUGGUCUUAAUCAUUGCGUUAGUUAUAUGAAAUUAUCAUAUAAACAUUGAAGUACACUGUACACAUGACUGUCAGUCAAUCAUCUAUCACAAGAAAAAUACUUAAUGUGAUACAAUCAUCUCUCCCACUUUAAAGUUACUCGUCAAAUUAUAUUUUCUACACUCCAAAAUUUUGGUACCACUUAUCUACUCAUUUCUUUGUCAGCUACUUUAUAAAAAUGAUUACAAAAAUUAGCUAUAAAAAAUUAUAAGUAAAAUGUCGUAUUAAAUAAAUCUAGGCCGUCUUGUUCUUAUUGCAAAUUGGAUUAGUUUUGGUCACUAAAUUGUGAUUGUUGUUCGUAUCGUUAUAUAUUGUAGAACCUUAACGGUUUGUCCUUUUGUUUUGUUUUCCUCCGUUGCAAGGAUGUUUAAGAAAAAGACUUUACCGAUGUCUUUUGUGAUAAAACCCCAUACCUGACGGAUUGUGCAGGUUGUGGAGCCAAAAAUAUUCACAAGGCGACAUGUGGAUUUUUCACAAAAGAAGACAAAACUACCCUUGGAGCAUACCGGGAUCCUUACGCGCAAGCAACGGACAAUUAUCCCUCAACCAAGUCAAAAGUGCCCAAAAUAGAUAUCAACUUAAAACCUAAUUUAUUCAUAUAUUUCCUAUUUCAUUAUUUAGCUAAUCAAUUAGCUAAAUACUAUACUUAUUCCAUAAUUCCUAAAACAUUACUUUAGUCUAAAGAAAGCAUUGCAAUUGGCACUGUUCUUUACUGUUCAUUAUUUUUGGACCCCAAUUUCACUCUAUUUACGGACUUGCCAUUCACUAAGGAUUUCGGCUGGGCUUUUUUCUUUUCAGAUUUAGUUGUAUGGGCUUUUGCGGGUUUGGGCUGUGACUGGGUUGGUGGGUUUUGUUUGUGGUUGGGUUUUUCGGAUGGAUGGCGACACGGGCAGGCCUAGCCUGCAACGAUGCCAGCGAGAAGAGAUGGAAGGUGUCGUGUGAUGCGAGAGAGAGAAGAGAGAGAGGAGUCGUCCGAUGGCAGAGAGAAGAAAGAGGGGUCGUGCGAUGCCAGAGAGAAGAGAGAGCAGGACUCCUGGAAGGAAAAAUUGGAGGAGAGAGGGAGGGGUAGGAUGAGCAAAGCAAUAGGUAGGGCUGCCCGGAAUUUGGCUUUUCUUUUUUCUCGAUGAGGUAUGCUUAGAGAAGCGGUGAGGCAUGAAGGGACGCCCAAACCGAGGGUUGGUUUCAGAGAUUUGGUUCCAGCUGGAAGCUAUCUCUGCAAGCAUUGAUGAGGAUUUCUCCCAACUGGCAGCUUGAAUUCCUUUCAAAGCUAAGUGUCCAUUUUGAACCGAAUUUUCCCUUAUUUCACUGUUUCUGGUUUGAACCUGCUUAGAAACCUAUUUGUUUUCCUGCUUUGUUUUCUGUCUGGUUCUGGUUCGGUUAUUCAACUUUUAGUUGGGAGUGCAAGAUAUUUUUUAAAUUAUUAAAUUGGGACAGAAAAACAGAUAUUUUGUGCUGCUUUCUUCACUGUCUGAUAAUACCACUUGCUCUUCCUUUCUCUUUUUCUUCCUGUUGUGUUGGUCUUUCAGUAUUAUAGCUUCUCUGCAGAAAUCAAACUGUAUGCAAUUUGCUCCUUUUUGUUCAUUACCCUAUUAUUUGGUUCCUCUUUUUUUUGUUCAUGGCUUAUUGUUUUUUGUUGUGGUGAUGACCGUGUGAAUUAAAUACUCAGUUAUCCAUUCCUCUAAAAUACAUGAUGCGUCUGAUUCUUUUUCGUUCACAGAUGAUGGUGCAUGGUUGAGGUUUAUAUGCUAUCCCUCUGUUGGUUGUUUUAUGAUUGUAAUUUUUUGUUUUAAAACGUGUAUGUUGUGUGUGAUGUACAAAUUAGAGCAGAGGUUUGUACAUGCGGUUUUAAAUUGAGGGGGAGCCAUAAUUUUGUUAUCAGAAAAAAAUUUGAUUGAGGUUUCAUCUGGUUGUGUUACGGUUGCACAAUCUGUGGUUCGCAGCGACUGUGAUCAUUUCCUGACAAAUGUAUGGAGCUGUGUUCUUUUUGUUGGGGAAUUAUGGUUGGUGAUAUUAACAAUGGAUUGAGUCUUUCUGUUUGGUAUGAUUAUAUCGUUGAACAAGCAUGGUUUUAAAGUGGAUGCAGAUGACAAUUUUGUUUGCACGAGAAAAUGGUUGAGUUAGUGGUUUUUAAUCGUUUAAUUGUUGUGCCUUUGCUAUGAUCCCUGUUCCAGCGGUGUUUGAUUGGCGCAAAUAGAUUUUCAUUGUUGUUUCUCAGCUGUUAUUUUCGUUGCUGUUCUGUGAGUUAGUGUUAAUGGCUUUGCUGUGUUUGCGAUUUUCAGGAACUUGGAUCGUUGGACAUAGCACUUGGCCCUUUGGCUUUUGAGGUAUAUUUAUUUGCGGUUGUUAUGGUGGAAUGUGCAAUCGUUAUGUCUUAAGUUGAGCCUGGUUCUUUAAUAAAAACAACCAAAUGUAUUGACUUUUGCAUGUGUUUUGCGUGAGAACACCAAGUUGUGAUGUGUUCGUCGUUGUAAACAUUAUCAGCAACUUUGGCUUUUCAUGUGUUCGCAUGGUAAAAACGGCUAAUAUAUUGAGUUUGAAAAUAAGGGUUUGGGGUUCGCUAUCUUUCCAUAUGUAUAAUUUUACCCCAUUUUUCGUUUCUUUAUAAUUUCAAUUAUCUUUCAGCAACCUAAUCACUAAGCUUAUUAAAUUCAUUGACCAGGUGAUUUUGGAUUCAAUCCAGAAGUUCCUAUUUCUCAGAUUGGUGUUGUCUGUUCCUUUGUGGUAGUGAGAUUGGUAAAUCAUUGCAUUUUACUAAAGUAUUUGACCUGCGUGUUCUGAACUUUUGAGCUCAUUUCGUCUCUAAAAUGUCCUCUUGGAGCUCUUACUGUGAUUGUUCUUCUAUUUCUUUUAUUCAAAAUGUUUUACAUUUCUCAUUUAAUUGGUGUGCCAUGCCCUACUUCAGUUUGUAUUUUUUUUUUUUUUCGGUUAUCAUUUGCCAUCUCACUUCAGUUUUAAGUGGUCAUUUCACCUUAGUUUAUUAGACCACAAAAGAUGUUAUUAUGAGACCAUUAUAUUGUAAUUGAUUCUGAUGACGGAGGUUUAUCGGAGAUGAAGGCUAAUGCUUAAGCUUUCAGUGGUUAAUAUCUCUUGAAACUUUUGAUUUCAUUUAUCUUAUUGACCUUUUCUCUCUUUUUUUUUUCUCUCAACAGUUGGGAUGAGUGGGUAGGGUUGGAUCGUCUGAUGAAAAACACUGACGAGAAUAAGAAGAAGCACGAGUACCUCAACCAGAAACAGGGAACAGACAAGAAUGCAAAGCUAAUACACACAACACAUACUAAACCAAAAAGUUAUCAUGGUUGGGUUUAUCAUCUUUUAACAUUUCUUUUGUUGUUGCCCAAUCAUGAAAUUUGGAUUUAUUCUUGAAUGUUAGAUGUAGGGUGUGGAAUUCUAGCAUGUGACAUGAACCAUCCUAUUUUUCGGCGAGCUUUGGGGUUUAACGGUCCUACCCUUCAUAGGGGUAAAUAUAAUGGAUAUGGGAUACUGAAAAAGUAACAAGGUAGUUAACUAAUUUACCAACAUGCAUUCUUCAUUUACGAUCAUAACUUGAAUACGGUUCUUGAAUUAGGAUGCCAAGUGGUUAGGUACUGAAAAUAUAUCCUGUUAUAUUAACUUCUCUUGCAAUUUGAAAGUGUAUAUAAUCUGCAUUGUUCUUACUGUUGGUAUGAAAUUAUGUGCAGCGUCAAGAGGGAAGAAGCGAAAGAAUGACUCUGUCUGUAAGGUAUACCUCCGGGUCAUUAUACAUAUCUCUCUGUUCAUAUUAUUUCCUUUUCAUUCUUGCUAAAUUAUUGGGUUAUUAUAUUUGUGUACAGAUAUUAGUGUAUUUGUUAAUUGGAUUUCGAUAAUUGGAGUUCAAAUAUUACAUUGUUAUAAAGAUACCAAUUUCUCAUAUGAUUGCAAUUUGCAUGUAGAUAUGUGUUAUCUGAUUCAAUCACAAAAUUUGUAUCCCUUUAGCUAAUAGUGUGUUCAUUUGCUGAACUGGGUUGGCUUUAGUUUUAGGUUUUAUUAUGCGGUACGCAGUGGGUCAAUUCUUGAACAUAUUCUCAAUUUAGAAUGAGAGAAACUAAUGAUUCUUCUGAAUGAAAAUGUUUUAGAUGGGUUUCUGUAAUGCGAAUUUCGUGAGGCUCAUAACGCUGAUUUGAUUCUCUCAUAAGAAAGGAUCUCCUCUCUGGCUUUCUGGGCCAAGUCAUCGAAGCUCUCUCUGUAAGUAAUUUCUCACCCUUUUCUUCAUCCCGUCGUAGUAAAAUCGGAUUUCUUUGGUUAAAUUGAAUGCGCCAAUCAGUUCAUUUGCUUUCAAUUUCUUAAUUCUCUGCUUGGUUGCUGGGAAAGUGUGGGAAAAAUGAUUUAAAUUUACUUCCUUUUAUGUUUCCGACUUCAAUCUUCGUAGUAAUUGUACCUAAAUGAGCUGACUUUUGUUACAGUUUUUGUGGAAUUCCAUCUUCUCUCUGUUAUCUGAUUGAUCUAAUUGAUUUAAAAUGUAUAUAAAAAGUGACUUGAUUUUUGUUUUUUGCUCUGUUGACUUAUGAACUGUUUAAUUGGAUUCAUUAUUGAAAAAGCUGAUUUUUUAUUUUAUUUUAUAUUUAUUUAUUAUUUUUUUCUUUUUAAAGAAAAAUGAUUCUUGAAUGCACAAUGUUGAUGGGUUUUUAUUGCCCAUCUCAAAGACUGAUAAAUUCACUUUUGGGGGAACAUACAUGCCUAGCAUUUUUUUCCUGUGCUGAUUUGAGCUGCAAAUGUAUGAGGGUUGGUCUGAAUUGACGAGCAUAGAUUUUGCGUAUGCACAUGUAUACUAAUUUAGGAUUUUGAGCAUUGUGGUGGUAUGAUCUCAUGAUAAAAUGUCCAAGAAUAUAUGAUUUUUAUUCUUUUGAUUCAGUAUCAUGACUCAAUUGCAAAGCACUAAACAUUGUAGUUAAAUACUUGCAUGCUAAUGGUUUGGUGUAAUGGUAACUCAUUUAGAGAGAGAAAGUGGCAGCAGUAGUGGGGAAGGAAGAAGGACUAUUCAUGUUUCUGUUAUCAUUUCUGCCAUUCGAAGCUCUGGGGGUUUGGCUUUGGCUCCGUUAGCUGUUGAGGUAAUUAUUAAUUUGCAAUUUUUUUUUCAGUAUUCGGUGAGUUUGAUCAUAUGGGUUUCACUACUCAACCCUUCUCUACCAUUACGAACAGGUUCACUUUUUAGGGUCGGUAAUUUUGUGGUUUGAAAAUUAUGUGUUAGAAGUGUAAGUUUGGGCUUAGAAAUGGGUUUUCUGUUAAAAUUUCAUUUUUGUGAUUUUGGGGGCUUUGUUUCAAGCAAUCUCAUCCCUUUAAUCAGACUUUUUCCAAAUUUUAUUGGUGGGUGUUGGGUGCUUUUGAAUUUGGUGAAAUUUGUGAUUUUUCAGUGCUUCAAUGAUGUUUUGGAAUGAUUGGUAUUUUGGUGUCAAAUGCAACUAAUUAUGUGGAUCUUCAUUUGAUGAUUCAUUUCUUUCACUCAGUGUGUCAAGAAAUGAGUUCAACCAUGGAUUCGUAUACAUUGAAGUCCACAUCAGAUUUGUCUGCUCUCUGACCUGAUUGAGUGAGGGAUGAGUGCAGGGAGAAUAUGACGGAAAUUGAGGAGGAAGCCCAUGCUUGCAGAGAGUUAGUGAGAUCUGAAGCCCAUGCCUGGAUGAACUCAUUUAAUUUGAGCACACAGAGCUCAAAUCUGGUGUUCAAAAAUAAGGCGGAGGCCACAAAGUUCUCAUAUUUAAUUUUCAUGGGCCGUGCAAAAAAAUUUUGGACUUUUUGUGAUCCCACAACCCCUCCCCCACAUAUAAUUGGCUUUAAAGGGUUCAGGGUUCUAUUCUUUUAUUAUUUGUUUCUCUCUUUUGGACCAAAAGGCAGAUUUUGUUCAUUAUUUCAAAGUAUUAUUAUUAUUUUUAGAAAUUUGAAAGAUUGUUUCAAACAUUGAUAUAUAAACGCAGUGCAAUUUGGCAUAUCAAAUCAACCUGCAGCUUCCUUGGGACUCUAAUUCUUAGGUGAGUUCUUCUGUUUCUCAUUUUAUUGAUGCUUUUUUGUUUUCCUUUCAUCUAGGUUCUGUAAUUUUCAUAUAGUUUUUUGUUCUUUUGAUGCAUUUGCUACUGUGAUCUUCUAACUGCUGAAGUUUAUAGAGCAUUUCAGUUAGAUGUUAUUAUUAAAGAUUGCAGCUUUGAGCUUUUUUUCUCCUUGAAUUUUACUGUUUGAUUCUUGGGUGUGUUUAUUUUUCUUGCUCAACAAUUUUUUCUAAUGCCAUCAGCUGUGAUGGUUAAUAUUCUGAAUUCAUCGACUUUGAUAUGAUUAGACUAUUGCAAUUAAGCAUUUUGAUUAGAUUUCAGCAAACAACAUAAGAUUAGCGUGCUGGAAUUCAAUAAGAUAGAAGCUAAUAGAACACUUUGAUAUGCAGGAAUGCUCGACAAUUGGUCUUAUUAAUGGUUGUCUUCCAGAGGAAUUAAAGAAGGUACCUUUUAUAUGUAGCUUCUGAAUGGGGGAAUUCAAUGUCUUAUAUUGUCAAAUAUAAUGUUAUUGUGUAUGUAUUUACUUUGCAUAAACUUGGUCUCACUUUUGAUUGAAUUGUUGUAGUUCUUGGUAUAAGGAGCUAUAGCUCCAUUGAAGAAGUGAGAGGCAUACGACAAUAUUUCUUCAGUCUGGUAUGUCAUUUUAACGAUUGGAAUUCCACAAUUUGAUUAGUUUUGAUAAUUUCCGGAAGAAGAAGAAGGCCGUGUGUCCAAGUUUUAAAAAGCACACUUUGUAAUGCUUCAAAAUUUCAUGCUUUUUUCAGGAAUUCAGACAGGCAGGAUGCAGAUACUUCUGACUUUAUCAAGGUUAGUGAAUUAUGUGGUUUCUCCACGGGGUGCAGUUUUAUUGGUGCUACUGUUACGUCUCUCAUUAUUAUUAGCUUUUCUUUCUCUUUGUUCAUAUUUUUGUCUUCGAGGAUGAAUCAUUGGAAGCAUAAUAUGUUUUUGCAUCAUGCUUUUCUUUUUCCCACUAAAGUGGCAUCAAUAGUUAUUAUAUUCCUCCUCUACAAACCUCUUUAUACGAACAACUGAUGGACUUUACGGUGUACAAGCAAACUGGUUAUGAGAGUAUUAAGUGGGUUUCUAUAAGACAAGGUGAUAGAUUAGCAAGUCUGAACUCAGUUUCUUCCUACUAAUUGUGCAAUGUCUUUACAUGUUAGCUUAGUUGAAUGUAUAUAAAAGUCAAGCUGCUUAUCUUAUCGACCUCAUUCACUCAUGUGCCUUUCUGUUCAUUCGUGAUUGUGUUGAAUUUAUUCAGGUUAAAUGUGUCUUAUUCAUGUAGUUACGCCUGAAACAGUGGUUCUCGCCGCAACGCGCGGGCUUAUUUUCUAGUUCCUUCUAAAAUAAUGAUAAAUAGCUAAUUAAUGGGUUAAUUAGCUAAUUAUUCCCUUAAUUAGCAUUUAGACCUUUCACUUUACCCUAACUCCCACAAAAGGGGCCGGCUAUCCCCAUUUCAAAACCUCAUCCAUCACCUUUUCUGCCAUUUUUCACCAUUUCUUCCUUUUUAUUAGCCAAUAAAUUCCAUAACCACAAAAGCAUUUCCUUUUAUGUUUAAUUAGCCAAUUAAUUGGCUAAUUAAACCAAAACAAAACCUAAAACCCUACUAAGUGCCCGGCCAUCCUUUCCUCUCCUAUAAAUUGGUUCCCAUUUUCACCAAACACUAAUUCCAACACUUUGGCAAAAAUCCCAAAAUUCUCUAAACACUAUUUCUCUCUAAAUUCUAACUUUGGCAUCGGAGGUUCUUCGGCCAAAGCCCCCCACAUUCAUCGUGGGCGCGUGAGGCUCUUGGCCUAAACCUAAGGUGUUAAUUGUUUUGAAGGUGCAAAAUUGUCCAAGAUCAAGGAGGAAGAAAUUUGCAUCCACAAAUUGGUGCUUUCAUUGAGAGUUGAAAUCCACACUCGUAGAAGACUCUCGCACAAAGGUUUUUUCUUUAUUUUCUAGUCCAUUUGAAUAUUUUUCAUACGUUCUUAUUAUUGGAAUUUUUUACUUGCAAAGUUUCUUUGAUAAAACGUAUAAGCAAAAUAUAAUGGCUAGAAAUUUAGAAAAUUCCACAAGUGAAAAUUCUAAUGUUCAAGAAAUGGGAUUGCGGAGAUCCGUGAGGCUAAAUGCGACAAUAACAGCACCACCACCACGAGUUUCCACCAUGGGAACCACCACAAUAGCUACCUCGGUAGCCACCCGUGGCGAGGUCCAUGGUGCCUUCACCACGGCUCGAGCCGUGCCAUCCAAGGCUCACGGCCCAAGUCGUGUCAUCCAAGUUUGCACGGGCCUGGGCCCAAGCCUCGCAUUCGCAUGCAUCACAUACUAAGCAGCUUGUUCCCGCCAAGCAACAUGCUCUCGCCAAGCAAUCCACUCUCGUGACCCAGCCUGCUCCCGACGAGCAACCCACUCUCGUGGUCCAGCCUGCUUCCGUUGAGCAGCCUACUCCCGUGGCCCAGCCUGCUCCCGUCGAGCAGCCCACUCUCACGGCCCAACCUGCUCCUGCCGAGCAGCCUGCUCCCAAUGAGCAGCCCACUCUCGUGGCCCAGCCAGCUCUAGUCGAGCAACCCACUCUCACGGCCCAACCUGCUCUCGUGGCCCAGCCUGCUCCCGUGGCCCAGCCUGCUCCCGUGGCUUUCCAAGCAGCCCAAGUCGGCCCAAGACUAUCUCAACCAUCCGGACCUACCAUCGAGCUGGGGGCAUUCUCACCAUAUUUUUUAACGGACAUUUCCCAACUCAAAUCUCCCGCCCGGAGUCUACCACCUUUCCACUGCCCGAUGAGGCGCAUUCCUUCCAAGCUCUUCAAAUCCAAAUGGCGAACAACACUUGUCUCGACAAGUCAUAGAGUUGACGAGCGCCCUUGCACAACAGACAACCUUGGUGAAUCAACUUUUGCAACGCAUCGGAAUCCAACGUGCCCCGGACGAGGUAUCCCGAAGUAGGAUAAGGGCAGACAGACAUUUCCAGCAGCGUCCCGGCAAGCAGCCACGAGCCGAACGUUUGGGCAGUGUACAUUCCAGUCUUAGCGCGUGGAGGAGCAUGCACUCUCGACUAGGCCCACAGAUGAGCAUACAUUCACAGUUGGGGUCAUACUCCGAUAGUCAACAUGAGCAACCUUCCGGGAAAAGUGUCCAUUCGCGGCUAAGCCCAUAAGAAGCAUCUUUCACCUCACAUCAGAGUAGGCAGCACGACGGACAGAGAGAAGCAGUCACUCAAUCCAGCUUAAGUUCAACCAGCAGCCUGCGAAGAACUUGCUCGCCUGCUAGAAACACACCACAUACAUUGCAUCCGCGGCAUAGACGAGCCAAACACAUGGAAGAGCAGCCUAGACCAGUAAGUCAUGGCUGGGGGCAGUCGAGAGCUCCGCUACCCCAAUAAAGGCAAAUUCAGGAAGAAGUAGAGAGACUCUUGACCAAGCGAUUGCAUGAUUUCCAACGCAACGAGGUCAUCGAUGAGGCACUACGACGGAACAUGACCAAUAUAAGUAGGUCACCCUUCACGGAUGAGAUCGAGCAGGCAGAGCCUCCAUGUGAGUUCAGCAUGCCACAUUUCACAUCUUUCAAAUGAGAUGAAGACCUGGAGAGACACUUAAAGCGCUACUGAAGCGCAAUGAUCCUUUAUCGAAACAAUGAUGAUCUCAUGUGCAAGAUAUUCGCCACCACUCUACAAGGCGAGGCGCAAGAUUGGUUCUACACCCUGCCGCCACAAUCCAUCCGGAAUUUCUACGAACUUUCUUUGGUUUUCACCAAAGAAUAUUCAUCCUAUCGCUCGAUUAAAAAGAAGUCUGACCGUUUGUUCGACGUCAAGAAGAACCCAAAGGAGUCGCUUCGCUACUAUGUGAGGAGGUUCAAAGUAGAGAAGGCAAAAAUAGUCGGAUGCAACGACUCAAUAGCUAGAGCAGCCUUCCAAAAAGGACUUCCAGUAGACCACCCGCUAUUCGAAAAAUUGAUCAUGAAAGAAGAUCUAACUCUAGCAUACUCUUUUGCUUUGGCAGAGAAGCAUGCACUUUGGGAUGAGGCUCGCCAAUGCACAUUCAAGGACUUGAGGAGGUACCCGACAUCACAUUCCUAGAAGCAGCAGAGGACUUAUUCGCAUGUUUGACGGUAUUUAAAGUAGCAAUAAGCUCUACCAUCAUGCGAGAAGAGCUGGGGGCUCGACUACAUGUAUUCUACAGUUCAAAAGCUUUCCUCGAUGCUAUUAAAAAUUCAAAAGCUAACUUUUGCGAUAAUUGUUGUAACCUAAAAGCUUAAGUUUUACCUGCAAACACAAGUAGUCAUCAUCGUGACGCACUAUUUUGCUGAAUCCAAACCGACGACGAUAAAGGCGUAGACCCUAGCAGAUGCAAAGUUUUCUGACUAACGCAACAACUCGGCCCAACGAUGCCCCGAAGGCAGCCGAGCACACUUUAGCCACACCUGCUCCCUCAGUGGAGAUUUCUGACGUUUGCAUGUCGACGGCGCAUCCAACUACGAAGGCUCGUGAGCAGCCGUGGUUCUUGCCACCCGAGACGUUUCAAUGCUCAAGCAGGCGAUCACUCUAAGCUUCAAAACAUCAAACAACAAAGCAGAGUACAAAGCCCCACUAGCAGGCUUUCGAAUGACAAAAGACUUGGUGGUGAAAAAGCUUUUAAUUCAUUCCGAAGUCCUAGCUAAUCACCAGCCAGACUACUAGGGGCAAAGGCAUAAUGAUCGUGGCAACCGACUACUUCACCAAUAAGAAAAGAAAAUGGCCAGACGAACUCCAAGGAUGUCUAUGGGCAUAUCGUACAACCAAAAGACGAGCAACCGAAAGGAGAUGACCACAAGCUUAGAUCUGGCAGAAGAGAGGCGCGCACAGACUAUCAUUCGCAUCGCAGCCUACCAGCAUCAGCUCAUCUCCAGCUACAACAAAAGGGCCAAGAUCCGGCAGUUCCAGCCUGGAGAAUUGGUCAUAAGAAAAACCUUCAUCACUGCCAGCAGAAAAGGCUCCAAAAAUAUGAAUCCUAUCUGGGAAAGUCCGUACAAGAUCAGCAUAGUAGGUGGCAAGAACAAUUACACCCUCGCCACCAUAAAACGACAAAAAGAUCGAAAAACAGUGGAAAGCCUACAAUCUGAGGAAGUACCAUGGGUGACCUCUUGCUACAUUAAAGCCCGAAGACUCAAGCAGCUCGACGGGCACUACCUCACCAACCGAGGAUUAUCCAGUUGUUAUGCAGUUCUUACCUUACAUCUAAGUUCUCGUUUGUUUAACUCAUUUUUCAAUGAGGAAUUCAGAAGUAAUCACGACUUGGCUUGGCUGCAUGCUUACAACAACUGAUCACUUAUGCACUUCAAAAGAAGACCGCGCCCUUCUUAGGGAUUUACCGCAGGAAUUGCCCCCCCCCCCCCGAGGGACCAACCAUGCUCUCCAGUGCGAGAGGGUAAACUAAUUGCUCUCCAACGCGAUAGGGUAAACCAAUUCCCCGACACCCACAUGGGUCAGCUCUCCAAGAACAGGAGGAUAAACUCUACACUCCGAAUAUCCAGACGUGGAUGAGCUGGGCUGCCCUAGUAUAACUAGAUGCACGAUGGCUUGCGCCGGGAUUCCUAGAAGUAGCCGCAAUGGUCUUUUUUAAGGCUUAGCUAACUGAAGGAUUUUGGGUCUUUUGGCCUAAUCCGUGGGGAACCGGGCCCUAGAGACGGAGAGGGCACAUUACGCAGUACAUUCGAUGGAUGGCUGCCCUGGAAUCCUAAAGCUGCUACCGAGUGCACUAAGGUAGCCUACGGAUUUCGUAAGACUGCCUACGGUUUGCCCUUCGAACAGUAAAACUGUUCUAGACUUUUACAACCGCACAUUCUUGUGAAAGGUUAAACAAGCUAGCACACAUAUAUGAAGUUUUAUCCACUGCCGACAUGCUACGUAGUCGAUAAGCUUCACCUCUGCCAAGCGCAGAACAACCUACACCAAGUCCUAAAGUGUUGUGAUACUUGUUACGCAACCUACGGAAUUGGAGAAACUCAAGGUUAACAGCCUAGUGGUUAUGCGGACUUGUCUGCUUCUGUAAGUAAGGCAUCCGGCUGCCAACCCAAUGGCUAACAACUUUGCAAAGUUCUAUACCAACACCUACGGCUGCAUAGGCUACGCGAGCUUGUCUGCUUAUAAAAAAGUAGCAUGCUUGCCACUGGUCUAUCAAGUCUAAAGGUUAGGGCAUGAACAAAAGAAGCAAAAAUGAAGAAAAGCUAAGGAAAACAUGUUUAUAAACAACUAGUAAAGGCCAAAUGAGUUCAAGCAAAAUAAAAGCUACAAGGAAAAACAAAGAAAAUCUUAAAGGCUACCUAGAUGACUACACUUUAGCAACCUGGACAUCCCACGACUAUUCGGUCGCCACACCUUCAGCAGCCGUGAAGCUCUUAGCAGCGGCAUCAUCCCCGACUGCUCCAGCCUGGGCACCAACUUCUCCAACUACUUCACCAAUACCAACAUGGACGCGCUGCAGCUCAUCCACUUCUUUCUUCAAACUUUCGUUGAUCUUCAGUACACCUUGAAGUUCCAACACUUGGGGUUCAAGCUUAUCGACGAUUCUCUUGAAGUGGAUCACUUGAUUAUAAGCAGCAAUCAACUUUUCAUCCUUUGCAUAAGCAGCGAAAAAAGUCUUUGGUUUUUUCUCAGCCGGCAUCUCUUGAGCAGGCAGGGAAGAUCCCUUUUUCCACCUUCACUUGCAGCAGGAUCCACAACGGUGAUUAGACGAGCCAAUGCAUCCGCCUUAAUCCUAUUCACCUCUUAUUUUGGAGCAGCCUACGUUUCUCCUGACGAAGAGAGUUAAAGUAGCCAACGCCAUUCGUGGUACCCAGCAGGGGAGUUCAACCCAACAUUCCAGCAGCUCAUGAGGCCUACAACCUUUUCAUUUCUCUCAAUCACCUACCUAGCUCGCGUCAUGUCCAAAAGCCCAAAAAGACAUGAGCCAUGUGACUCGCCUAGCACUGCGCCACAGCGCCCGUGGCCCCAGCCAUACAAGCUGCCCUUGGUUCUAGCCAAGUCGAGCAGCUUAAAGCAGUGGUCCCUGCCACAAUACCUCCUUGGCCCAUGCCAGCCGACGUGCCGUACCACCCCGACGGCUGCCCCGAGGUAGCACCAUCUAAGAAGAAGAGAAGGAAAAUUAAUUUUUUCUUACCUCAGUGCGGCACGAAAAAGACGAAGAAAGCAACGAAAGACGGUCCUUUGCACGGGCAAGAUGUAGAAAAUUGCUAGAGGAGGGGGAACAAAUAUCCUCUAAGCUAUCUCUCUCUUGUAAGCUAUCUCUCUCUUGUAGGGUAGAAUAAAUCGCUCUCCAAAGUUGAUUUAAUAACCCACUUAAGGUGGACUUAAAUAGGCUUUGAGAGAAAUUUAUUUCUCUUUCCUAGAAGAAUCUAAUUUCCUAUUAAAGAGAGAAUCUACAUCAAAAUAGGAAGCAAUCCUAAGUUUCCUAAAGCAAAAAGAUCUCUACACAUGCUGCCCUUUCUGCGAACAGCCCAACAGGUGUGGGGGCAUUUGUGGAGCCAAAAAUAUUCACAAGGCGACAUGUGGAUUUUUGACAAAAGAAGACAAAACUACCCUUGGGGCAUACCGGGAUUCCUACACGCAAGCAGCGGGCAAUUAUCUCUCAACCAAGUCAAAAGUGCCCAAAAUAUGUAUCAACUUAAAACCUAAUUUAUUCAUAUAUUUCCUAUUUCAUUAUUUAGCUAAUCAAUUAGAUAAAUACUAUACUUAUUCCAUAAUUCCUAAAACAUUCCUUCUAAAAUAAUGAUAAAUAGCUAAUUAAUGGGUUAAUUAGCUAAUUAUUCCCUUAAUUAGCAUUUAGACCUUUCACUUUACCCUAACUCUCACAAAAGGGCCGGCUAUCCCCAUUUCAAAACCUCAUCCAUCACCUUUUCUACCAUUUUUCACCAUUUAUUCCUUUUUAUUAGCCAAUAAAUUCCAUAACCACAAAAGCAUUUCCUUUUAUGUUUAAUUAGCCAAUUAAUUGGCUAAUUAAACCAAAACAAAACCUAAAACCCUACUAAGUGGCCAGCCAUCCUUUCCUCUCCUAUAAAUUGGUUAUCAUUUUCACCAAACACUAAUUCCAACACUUUGGCAAAAAUCCCAAAAUUCUCUAAACACUAUUUCUCUCUAAAUUCUAACUUUGGCAUCAGAGGUUCUUCGGCCAAAGCCCCCCCAUUCAUCGUGGGCGCUUGAGGCUCUUGACCUAAACCUAAGGUGUUAAUUGUUUUGUAGGUGCAAAAUUGUCCAAGAUCAAGGAGAAGAAAUUUGCAUCCACACAGGUGGUAAUUACCAAGUUGAGGACAAUAUCGAUGUUGUUGGAAGUGGGCCGUAUGGCCUGUCUCUCUGAUAAUUCUACUGUAUCAAGAAAUGUACACAAAUAUGAACAAAAAAAAUAUCUCAAACCCUUAAUAAUCCGAUGUGAAAUAAUGUGGUAGGAUGACCUUCAACUGCCAAAAUAUGAUAUUAGUUGCUCACAUUAUCACAUCAUAUUCAUAAUUCAUGAAUGCUUCUUCAUGUCGCAAACCAAUAAUAUUCAAAGUUUCACAUUCAUGGGCCGUAUGGUAUAAAUGCAAAUAAAAGGGUAGUUUCGAUAAUGCAGCAAAACACAAGGCCAGUUAUGACACUUUAUUUCAUGGGGGCAUUACUAAUAUUUCUCUAUUUUAUAUAUGAGUGCUACUACCUCCACCCUAAUGUCUUAUUUUCCCACCCCAAUUUUUAUUAAAUUUUUAAUGACUAAUUUAUCAUCUCAUAAAAUGACAUAUAAGGACAUGCAAAAAGGCAAUGCUUUCGUUUCAGUCUCCUUCGAGCUCUCUCAGUCAUUUCUGAAACUCCAACCUCCAUAUUAAUGGACAAUGCAAUUGUGAUCAAGGUUAUGAAACGGACUGGAUCCUGUGGACAGGUGACUCAAGUGAAGGUCAAGUUUCUAUUACUUUGUGUCGGUGAAUGGCGAGGAGAGAGGAAGGGGAUGAGGUAUUUGGAGGGAAGGCGAUUAUUACGGAUUGAGAUGCCAUUGCAGCUGCCACUGCCAAACCCACUAGGCGGUGCUAGGAGGUGGUAUCUUUGAUUGAGAUUGGGAUUUGAUUUGGAUUUGGAGGGUGGACAAGUCCAUUGGCAACCAGUUUUGAUUCCAUUUUUGGUACUUCGUUUCUUGCAUUGCCUUCGCCUACAUUUGCUUCUGUGGCUCUGGGCACUUGGGCACUAGCCAAGCAGCAGAGCAUGCAAAUUGCAAUGGAAGUGCAAAGUAUGUGUAUGAUUGUAUCAAAAGUGACGGGUGAGCUCGGCUUUUGCCUUUCUAUUUUGUUUCAAAAUUAUUUCAUAUUUGGAAAUUCAAAGAAUUGAAAAUAGAAUGGAGGACAUGUUACUGGAAGUCUGAAGGAAAUCAAGCAUUGAUAUGAUAGUAUAUGGUUUUUAAGCGAUCAGUAAUGAUGGGAUAUGAGGCCAUUGAGCAGGGUGUUGGGGGUAAGGGCACUUUGGGAAUAAUAGUGGGCAGAAAAAUAGUAUGGUUUUCUUUUUACUUUUUUUGGUAGGUGGGAAUAUAAGAUGGGUGGGAAGAUAAAAUAUUUGGGUGAGUAUAACACAUAUUGUUUUUUUUUUUAAUUCAAAAGUAUAAACACAAAUCUCUUUAGCUUUUCAAUUAAUUCAACCCCUCUCUGGUAUUUCCCCUUUAGAAAUUAAUAAUUGCAAAACAAAGAGACAUACGAUAUUGCGUAUAAAAUAGUGUUUGACAAAAAUAUCUAAAGAGGGGAUGAGGAGGGGUUCUUACUGCUAACAAUUCCCUUAAAAAUGGUGCGGCAAUCAUAAGAGAGAAGGGCGCAAGUGGGGCUUUCCUAUGGGAAAAUGCACGCUGUCACAUGGCCAUGCCAUAUUUUACCUUCCAGAGUUACCACAAACCUUACUUUUUCCAGGAAAAUUUUCAUUUUCUAGGAAAAGUUUUCAUUUUCUGUAUCUUGAGAGAUCAUUCCGUUACUGAUUUUCUCUACACAUAAUCUUGAUUUGUCUACUUGGUUUAGAGCAGUUUUAGUUCAUUUGGCUUACUACAUUACUUGCCGUUGAGGGUGUACUUGCUAAAUCAGUUAUAAUACAACAUUAGCUUACUACAUUACUUGCCAUUGAGGGUUUACUUUGCUAAAUCAGUUAGAAUGGCCAUCUCAUCAGUUUAAGCACAGAUGCUAUCAAACAAGCUUUGAUGUGGAUUCCAUUCUUUUUCCCUCCAUCUGGUUCUCCACUAUUUUUUUCUCAUGACUCAUCAACAAGAGAAACGUGAACCAAUUAUUCCAACCAAAGAAAGUUGUUUUGUUAGGAGAUUACUUCAUUAAUUUAAGUUAUUCUUUAUGGUCAUGUCCCUCUAUAAGUUAUAUUCCUUCCCUUCUUAUAUGUAUAGUUCUCACAACUUCAUCUCCUUAAAGCUUUCAGACCCUAUUACUCUCUCUCUCUCUCUCUCUCUCUCUCUGAAUUAAGCUUGAAGAAUCCCCAGAGCUCCCCAUUACCUACACGGUGAUUUUCUUUAAGCGUUUAGCUUGGUCAUAUCGAGUGAAUUCACGAUUAGUAUUGUCGACAGAGCUGAGUUGUCCCUGUUGAGUAAUUCCCAAGUCUCCUAUUCUUCGUCUCCUCGAGACCCUCGGUACACCUGUAUCACACACACACGAACUUCUGACCAAAUAAUUUUCAUAACUCUACUCUUCACAAAUCAGACACAAAGUUUGUAUACCAACAGAAAAUUAGUAAUUUUUCCUGUGUCCUGUGUAUUUGCAGAAGUUGAGAGAUAAUUAAGCAGGAUGGCUUCUGCCCAGGGCAAAGAAAAGCCAGCAGCCAUAAAGUUUCAGAAGAGCUACUUUGAUGUGUUGGGGUUGUGCUGCUCAUCAGAAGUUCCUCUGAUAGAGAAUAUCCUCAAGCCUCUUGAAGGUGUGAAAGACGUUUCAGUGAUUGUGCCUUCCAGAACUGUCAUUGUUGUCCAUGAUAGCCUUCUCAUUUCCCAGCUUCAAAUCGGUAAUAUAUUCUCUUAAAUAAUUUUACACCAGUGAAUAUUAGUAUUUCCCCUUAAUUCUCUAAUAUUUUUGUUAAAAAUUGGUUAUUUUUUUCUUAAUAGUUGCACAACAGAAAGUAAAUAGUUUUGGGAAAAAGAAAAAAAAAAGAACGAUAGCAGUAGGUGGACGUGUACUUUUUCUGUUUGUGGGAGAAUUAUUAUUCGGCAUAUCGCGUACCAUUAUGAACCGAAAAGAUGGAACCGGAUCCUCUCCUGAUCCAUAUAUAUAUAUAUAUAUAUAUAUAUAUAUAUAUUGAGUUUGCUGAGCAAGCGAUUUGGAUCAUUGAAAUUUAAUUCAUUGACUACAACUAUUAUAAUUGUUAGAGGAUUCUCUGUUUGUACCAUUAUGAACCAAAAAGAUGGAAUCGGAUCCUCUCAUGAUCCAUAUAUAUAUUGAGCCCGCUGAGCAGGCGAUCUGGACCAUUGAAAUUUAAUUCAACAGCUAUAACUAUUAUAAUUUUUAGAGGGUCUUCUGUUUGUAACCGUUAGAUUAAGUUUCGACAGUCCGGAUCGUCUGCUUAGCAGACUCAGUAUAUAUGGAUCCGGAAACGAUCCGGUUCCAAAAAGAUAGAGACGUGCAUGCCUUAUAUGUUUUUCUUUACCCAACUUUCACGUACGAUUUUGCUUUCCUUUUCACCACCCACUAUAAUAUACUUAAAAAUAGCUUUCAGUUGUGGCUAAUUCGUUUUUCACCUUACACUAUAUAAUACUAAAGAGAGAUUAUAUUCAUACACUCCAAAUUACUUCUCUCACACCUUUUUAAUUUUUUAAUAUUUUCUACACAUCACUAACACUUGAUAGAAAAAUAUUAAAAAAUUAAAAAGAUGUGGAAGAAGUAAUUUGGAGUGUGUGAAUAUAAUCUCUCAUUACUAAAUAGUUUUACACCCCUUUGGUGUGAAUCUUGAGACUCCUUGACUAUGAGGAAAAGCACAUUAGUUUUCUUAAAAUAAAAAAGCUCAAGCUAUUUAUUCGAAAAUAAAAUAAAGUAUGCUCAGUCCAUUUAGUCGGCCUCUCACACACUCUUUUAUCUUAAUACAAAUGCACAAGUUUUCCAAACUCCAUUAUUACUUAUAAGGAUAAAGUUCUUUUGAUUUGCCCCAUCAGAUAACAUUUAGAAACAUUGAAAAUUGAAGGAAAAUUAAUACGACAGCAAACUCACAUGAAUGGAUAUCGAAAAACUGAUAGGGCAACAUAAACAAAUUUAUUUUUCCUUGAGGAAAUUGCCCUUUUGAUCUGUUAUUUCAUGGACAGUUAAGGCACUAAACCAAGCAAGGCUAGAAGCAAAUGUGAGAGUGUAUGGGGCAGGGGACAUUUACAAGAAAACGUGGCCAAGUCCAUAUGCAAUUGGUAGUGGCGUGUUACUGGUUCUAUCAUUUCUCAAGUACGCAUAUCGGCCAUUAGGGUGGUUGGCCCUUGGAGCCGUGGCCGUUGGCAUUUUCCCCGUUGCUUUGAAACGUUUUGCGUCUAUUCGGAAUUUCAGGUUUCAUGACAUCAACAUUCUUGUUAUCAUUGCCGGUGAGUCAAUACUUGGUCUUAAUCAUUGCGUUAAUUAUAUGAAAUUAUCAUAUAAACAUUGAAGUACACUGUACACAUGACUGUCAGUCAAUCAUCUAUCACGAGAAUAAUACUUAAUGUGAAACAAUCAUCUCUCCCACUUUAAAGUUACUCAUCAAAUUAUAUUUUCUACACUCCAAAAUUUUAGUACCACUUAUCUACUCAUUUCUUUGUCAGCUACUUUAUAAAAAUGAUUGCAAAAAUUAGCUAUAAAAAAUUAUAAGUAAAAUGUUGUAUUAAAUAAAUCUAGGCCGUCUUGUUCUUAUUGCAAAUUGGAUUAGUUUUGGUCGCUAAAUUGUGAUUGUUCUUUGUAUCGUUAUAUAUUGUAGAACCUUAACGGUUUAUCCUUUUGUUUUGUUUUUCUCCGUCGCAAGGAUGUUUAAGAAAAAGAUUUUGUUUUGUUUUUCUCCGUCGCAAGGAUGUUUAAGAAAAAGACUUUACCGAGGCCUUUUGUGAUAAAAUCUCAUACCUGACGGAUUGUGCAGGUGGUAAUUACCAAGUUGGGGACAAUAUCGGUGUUGUUGGAAGUGGACCGUAUGGCCCGUCUCUCUGAUAAUUCUACCGUAUCAAGAAAUGUACACAAAUAUGAACAAAAAAAAAUAUCUCAAACCCUUAAUAAUCCGAUGUGAAAUAAUGUGGUAGGAUGACCUUCAACUGCCAAAAUAUGAUAUUAGUUGCUCACAUUAUAACAUCAUAUUCAUAAUUCAUGGAAUAUGAUUUAUAUCCGAUUAAUUAAAUAAUGUUUAGGACCAAAGAAAAGCUAUCAUUUGCCCCAUUAUAUAUGUUUGUAUCAUACUUAGGGCUUCCGUAUUUAGACAUCGUAAAAAUACUCGGGGGACUCAAGUGUAAUUAUGUAAUAAAUGGAGGGGCAAAUAUGUAAUAAGUGAGGAGCCCUUAUUCUAUAAAAAGCCUCCUCAUCCCCAGAGGCCUCAGUCUCACCCUCAGAGGCCAAUUCCUAGGCCAUGAGGAUCCUCACACUCUCUCCCUCACAAUCCUCUCAGAAAUACAAUAAUCAGUGUGGACGUAGCCCAAAACAUUGGGGUGAACCACGAUACAUAUUGUGUUAUUUACGUUUCUUGCAGAUUCACAGUCGGAUUUACGUUGUUCCAAGACCUCCGGUUUUGUGCAUCAACAAUAUAUAUAACAUCAUAUUCAUAAUUCAUUCAUGCUUCUUCAUGUCACACACCAAUAAUAUUCAAAGUUUCACAUUCAUGGGCCAUAUGGUAUAAAUGCAAAUAAAAGGGUAGUUUCGAUAAUGCAGCAAAACACAAGGGCAGUUACGACACUUUAUUUCAUGGGGGCAUUGCUAAUAUUUCUCUAUUUUAUAUAUGAGUGCUACUACACCCACCCUAAUGUCUUAUUUUCCCACCCCAAUUUUUAUUAAAUUUUUAAUGACUAAUUUAUCCUCUCAUAAAAUGACAUAUAAGGACAUGCAAAAAGGCAAUGCUUCUGUUUCAGUCUCCUUCGAGCCCUCUCAGUCAUUUCUGAAACUCCAACCUCCAUAUUAAUGGACAAUACAAUUGUGAUCAAGGUUAUGAAACGGACUGGAUCAUGUGGACAGGUGACUCAAGUGAAGGUCAAGUUUCUAUUACUUUGUGUCGGUGAAUGGCGAGGAGAGAGGAAGGGGAUGAGGCAUUUGGAGGGAAUGCGAUUAUUGCGGAUUGAGAUGCCAUUGCAGCUGCCACUGCCAAACCCACUAGGCGAUGCUAGGAGGUGGUAUCUUUGAAUGGGAUUGGAAUUUGAUUUGGAUUUGGAGGGUGGACAAAUCCAUUGGCAACCAGUUUUGAUUCCAUUUUUGGUACUUCGUUUCUUGCCUUGCCUUGGCCUACAUUUGCUUCUGUGGCUCUGGGCACUUGGGCACUAGCCAAGCAGCAGAGCAUGCAAAUUGCAAUGGAAGUGCAAAGUACGUGUAUGAUUGUAUCAAAAGUGACGGGUGAGCUCGGCUUUUGCCUUUCUAUUUUGUUUCAAAAUUAUUUCAUAUUUGGAAAUUCAAAGAAUUGAAAAUAGAAUGGAGGACAUGUUACUGGAAGUCUGGAAGGAAAUCAAGCAUUUAUAUGAUAGUAUAUGGGGUUUUUAAGCGAUCAGUAAUGAUGGGAUAUGAGGCCAUUGAGCAGGGUGUUGGGGGUAAGGGCACUUUGGGAAUAACAGUGGGUGGAAUAAUAGUAUGGUUUUCUUUUUACUUUUCUUGGUAGGUGGGAAUAUAAGAUGGGUGGGAAGAUAAGACAUUGGGGUGGGUAUAACACAUAUUGUUUUUUUUUUUUAAUUCAAAAGUAUAAACACAAUUCUCUUUAGCUUUUCAAUCAAUUCAACCCCUCUCUGGUAUUUCCCCUUUAGAAAUUAAUAAUUGCAAAGCAAAGACAUACGAUAUUGCGUAUAAAAUAGUGUUUGACAAAAAUAUCAAAAGAGGGGAUGAGGAGGGGUUCUUACUGCUAACAAUUCCCUUAAAAAUGGUGCGGCAAUCAUAAGAGAGAAGGGCGCAAGUGGGACUUUCCUAUGGGAAAAUGCACGCUGUCAUGGCCAUGCCAUAUUUUCCCUUCCAGAGUUACCACAAACCUUACUUUUUCCAGGAAAAUUUUCAUUUUCUAGGAAAAGUUUUCAUUCACCCACCAGUGUUUGGCAGCAGCUUCUGUAUCUUGAGAGAUCAUUCCGUUACUGAUUUUCUCUACACAUAAUCUUGAUUUGUCUACUUGGUUUAGAGCAGUUUUAGUUCAUUUGGCUUACUACAUUACUUGCCGUUGAGGGUGUACUUGCUAAAUCAGUUAUAAUACAACAUUAGCUUACUACAUUACUUGCGGUUGAGGGUUUACUUUGCUAAAUCAGUUAGAAUGGCCAUCUCAUCAGUUUAAGCACAGAUGCUAUACAAGCUUUGAUGUGGAUUCCAUUCUUUUUCCCUCCAUCUGGUUCUCCACUAUUUGUGUCUCGUGACUCAUCAACAAGAGAAACGUGAACCAAUUAUUCCAACCAAAGAAAGUGGUUUUGUUAGGAGAUUACUUCAUUAAUUUAAGUUAUUCUUUAUGUACAUGUCCCUCUAUAAGUUAUAAUCCUUCCUUCUUAUAUGUAUAGUUCUCACAACUUCAUCUACUUAAAGCUUUCAGACCCUAUUACUCUCUCUCUCUCUCUCUCUCUCUCUCUCUCUCUCUCUCUCUCUCUGAAUUAAGCUUGAAGAAUCCCCAGAGCUCCCCAUUACCUACACAGUGAUUUUCUUUAAGCGUUUAGCUUGGUCAUAUCGAGUGAAUUCACGAUUAGUAUUGUCGACAGAGCUGAGUUGCCCCUGUUGAGUGAUUCCCAAGUCUCCUAUUCUUCAUCUCCUCGGGACCCUCGGUACACCUGUAUCACACACACACGAACUUCUGACCAAAUGAUUUUCAUAACUCUACUCUUCACAAAUCAGACACAAAGUUUGUACACCAACAGAAAAUUAGUAAUUUUUCCUGUGUCCUAUGUAUUUGCAGAAGUUGAGAGAUAAUUAAGCAGGAUAGCUUCUGCCCAGGGCAAAGAAAAGCCAGCAGCCAUAAAGUUUCAGAAGAGCUACUUUGAUGUGUUGGGGUUGUGCUGCUCAUCAGAAGUUCCUCUGAUAGAUAAUAUCCUCAAGCCUCUUGAAGGUGUGAAAGAGGUUUCAGUGAUUGUGCCUUCCAGAACUGUCAUUGUUGUCCAUGAUAGCCUUCAUUUCCCAGCUUCAAAUCGGUAAUAUAUUCUCCUACAUAAUUUUACACCAGUUAAUAUUAGUAUUUCCCCUUAAUUCUCUAAUAUUUUUGCUAAAAAUUGGAUUUUUUUUUUCUUAAUAGUUGCACAACAGAAAGCAAAUAGUUUUGGAAAAAGAAAAAAAAAAGAACGAUAGCAGUAGGUGGGCGUGUACUUUUUCUGUUGUGGGAGAAUUAUUAAUCGGCAUAUCGUGUACCAUUAUGAACCAAAAAGAUGGAACCGGAUCCUCUUCUGAUAUAUAUAUAUAUAUAUAUAUUGAGCUUACUGAGCAGGCGAUCUGAACUGUUGAAAUUUAAUUCAAUGAUUACAAUUAUUUUAAUUUUUAGAGGGCGUUUGUACCAUUAUGAACCAAAAAGAUGGAACUGGAUCCUCUUAUGAUCCAUAUAUAUAUUGAGUCUGCUGAGCAGGCAAUCUGGACUGUUGAAAUUUAAUUCAACAGCUACAACUAUUAUGAUUUUUAGAGGGCUCUCUAUUUGUAGCUGUUGGAUCAAAUUUCAACGGUCCGGAUCUCCUGCUCAGCAGACUCAGUAUAUAUGGAUCCGGAAAGGAUCCGGUUCCCAAAAAGAUAGAGAUGUGCAUGCCUUGCAUGUUUUACUUUACCCAACUUUCACGUACUAUUUUGCUUUCCUUUUCAUCACCCACUAUAAUAUACUUAAAAAUAGCUUUCAGUUGUGGCUAAUUCGUUGUACGUUUCACCUUACACUAUAUAAUACUUAAUAGUUUUACACCCCUUUGGUGUGAAUCUUGAGACUCCUUGACUAUGAGGAAAAGGACAUUAGUUUUCUUAAAAUAAAAAAGUUCAAGCUAUUUAUUCGAAAAUAAAAUAAAGUAUGCUCAGUGCAUUUAGCCGGCCUCUCACACACUCUUUUAUCUUAAUACAAAUGCACAAGUUUUUCAAUCUCCGUUAUUACUUAUAAGGAUAAAGUUCUUUUGUUUUGCCCCAUCAGAUAACAUUUAGAAACAUUGAAAAUUGAAGGAAAAUUAAUACGACAGCAAACUCACAUGAAUUGAUAUCGAAAAACUGAUAGGGCAACAUAAACAAAUUUAUUUUUCCUUGAGGAAAUUGCCCUUUUGAUCUGUUAUUUUAUGGACAGUUAAGGCACUAAACCAAGCAAGGCUAGAAGCAAAUGUGAGAGUGUAUGGGGCAGGGGACAUUUACAAGAAAACGUGGCCAAGUCCAUAUGCAAUUGGCAGUGGCGUGUUACUGGUUAUCAUUUCUCAAGUACGCAUAUCGGCCAUUAGGGUGGUUGGCCCUUGGAGCCGUGGCCGUUGGCAUUUUCCCCGUUGCUUUGAAAUGUUUUGCGUCUAUUCGGAAUUUCAGGUUUCAUGACAUCAACAUUCUUGUUAUCAUUGCCGGUGAGUCAAUACUUGGUCUUAAUCAUUGCGUUAGUUAUAGGAAAUUAUCAUAUAAACAUUGAAGUACAUUGUACACAUGACUGUCAGUCAAUCAUCUAUCACGAGAAUAAUACUUAAUGUAAUACAAUCAUCUUUCCCCACUUUAAAGUUACUCGUCAAAUUAUAUUUUCUACACACCAUAAUUUUGGUACCACUUAUCUACUCAUAUUUCUUUGUCAGCUACUUUAUAAAAAUGAUUACAAAAAUUAGCUAUAAAAAAUUAUAAGUAAAAUGUCGUAUUAAAUAAAUCUAGGCCGUCUUGUUCUUAUUGCAAAUUGGAUUUAUCCUUUUGUUUUGUUUUUCUCCGUUGCAAGGAUGUUUAAGAAAAAGACUUUGCCGGCCUUCAUACCGAAUAACCUUAACGGUUGAUCCUUUUGUUUUGUUUUUUCUCUGAAAAAAAUUGCAACACAUCACGUUUCCUUAGAAAGUUUGAAUAGAUACAGGUUGGUUUCUGUGUAGAAGUUCAAAAGCUACCGUUAGACAUACUUUAUGAUUUUUUACGAUACACAGAAAUGACUCAACGUCUUUGGCUUCUUGCAAGUUUGAGUGGGUAUGUAUGGGUGCGUUAGAUUAAAAGUUUGGAUUGCUAUUAGGUGAAUUUGAACCACAUUAUUGGUAGUUUAUUAUGGGAUUAAGUCUACACUCUUCUUUAAUGUGGAUAAUAUAAGUUGUUAAUAAAAAAAAAGGGUAUUCUGCAUCGGUUUCCCUCAAAUGAUAUACUUUUGGGAGAAAUGCAAUGGCUAGAUUGUUUUGACACUUGAAAAACUUAGAGUUCAUUUGGUAUCUUAUUUGAGAACCUUUUUUUUUUUUUUAAACUCAUGUUUUGAUUUAAAAUUUUUAAAUCAAAAACCAUUUUUGGUGUACAACUUCUCAAACUAUCAAAAACAAAAAAUUCGAACACCUUUUGUAUAUAUUUUGAAGUUGUGGUUUUGAGAAUUGGGAUCCACACCGCACUAAACACCAAACAACAAUUUAACAUUGGGAUUCAAAACUUGUUUUUAAGUUAAAAAUUCGAUCCAAAUCUGCCUUAAAAUCUUUAGUUUUUUUUUCAGAGUUCAUAACUCUACCCAUUCGAGGCUUUUUCAAGUAAUGCUGGAGGGGUUCCUAUUUCCGAGCAUUACUCGAAUCCUCUUAUAGCAUAUUCUGCAUUUUUGUACUUUCACAUCUCUUCUUAGAUUUAAAAACUUUUCUAUUUAGAUUAGGUUUUAUAAAUUUUUAGUACACCAUAAAGUCUAAUUCCAUUGGCCCUAGCUCAUUAUUGGCCGGCUUCCCAAUUUUUGGUGGAGGGUGCUAUUGGGUCAUCAUUUCGUGAACCGUAUGUCGAUUAUAGUCUCAAUGGAUUCUAUUAACGCAACAUCUCUCUCGUCAUGUUUUAUGGUUGCCAUGUAAUAUAAAAUAAAUGGUUCUUCAAUUUAAUUGAGAGAGACAUUGAAAUAAUAAAUAAAUAAAUAAAUAUAGCACUUAAGUGAAAGAACCAAAAACUACAAAUUUAAAAAAAAAAAAUCUACUGAAUUACGAGUUCAGUUGGAGUUGGAAAUGUAUUUUCAGAACUCUAUUGCAAUACUGCACACAUGAUACAGAAGUUACUUAUUUGCGCAUGUUUGUAUAUUUAUGUAAAUCCAUUUAGUGUAACUUUUGACAGUAAUUGGGACAAUUGCUUUGAAGGACUAUACAGAAGCUGCCUCGAUUGUCUUUCUGUUCACCAUUGCAGAGUGGCUCCAGUCUUCUGCAGGUUACAGGGUUAGCAUAAAACACUCAUCCUUCUUUUUUAUGAAAAAUUUAAGAACUAGUCUCAUUGAAUUAAACAAAAUACAAGUAACGAUAAGUGGCCGAAAAACAUAGCAGUUGAUUUUGGAACAACAAAUUUUGCUGAAGACAGUUUUGUACAUAAUUUUGUGAUAAACCACAUACUAAUCAAUGCUUUAAAAGACGAAGGUGAAGCCCCUCCUAAGCGAAAGCCUUGAGAUUGAGGCGAUUCAUGGGACCUAUAAUUAUUAAUAUAUAGUCUAGUUGGAAGGUAUGUCAUAUGGUCUUGUUGAACUUGAACUUAGAGGGUAUGUCAUGAAGUCUAGUUGAAAUUGAACUUUGGCUUUUUUUUCUUUAAAAAAAAAAGAAAAAGAAAAAAAAAGCCCAAUCGAACGCUGCAGCCGCCUAGGCAUGCCUCGAUCACAUCUAGGUGAGUUUAAGCCUAUUCCCGCUGGGCAGAGGCAUUUUCAUCACCGCCCUGUCUCCAAAGUUGCCUAGGUGCGCCUCAAGGCUCGUUUUUCAAAACACUAAUACUAAUACUAAAAUGUUGUUUAAAGGAUUAAUGAAUGACUUGCUAAUGUAUAUCAUAAACAGUCAGACACAUAGAAUAACAUGUUGUUGUUGAGAGUUGUCCCACAUCGUUGAGGGACAAGGUUUGCUAUGUGCUUAUAUGAUCUUGGGCUACUCCUCAUAUUGCCAAUUGGUUUUAUGGUGGAACCCCAAUUUCAUCAUGGUAUUAGAGCAAGGUUGUCCACGUGUAAAGCCCAACGGCCACACGCGCUCCACAUCACCCAGUUGUUGUCCACGUGUAGGCUUGAAAAUCCGCCACACGUGCGGGGGCGUGUUGAGAGUUGUCCCACAUCGGUGAGGGACAAGGUUUGCUAUGUGCUUAUGAUCUUGGGCUACUCCCCAUAUUGCCAAUUGGUUUUAUGGUGGAACCUCAAUUUCAUCAGCUUUUAUCUACUCAGGCAAAAGCAGUGAUGUCGUCGUUGAUGAGCAUGGCGCCCCAAAAAGCAGUCUUAGCAGAGAGUGGAGAAGUUGUGGAUGUUGAUGAGGUUAAGUUGAACACAAUUCUUGCUGUUAAGGCUGGCGAAACUAUACCGAUUGAUGGAAUAGUUGUUGAAGGAAAAGCUGAAGUGGAUGAGAAAACACUAACUGGAGAAUCCUUUCCAGUUGCCAAAGAAAAGGACUCCACUGUUUGGGCAGGCACUAUCAAUCUUAAUGGUAACAUAAAUGUCGUUCCCGUCAUUCUUUGAUUUUGAAUAAAGAGUUAUGUUUUUAUUUCUGACAAAAUUUGGUUUCAAUUGUGAAGGUUAUAUUAGCGUGAAAACUACAUCAUUGGCUGAAGAUUGUGCGGUCGCCAAAAUGGCAAAACUCAUCGAAGAGGCUCAAAACAGCAAAUCCAGAACUCAAAGAUUCAUUGACAAAUGUGCAAUGUUCUAUACCCCAGGUUAGUCUACUUUCCCCAUACAUUUCAUAUGUUUCACUAUUCCUUACUACCAACGAGAAUGCAGACGGUUGGAUUUGUUUUGUGGUGCUGUUUUGCAGCGGUCCUGGUCAUUUCUGUUUCUAUCGCGGUGAUUCCAGCUGCAUUACAUGUUCACAAUUGGAGCAAGUGGUUUCACUUAGCUUUGGUUGUUUUAGUGAGCGCUUGUCCGUGCGGUCUCAUCCUCUCUACACCCGUUGUGACUUUCUGCACGCUCACAAAAGCGGCAACAUCUGGACUUCUGAUCAAGGGAGGUGACUACAUUGAGAUUCUUGCUAAAGUCAAGAUCAUGGCUUUUGACAAAACUGGUACAAUAACAAGGGGUGAAUUUGUGGUGAUGGAUUUUCAAUCUCUUCGUGAUGACAUUAGCUUGAACACAUUGCUUUACUGGUAUAGACUGCAACUCCUCUAUUCAGCAACAUGUUGAAUGAAACACACAAAAAUUUUGAUGGAAAGAAAAAAUUUACUUCAUGAAAUUCAGAAAGAGGCUUUUAGUUUAAAGACAAAUUUAAGGCUGUUUUAAUGCUGCAUUAUUCUCCGAAAGCGUUUCCUAUUAUUUCACUAAGUUUGCAGUUCGUUGAUUUCUCUAUUAAUCUUCAUGAAGGGUUUCAAGCAUUGAGAGGAAGUCAAGUCAUCCAAUGGCAGAUGCGCUGGUUGACUAUGGAAGAUUGUUUUCGGUCGAGCCAAACCCUGAGAAUGUGGAGGAGUUUCAAAAUUUUCCCGGCGAAGGUAUUCAUGGGAAAAUUGAUGGACAAGAUAUCUACAUUGGAAACAGAAAAAUAGCUUUGAGAGCUGCUUGUGAAAUAGGUAAAUGCCAUCAACUCCUGUAUCUUCGAAGCCAUUUCGAAUGAUUUCAAGGAUUAUGAUUCAUUUUCUUUUUGUUUAUGGUCUUUUUGGAUCUCUCAUCGUUAAAUCUUUUUGAAAUUUCAGUUCCAACAAUUGAAGGUUCGAAAGGUGGGAAGACGAUUGGAUACAUAUACUCUGGGGGAGCCCCUGCUGGAGUCUUUACAAUAUCUGAUGCUUGUCGAUCUGGGGCUGCAGAGGCUGUCAAGGAGCUAAAGAAGUUAGGCAUUAAAACAGCUAUGCUCACAGGAGAUAGUAAUGCUGCCGCAUUGCAUACAAAUGAGCAGGUGUGUUAUUCUUAAUAUCUUAGCCUCAUAUCGCUAUGCUUAAAUCUGCACGCGCAGCGCACACCAUGCGCUCCACUCUGCACUCGCUUUUAUUGAUUCAAUGUAUGAUCUUCCCUGGCAUACAUGGCUGUAGAACUGCAUAUGUAUUUUCUUUGCAGAUUAAGAAAGAAAAAAAGAACAAAUAAGAGUAGAAAAUUUAUCUGACUUGCAGCUUAAGCAAGCUCUCGAGGUAGUCCAGGCAGAACUUCUACCUGAAGACAAGGCAAGAAUCAUUAAAGAAUUUAAAAUGGAAGGAAACACAGCAAUGGUUGGAGACGGGAUCAAUGAUGCCGCUGCUUUAGCUACAGCCGAUGUUGGUAUCUCAAUGGGCAUUUCAGGAUCAGCCCUUGCUCAAGAAACUGGGAAUAUAAUUUUACUGUCAAAUGACAUUAGGAAACUACCGAAAGCAGUCCAACUUGCGAGAAGAGCUAAAAGAAAAGUGAUUGAGAAUGUGGCUUUGUCCAUCACUACUAAGGCGAGUAUCCUUGCACUGGGAUUUGCAGGGCAUCCGCUUGUUUGGGCUGCUGUUCUUGCUGAUGUCGGUGUUAGAUUAAACUCAUCAAAAUAUAAGUGAAGAGAUUAAGCUCAUGAACCACAAAUUUAUAUAAGUAUUAAAAUCACAAUUUAAUAAACACAAUGACAAACUAACCCGUAAAAGCAGCAGAAGAAGAAGCCAAAGUAGACUUCUAAACAGUGCACCUUCUCCUCUCUUGCAAAACCAAAAGUACUCAAACUAACAAUAGGUCUUAGUUCAAUAUUGAGCAUAUGUUUUGUGAGAGCAGUGGCUUAUGUUUUUAUACUAAACAUAGAUUGCCCUAUUACAAUCCUACAAGGAAUACAAGACCAAAUCCUUGUAUAAGUAUGAGUUCUAUUCUCGAGCCAACAAUAGAGUUUCAAUCCAAACCAAAGUUGAAUUAACUCUUAUAAACACAUUAAGACCUCUUUGUACCAAUCUAAAAUAACAAUGAUUAUUACUAAACUGUAAGAAUCACACUCAUACUCUAACAGUCGGGACAUGCAUGCUUGUGAUAUUCAACAGCAUGCUACUCUUACAAGGAACCAACAAGCAUGGAGGGAAAACUUCUGCACCGCAUGGCCAUAAACAUGGAAGCCAUGGACAUAGCCAUUCUCACAAAAACCAACAUUGUUGCUCGGACAGCAAACCCGUAAAAGCCUGUAAACCUCAAAAGUGUUCCUCGCAGAAAUGCGGAUCAGAGUGCCAUCCUAGUGUCACGGGCCGCAUGUUAAAAACAAAGAAAAUGCCCAAGACAUCAUAUAUCUAAGCCCAUGAAGCCAUGUCUUCAUGGAAGCUUCUGGAACGUCCCGGAGAAAUCAAGAACGUGGCGGAGCAUUCAAGAUAAUCUAGGGCAUUCCGGAACAUUCCACACAAGUGUACAUAUUUAAGCCUCACCUAGAAUAAUCUAGAUUAGGCAAGUUGUAUCUAGAAUUAUGCUAGAUAUUUUUUGAUGUAAGUAGGGGAUUCUAGAACCCUCCAUUGAGGAGGUGACUUAGGCCUAUAAAUAGGAGGUAAGGCCAUUUGGCCAAACCAUCCAAGAAUCGUAAGCAAUUGUAAAGUUCUCCUAAGUUCAAUACAAAGCUUCCUUUCUCCCAUCUUCUAAGUGAUUUUAGCAUUCUCCAAGCUAUCUUAGCUUUCUUUGUGAUUCGAUCCGGGGAAGCGAGGCUUCGAAGGCUUACUUAGCUUGUUCAUCGAGGUAUUCAAGUCUAAGUGCCGCACGGGCGGAAGGCUUAAAGAGUCAUCCCGUGACAGCUGGUAUCAGAGCCAAGCUCGUGAAUCACUUGAAGGAAAGUAGGAUAUGGCAAGUGGAGAGAUGGUGUCCGGAGUCUCCGAUCUAAGGGGGCGUACUGCCGAAGUCCAAGACGUUGCCAAGAGCAAGCCAAAGUUAAAGGACUUGCAAGCAUCGAUGGAGACCAUGGAAGAGCGACUCGAGAAGGUGGAACGAACCAUACUCGAGUUCGAUACUCGACUUGAUGAGGACGUUGUCGACAAGGAGGAAAUCCAAACCAUGGUGGACAAUGGUAAGGAUGAAUUGCGUGGCUUGGUGGAAGGGCUACGAGAUGAGCUCCUUGGCGCUCUCAACACCAUGGCAGACAAGAUGCGGAGGGAAGUCCAGGUUCACCUUGACAACAUAGAGGCAAGGUUUGUGGCGCUUCAAGAAGAGAUAAAGGACACAAGGGAACUUAAGGGAGAUGUGGCGUUUUGUAAAGAAGCAGUCGUGAAGCAAUUCGUGCAAGGGUCGAGGGAAAUCAAGGCGUUGGACUCCAAGGUAAUCGACUCCUUUAAACCCAAAUCCUAUAAUGGGAAGAGGGAAGCAAAGGAGCUCGACACAUUCGUGUGGAACGUGGAGCGAUACUUCAAGUACCUGAAGCUUGAAGAUGACGAGUCCAAAAUCUCAACGGCAACCAUGUUCUUAGCUGACAAUGCCCUUAUGUGGUGGCGUCGUCGGAGCAUGGAGAUUGAGCAAGGUACAUUCGCUCUCACCACUUGGGAUGAAUUUAAGAAAGAUCUUAUGUUGCACUUCUAUCCCCAAAAUGCCAAGUACGAAGCCAGGGAGAAACUAAGGUGGCUCAAGCAAACGGGGAGCGUCAAAGACUAUGUCAACGCCUUCGUGAGCUUGUUAUUCGAGGUGCCCAACAUGUUAGAGGAAGACAAGCUCAUGUACUUCAUGAGUGGACUGCAAAAUUGGGCAAAACUCGAACUACAAAGGAGACACGUGCAAACAUUGUCUGAUGCCAUUGCCGCCGCCGAAUCCUUGAUUGAGUUUAAAUCAAGCCACCAAGGUGAUUCCAAGUCCACGGGGAAGAGGGGUAACCAUGAGAGAAGUGGGGGAGAACACAAGCCGAAGGACAAGGCCGAGACAAGCAAACCGAAGGAGAAGAAAGCCGAUAAGCAUGACAAAGGCAAGGGUAAGUCUUGGCAACCCACUUGUUACCUAUGCGACGGCCCUCACAUGAUGCGAGAUUGCCCACAAAAGAAGGCCCUUAAGGCCAUGGCCUUCAAGGAGGACAAGGCCGAGGAGAGUAACGAUGCAACGAUGGGAUGCAUCCGUCUACUGAAUGCCAUCCAGACAACCCUCCCACAACCUAAGGCUCAAGUUGGGGGAGGAUCAUUGUUCGUCGAUGUCAAGACUGGUGACAAGACGACGCGUGUGUUGGUGGACACGGGAGCAACACACAACUUCAUGACGUCGGAGGAAGCCACAAGGCUUGGCCUUCGAGUCACCAAAGAGCCCGGUAGCGUGAAGACGGUAAAUUCCGCUGCCACCCCCAUUGUUGGAGUUGCGCGCAAUGUACACGUAGACAUUGGCACAUGGAAGGGAACAAUCGACUUCACCGUAGUCAAGAUGGACGACUAUGGCGUAGUCAUUGGGUUAGAGUUCAUGGACAAGGUACGAGCCUUUCCCAUUCCCUUCUACAAUAUUUUCUGUAUCCUAGCCGACGGAAGACAACCUUGCCUGGUGCCAUUGGAAAGGCAAGCCAAGAAGUGUACCCAGCACUUGUCGGCAAUUCAAUUUGCCAAGUCUUGGAAGAAAGGCGAGGCCACAUUUCUUGCAACCCUAAUGUUGAAUGAAGGGGAGGAGAAGCACGGGCCUUUGCCGAAACAAGUGGAAGACGUCCUUGUGGAGUUUGCGGACGUGAUGCCUAAGGAACUGCCAAAGAAGUUGCCACCAAGGAGAGAGGUCGACCAUGCGAUUGAGUUGGAGCCUGGUGCUAAGCCUCCCUCCAAAUCACCUUAUAGGAUGUCGCCACCCGAGUUGGAGGAAUUGAGGAAGCAACUCAACGAGCUGCUUGAUGCUGGCUACAUCCAACCUUCCAAAUCCCCAUAUGGUGCACCCGUCUUGUUCCAACGCAAGAAAGAAGGUAGCCUAAGGUUGUGCAUCGACUAUAGAGCAUUGAACAAGAUUACCAUCAAGAACAAGUACCCACUUCCGUUGAUCGCCGACUUAUUCGAUCAACUUGGUGAAGCAAGGUACUUCACAAAGUUAGAUCUUUCGAUCGGGAUACUACCAAGUGAGGAUAGCCCCUGGAGACGAAUCGAAGACGGCGAUGGUGACCAGAUAUGGAGCGUUCGAGUAUAAAGUCAUGCCAUUUGGUCUAACCAAUGCCCCCGCAACAUUCUGCACAUUGAUGAACAAGGUAUUCCAUCCUUAUCUUGACAAGUUUUGUCGUGGUUUACAUUGAUGAUAUCGUUAUCUAUAGCAAGACAUUGGAGGAGCACGUCAAGCACUUGCGCAUAGUGUUCAAGACCCUUCGGGAGCAUGAACUCUAUGUCAAGAAGGAGAAAUGCUCCUUUGCCACGAAAGAAGUAGAAUUUCUUGGCCACAAGAUAAAGGAGGGGAAACUUAUGAUGGAAAAGGGCAAGAUCAAGGCCAUUCAAGAGUGGGAACCGCCGACCAAGGUACCAACACUACGAUCCUUUCUGGGGCUAGCCAACUACUAUCGGAGAUUCAUUAAAGGGUAUUCAGCCAUAGCAGCACCCUUAACAGACCUUCUUAAGAAGAACAAGGCAUGGGAAUGGACGGACCGAUGUCAAGAGGCCUUUGAGAGGUUGAAGAAGGCCCUAAUGGAGGAGCCUGUACUCAGGUUGCCCGAUCUUAGUAAGCCAUUCGAGUUGCACACUGAUGCUUCCGACUUUGCCAUAGGAGGAGUGUUGAUGCAAGAGGGACAUCCAAUAGCCUAUGAAAGUCGCAAGCUAAACAAUGCCGAGAAAAGGUACACGACCCAUGAAAAGGAGAUGACCGCCAUCGUCCAUUGCCUUAGAGUUUGGAGGCAUUACUUGCUUGGUACCCCAUUCAUCAUCAAGACGGACAACGUUGCCACUAGCUACUUUCAAACCCAACAAAAGCUCACACCUAAGCAAGCAAGGUGGCAAGAGUUCUUAGCGGAGUUUGAUUACAAGCUAGAGUACAAGCAAGGAAAGGAGAACGUGGUGGCCGAUGCUCUAAGUAGACGAGUAGAGUUAAUGGCUACGGUACUCAAGCCGCAAAGCCAUCUCUUGGGCCGUGUCCGAGAAGGUUUAUCACAUGACGUCCAAGCCAAGAACAUUGUGGAGUUUGUCAAGGAUGGGAAGACAAGAAGGUUUUGGCUUGAGGACAGCUUGCUAUACACCAAAGGCAAGCGGAUCUAUGUCCCAAAGUGGGGAAGCUUAAGGAAAGAAAUCCUUAAGGAGUGCCAUGACUCAAUGUGGGCAGGACAUCCUGGCACUCACCGCACGUUGGCUUUGGUGAGCGAUGCUUAUUAUUGGCCACAAAUGCGGGAUGAUGUAGAUUCAUACGUGAAGACUUGUCUUGUGUGCCAACAAGACAAAGUGGAACAAAGGCAACCGGGAGGACUGUUGGAACCACUUCCCACCCCAUCAAGACCAUGGGAGUGUUUGACCAUGGAUUUCAUCACACAUUUGCCCAAGUCUGAUGGAUGUGGAUCUAUCUUCGUCGUGGUCGAUAGAUUCACCAAGUAUGCCACUUUCAUACCCGCACCUGUGGAGUGCACAGCCGAAGUAGCUGCACGCUUGUUUCUAAAGCACGUGGUGAAGUAUUGGGGUGUUCCGAGGAGCAUAGUCAGUGAUCGAGAUGCUCGCUUCACGGGUAGAUUUUGGAAGGAGCUCUUUCAAACUACUUGGCUCGAAGUUAGACUUCUCCACAGCUUUUCAUCCCCAAAACUGAUGGACAAACGGAGCGGGUUAAUGCAUUGUUGGAGACUUAUUUGCGGCACUAUGUUAGUGCCAAUCAACGAGAUUGGGCUAAGUUACUUGAUGUUGCCCAAUUCUCUUAUAACUUGCAACGUUCGGAGUCGACGGGGAAAAGUCCGUUCGAGUUGGCUAUAGGGCAACAACCCUUGACCCCCGAACACGGUCGUGACUGGCUACACGGGGAAUAGUCCAGCCGCUUUCAAAACCGCUAAGGAGUGGCAAUUAGCCCAUGAACUUGCUCGAGCUCAUUUGGAGAAGGCUUCAAAGAAGAUGAAGAAAUGGGCGGAUCGCAAGCGAAGGAAUGUGGAGUUCCAAACUGGCGACCAAGUCUUUGUGAAGCUCAAUGCGUCUCAGCACAAGAGUACUCGUGGCUUGCAUAAGAGCUUGUUGCGGAAAUAUGAGGGACCAUUCCCUAUCAUCAAGAAGGUUGGCAAAGCCGCGUAUGUUGUGGAACUCCCACCCCGCCUCAAGUUUCACCCGGUGUUCCAUGUGAGCAACUUGAAGCAUUAUCAUGCGGACGAUGAAGAACCAAGUCGAGGUGAGUCUCAUCGAGCACCCCCUUUGAUGACGGAGGCAUUUGACAAAGAAGUGGAGAGCAUUGAAGCUAAGCGUGUCGUGGUGCGACCAAGACAACCAAAGCAUGUGGAGUACUUUGUCAAAUGGAAGGGGCUACCAUACUCCGAAGCAACCUGGGAGAAGGAGACGUCCUUAUGGCAAUAUAAGGACUUGAUUCAGACAUUCGAGAGGCAAGAGUCGACGAGGACGUCGACGGCUUAAGUGGGGGAGGAUGUCACGGGCCGCAUGUUAAAAAAACAAAGAAAAUGCCCAAGACAUCAUAUAUCUAAGCCCAUGAAGCCAUGUCUUCAUGGAAGCUUCUGGAACGUCCCGGAGAAAUCAAGAACGUGGCGGAGCAUUCAAGAUAAUCUAGGGCAUUCCGGAACAUUCCACACAAGUGUACAUAUUUAAGCCUCACCUAGAAUAAUCUAGAUUAGGCAAGUUGUAUCUAGAAUUAUGCUAGAUAUUUUUUGAUGUAAGUAGGGGAUUCUAGAACCCUCCAUUGAGGAGGUGACUUAGGCCUAUAAAUAGGAGGUAAGGCCAUUUGGCCAAACCAUCCAAGAAUCGUAAGCAAUUGUAAAGUUCUCCUAAGUUCAAUACAAAGCUUCCUUUCUCCCAUCUUCUAAGUGAUUUUAGCAUUCUCCAAGCUAUCUUAGCUUUCUUUGUGAUUCGAUCCGGGGAAGCGAGGCUUCGAAGGCUUACUUAGCUUGUUCAUCGAGGUAUUCAAGUCUAAGUGCCGCACGGGCGGAAGGCUUAAAGAGUCAUCCCGUGACACUAGUCCCUUAAAUUCAAGCUUGCCCUGUAAGCUUAAGUGCAGUGAUGACUUACACGAGGCACGACACUGUGAUGAAACAAGCUGCAUCAAAGUCAGUCAUGAUCUCGAGUCACAGAAUAAACACAAUCAUGGUUGUUUGAGUCACCAUAAUUUGAGCUCAUGCGCAGAAGGUGAUAAACUUCACGAGGCAAAACACUGCAAUCAUUCCGCUUCUUCUUUGGUGGAAAUUCAAAAGUUGACAAGUAAAGGUCAUUGCCACACGACCCACUGCGGCAAAGAGCACAGCAGAUAUGAAGGUGAUGGAGUCCAUGAGGAAAAACACUGCAAUUAUUCUGCUUUUGCUUUGCACGAAAGCGAAAAGUUGACAAGUAGUGUUCAUUGCCACUCAAGCCACUGUGGAAAGGAGCAUGUUAGAAAGGAAGGUGAUGCAAUCCAUGAGCCAAAACACUGCAACCAUUCUACUUUUUCCUUGGAGGAAAGCAGAAAGUUGACAAGUACUGGUCAUUGCCACUCAACUCAAUGUGGCGAAGACCAUAUUCACAAUGAAUCGUUAGGAGAAACGUUUGCCACAAGAUGUGAUCUUCAGCACCACCAUAAUCAAGAUAAACAAUCACCCCCUCAUCAUACGACGACUGAUGUUGUAGUGGGUUGCGACCACACAGAAUCAGCCGCAACGAAUUCUUGCAUUGGCUCCCGGACAGCGGAAAAGGAAGCAUGUUGCUCGGAAUUAGUAGCAAUUCAUGCUUGUGUGUUGGAGAAAAGAGAAGUCGGUGGGUGCUGCAAAAGCUACAUGAAGGAAUGCUGUGGUGGUCAUUGGCAUAUCGGUUCUAGCUUUCAGGGUUGUUUAUCAGAAAUCACAAUUGAAUAGAUGUAACUGACUGAAAAUAAGUGUACAUAUAUACAUAUAUAUAUAUAUAUAUAUAUAUUAUAUACGUGCUUUAUAUAUAUUUGUGAAAUUAUCUUCAACUCCAUACUGCAUGAAAAUAUCUUCAAAAAACAAACAAAAGUACAAGCAUUAUAUCACUUCCUCUUCCUCAUCAUCAAAUUCAAAAUGCCACUUUUUUUCGAAUUUUCGGCAGGAUUACCAACACUUUCGAGGGACGAGGGUAUUGAUCCAGCGGAAACGCCUUCAAACCUUUUUGAGUAUGUUAUUUUCCUAUCAUCCGUUUUAUACGAUGACGUGGUUGAACUUGAAUAUAUUUGACGUGAUGCUUUUAAUGUAACUCCAUUUGAACGUCUUUGAGCUUCAGAAGUACCUCAAAUCAAGAAUUUGAACAUUAUUAUUAAUAGUACCCUUCGUAUGGUGGACAAGUUUGUUUUUGUUAAAAUGCAUGAAAUAAACAUGUUGGAAUAAUGGUGAAAUUAGGCUACUCAACUUUCUUGUUCAAAGUUAGGCAAGUUAGGUUAAUCAAGCAAGAUAUGUAAGUUAGGCAAAAUUAGGCUUAUGAUCUUUUUCUUCCCUAUAUAUGUUUCAUCUUGUAAUUGUUUCAUCAAGCAAAUAUACAUCAAAAUUCAAUAUGGUAUCAGAGCUGUGAUCUGGGAAAAACCACAAAAUACAACUCUAAAGCAGCCACGAGGUCAACCAUUCUAGGCAUGGCCUCUCAUUCAAAAUGGGAAAAUCCCAACCACCCGCUCUAUCUCCACCACUCGGAUCAACCUGGUGCAAUCCUCGUACCACAACCAUUGGUGGAAGACAACUACAACACAUGGGUUCAAUCCAUGAGUAUGGCCUUAACGGUCAAGAACAAACUUGGUUUUGUUGAUGGAACGAUCAACAAACCAAGUGAGGAUAAUUUUGAGAAGCUGCAGCAAUGGAAUCGCUGCAACAACUUGGUCAAGACAUGGCUACUAGGCUCCAUGUCAAAGGAGAUUUCAGGGAGUGUCAUCAACUACAAGGAUGCUCGACAAAUGUGGACAGAUCUGCAGGAGAGGUUCUCACAUGUGAAUAUAGUUCAGCUGUUCCAUGUUGAGAACGAGAUCCAUGAUUGCGUCCAAAGCAAUAUGAGUGUAAGUUCUUACUUCACUAAACUUAAAAGUUUAUGGGAUGAACGUGAUACUUUGUGUUCCAUUCCAGCAUGCAGUUGUGGAACAAAGAAUGAGAUGAACUCAUAUGUUGAAACUCAGAAAACCAUGAAGUUCCUUAUGGGACUGAACGAAUCGUAUGCUACGGUUCGAAGCAAUACUCUUCUUCUCGAACCACUGCCUACGGUGAACAAGGCAUAUGCGUUGGUCCUUCGACAUGAACGCUAGGCAGAGGUUUCCAAUGGGAAAAGCACACAACUAGAAACUGUUGUCUUUGCAGUGAAGAAUCUAUCGCGAGAACCUACACCUGAAGACAAGGAGAUGCGAUGUGGAAAGUGCAAUAAAACCAAUCACAUCACCAAAAAUUGUCGUGCACAUCUCAAGUGCACUUUUUGCGGAUGGAAAGGCCACACCUUCGAUUUCUGUCGAAAACGGAAAGCAGCCACAGAGACCGAAUCCAAUCGUCUCUUUUCUUCAAAGGGGAAUCAAGUUUCACAAAGUAACAAGCAAGAGACAGUGCCUAAUUUCCCGUUCUCUCAGGAGGACUGCAAGCAAAUCCUUCAAAUGUUGAACAAGAACAAAUCAUCAUUUGCCAAUCAAGUCAGUAAUCUUCCUAGUCAUAAAGAACUUUCAGGUAAAGCCUUCUCUUUUCCAUGUAAAGGAACCAAAAGUAUUUGGAUCCUGGACAGUGGUGCCACGGAUCACAUAGUUUGCAGUCCUAGUCUCCUUACACACUCACGAGCUGUUGAAAAUCAUACAGUUGAACUGCCAAAUGGUUCCGUUGCCAAAGUCACUCACAUUGGACAAGUUGUUUUCUCUCAUAAUCUUAUCCUUGAAAAUGUCCUAUGUGUGCCGUUCUUUAGGUUGAAUUUAAUAUCUAUCAGUAAACUAGCCUAUGAUUCCUUAUAUGUCACCAUUUUCUUCACCCAAUUUUUGUGUCAUUCAGGACCUUCGCUCGGGGAAGAUGAUUGGGACAGGAACUGAAAGGGAUGGACUUUACUACCUCGACCCAUCAAAGAAAGGAACAUGCAACAAUAUUCAAACCGUCUCACCAAAGCUUUGGCACCAACGCCUAGGACACCCAUCUCAUAAAGUCACUUCGUUAUUACCUUUAUUUAACAAUAAGGCUUGUGAUUUGGAAAAAUGUUUAAUUUGCCCAUUGGCCAAACAAACAAGAUCACCCUUUCCUUUGAGCUCUAUUUCUACCAAAUCAUGUUUUGAAUUAUUGCUUAUUGAUAUUUGGGGUGGUUAUCAAGUUGCUUCUAUUUCAGGUGCCAAGUAUUUCCUUACCAUCGUAGAUGACUACACUAGAAGCACUUGGGUUUAUUUGAUGAAACAUAAAUCUGAAACAAAGACAUUUUAGUCGGAUUCAUUCAAAUGAUUGAGACUCAAUUUAAUACCAGAGUUCAAAUCAUACGAAGUGACAAUGGCCCUGAGUUUAAGCUUGAGCAAUUUUAUGCUCUCAAAGGCAUCAUACAUCAAUCUAGUUGUGUCAACACACCACAACAAAAUGGUGUUGCCGAACGUAAACACCGGCAUUUGCUCAACGUUGCUCGGGCUUUGCUCUUUCAAGCUUGUUUGCCAAAACGUUUUUGGGGGGAUGCAAUCUUAACCUCAGCCUACCUCAUCAACAGAACACCCACUCCACUUCUCCAAGGUAAAACACCUUACGAAAAACUGUUUCACAAAGCACCUAACUAUUCCCAUUUAAAGGUUUUCGGUAGUUUAUGUUUUGCUUCUACACACGCCCAAAGGCCCUCUAAAUUCAACCCCCGUGCAAUCCAAUGCAUUUUUCUUGGGUAUCCUUAUGGUCAAAAGGGUUAUAAAUUGUUUGAUAUAAAACACAAUAAGACUUUUGUUUCUAGGGAUGUUGUUUUUUUUUUAAGAUCAUUUUCCAUUCCAAAAUCAUACCACUUCCGCUGCCCCGUCUCCAUCAAACAUUACACCCUCACCCAUCACGUUUGACUUGACCUCUCCCAUUGAGUCGCACUCAAGCCUUGCACCCGAAGAAAUAAACAUCACCUCUCCCACACUUGCCGACAUCACACCACUCUCAUCUCCUUUACCUACUACAACUCCACCACCAGAUACCUUAUCAACACCUUCACAUACCCUACACUCUUCACCACCUCUAACAACUCCAUCACCAGACCAACCACCUCCACUCCGUCGUAGCACUCGACCGACCAAAACUUCCACAUUUUUGCAGGACUUUCAUGUUGAGGUGGCCCUCCCUUCCCGUGUUGCUCCCACAUCUUCCACAAGCAUGGUCCAGUCAUCAGAACCCACCAGUUUUUCGCAAGCUGUUCAGGAUCCAAAAUGGCAUGACGCCAUGCAAAAAGAGAUUGUUGCCCUUCAUGACAAUCGCACUUGGACUCUUGUGCCCUUACCACCUCACAAACAUCCCAUCGGUUGCAAAUGGAUCUAUAAGGUGAAGCUUAAACCUGACGGCAGUGUUGAACGCUACAAAGCUCGUCUCGUUGCUAAAGGCUACAGUCAAAUUGAGGGGCUUGAUUAUCGGGAAACUUUUGCUCCAAUUGCCAAGCUCACCACCGUCCGCGUCCUCCUAAGUAUUGCCUCCAUACGAGGCUGGCAUCUUCAUCAACUUGAUGUGAACAACGCAUUUUUGCAUGGUGACUUAUACGAGGAGGUUUAUAUGUCCUUGCCUCCUGGGUUCGGACAAAAGGGGGAGACACGAGCAAAUUACACAAAUCCAUUUAUGGUUUAAAACAGGCCUCGAGACAAUGGUUUAUCAAGCUGUCUAGUGCUCUCAAGACUGCUGGUUUUCAUCAAUCAUGGUCAGAUUACUCAUUGUUCGUCCGAAACCGUCAAGGCAGUUUUAUGGCAUUACUUGUGUAUGUUGAUGACGUGAUACGUGCAGGUAACAAUUUGAGAGAAAUUGAAGAGACUAAACUCUUCCUUUCCCAACAUUUUAAACUAAAGGAUUUGGGAAAACUCAAAUACUUUUUGGGGAUAGAAGUUGCAAGAUCUAAACAAGGGAUUGCCUUGUGCCAACGUAAAUAUGCGUUGGAGAUACUAGAAGAUGCUGGGUUCCUUGGUGCGAAGCCCUCACGAUUACCAAUGGAACCAAACAUGUCCCUUACACAAACUGAUGGGACACUCCUACAUGAUCCUUCUUCAUACAGGCGACUCGUAGGGAGGCUGAUUUACUUAACCAUCACGCGGCCUGACCUGACUUAUGUGGUUAAUAUGUUGAGCCAAUUCAUGGACAAGCCACGACAACCACACCUUGAAGCGGUGCAUAAGGUUCUCAGGAACAUCAAACAAUCUCCUGGACAGGGAAUUCUUUUGCCUUCUACAGGUUCACUACAAUUACAAGCCUUUUGUGAUGCUGAUUGGGCUCGGUGUAAAGACACUAGAAGGUCAAUAACCGGUUAUUGUAUCUUCCUUGGACAAGCACCGAUAUCUUGGAAAACGAAGAAACAAAGCACAAUAUCUCGUUCUAGUGCAGAGGCAGAAUACCGUUCUAUGGCUACUACUUGUUGUGAAGUUAUAUGGCUAAGAAACAUUUUGAAGGACUUGCAAGUAAAUCAUGCACAACCAGUCACAAUGUUUGUGAUAAUCAAGCUGCCAUGCACAUUGCUUCGAACCCAGUGUUUCAUGAACGAACGAAGCAUAUAGAGAUAGACUGUCACCUAGUACGUGAGAAGAUUCAAAUGGGAAUGGUGCAAACAGCUUACAUACGGACCUCGAAUCAACCUGCAGACUUGUUCACCAAACCACUAAGCUCGGCACAAUUUGAGGUCUUAAUUAGCAAGUUGGGUGUCAUCGACAUUCACACUCCAACUUGAGGGGGAGUGUUUAAAUGCAUGAAAUAAACAUGUUGGAAUAAUGGUGAAAUUAGGCUAAUCAAAUUUCUUGUUCAAAGUUAGGCAAGUUAGGUUAAUCAAGCAAGAUAGGUAAGUUAGGCAAAAUUAGGUUUAUGAUCUUUUUCUUCCCUAUAUAUAUGUUUCAUCUUGUAAUUGUUUCAUCAAGCAAAUAUACAUCAAAAUUCAAUAGUUUUCACGGCUGAUAAGUAUACAUUAUUGCAGGUUGUUAUAGCUACUUGUGCACCAGAUGUUUUGCCGCAACGAUAUGGCAGAAGCUGUGCCACGAGGAUCCACUGUCGUUAACGACAGGAUCCGCUGUUGUCAAACGGUCGUGUAGGUAAUGGGAUUUCGAGGGAUUGUAAUGGAGGACUAUCUCCUGAUAUCACCUGUUUUUGCGAUGGAACGAAGUUGGGAGAGGAGGUACAGUGAACAGACGCUGUCGUGAACAUUGAGUUCUGAAGAACUAGUCAACUAAACAGCAACACAAGGAAUGAAAUUGAGGGAGCUGAAGUGCUCAUCUUGUAGGAAACAAUGUCAAGCGUAGCCGCCCUAACAGCCGUGGGGAUUUUGCGCUGGCGUUGCUCGGGCAAUGUUAGAGUACCAUGUUUUCUUACACAUCAACAUGGAUUUUGUAGCGUAUACUGAAUAAUCAAUAAAGCCAUUUGAUUUCAAGAAACUUGCAUUUGAAUUUUGACAUGGAUAAAGAAGAAUUAAUGGUACAGAUCACUUACGUAAACUACUUGAAGCUAACAGCCGGAAGUUUACUGCUAAGGUUCACUAUCCAUUCACGAAUAAUUGAAUUCACUUCAUCGGGCAGUUCGUCGUGCGGGCAAUGACCUAAUUUCAAAAACAAUGAAAGGAAUAAACUUGUACGAAACUUUUGGGCAUAAACACAGCAUACAACAAUGGAAAUAUUUUACACACCGGCAUCCAACUCCUUGACGAUGAACCCAGCACAAUGCUCUUUAAGCGUAGCCACUGUUGACUUGGAGUCCGAUAUUGGAUCUCUCAUCCCCUAACCGAGACAGACAGACAAAACAGUAGGAUUAAGGGGUUUUAAACAAAAUCAAAAGAGAAGAGAGAGAUUUCUCCCUGCUUGUUAAGACUUAAUAAUUUACCUGUAUAAUCAUAACUUUGUCCUUGAAUUCAUCCAAGAGAUAAUUAAGAGGGAUUGAGAGAUUGAAGCUAAAAACGCUUUCAAGGACCACUGCCACCCCGGGAUCAUAUGACUUUCAAGUUACGUUAAGGAGACUUUUGACUAGUUACAUGUUUUUUAGUUUGUAUAAGAAAAAUCAACUGUGAUUGCUAGUUCCUAGAGAAAAAUAAAUAUACUUCACAUGUAAGAGGAUACUGCUCUUAGCAUUUCAUCAAUAAGCCAAUUGUCGACUCGCUCUGUUUUCUGCAGAGAAAAGGUCGUAAAAACACAAACUAAUACUACGAAAGUGAACCAUAUUCGAAAAAAAGACAGUACAGACACUUACAGAUGGGUAGCAAUUCUUCACUAUGUCCUUGAGUGUCAACCUUAAGUAGAACAGAAGGAAUUUAGCACCUAGCCAUGAAGCAACCGAAGUUCUUCUCUCCUGAAACAGAAAACUAUAGUAUGAGACUGUCAAAAUCGUACGAAAGAAAGGGAUCUCACAUGUUUUUAAUCAAGCUUACUUUGGCGAACAACACAGAGGAAUAUCCUGGAAUAACAUUCCCACCACUGUUGAUAAGAACCACAGAUUUGACCAAAGUAGGCCAAAGACGAGCGACAAUUGAAAUAAUAUAACCUGGAGACAGAAAAUCGUAACAAAUAACAAUAAGAUUCACAACAGAUACGCACACUGGUGAUUAAAAGCUAAAAUUAAAAGCUAAAAUUGUAAGACAUUGUUUAGGUAAGUUGAUCAUCUCGUUUCUAGUUUAAAACAUACCACCAAUUGAGUUCCCAACCAGAUGUGCUGGUUCACCCACAACUUCAAUAAUGAAAUCUCUAAGCAUUUCAGCCCACAUGAGUUCAGUGUAUUCAAUAUUUGGCUUUUCCGAUUUGCCAAAUCCUAAUAGUGUGAUGGCCCAUACUCGGUUUCCACCUUCAGCAAUGGCACGUAUGUUGUCACGGUAACCAUGAACCAGAAGAGUAGCAGGACCUUCUUCACCCACAACUGUAUACUGACAAAAGGAUAGUAGUAUCACAGUGAAAGAGUAGGCGUGGAGCCAAAAAUAUUCACAAGGCGACAUGUGAAUCUUUGACAAAAUAAGACAAAACUACCCUUGGGGCAUACAGAGAUUCCUACGCACAAGCGGAAGCAAUUAUCCCUCAACCAAGUCAAAAGUGCCCAAAAUAGGUAUCAACUUAAAACCUAAUUUAUUCAUAGAUUUCCUAUUUCAUUAUUUAGCUAAUCAAUUAGCUAAAUACUAUACUUAUUCCAUAAUUCCUAAAACAUUCCUUCUAAAAUAAUGAUAAAUAGCUAAUUAAUUGGUUAAUUAGCUAAUUAUUCCCUUAAUUAGCAUUUAGACCUUUCACUUUACCCUAACUCCCACAAAAGGGCCGGCUAUCCCCAUUUCAAAACCUCAUCCAUCACCUUUUCUACUUUUUUCACCAUUUCUUCCUUUUUAUUAGCCAAUAAAUUCCAUAACUACAAAAGCAUUUCCUUUUAUGUUUAAUUAGCCAAUUAAUUGGCUAAUUAAACCAAAACAAAACCUAAAACCCUACUAAGUGGCUGGCCAUCCUUUCCUCUCCUAUAAAUUGGUUCUCAUUUUCACCAAACACUAAUUCCAACACUUUAGCAAAAAUCCCAAAAUUCUCUAAACACUCUUUCUCUCUAAAUUCUAACUUUAGCAUCGGAGGUUCUUCGGCCAAAGCCCCCCAAUUCAUCGUGGGCACGUGAGGCUCUUGGCCUUAACCUAAGGUGUUAAUUGUUUUGUGGGUGCAAAAUUGUCCAAAAUCAAGGAGGAAGAAAUUUGCCUCCACAAAUUGGUGCUUUCAUUGAGAGUUGAAAUCCAUACUCGUAGAAGACUCUCGCACAAAAAGGUUUUUUCUUUAUUUUCUAGUCCAUUUGAAUAUUUUUCAUACGCUCUUAUUAUUAGAAUUUUUUACUUGCAAAGGUUCUUUGAUAAAACGUAUAAGCAAAAUAUAAUGGCUAGAAAUUUAGAAAAUUCCACAAGUGAAAAUUCUAAUGUUCAAGAAAUGGGAUUGCGGAGAUCCGUGAGGCUAAAUGCGACAAUAAGUGGAGCAGUACCACCACCACGAGUUUCCACCAUGGGAACCACUCUUUCUUUUCUUUCUCCCCCAUUUCUCAUUUUGUUGAUUGAAAGAGGAUAAGCGCUAUCCAUUGAGUAAAGGAGUUAUUCGGGCGGUUGGCGGGAAGGAAGCAGCCCCAGCCUCUGUCCGGUCGAUCAUUCCGCUGGCAUCUUGCAUUCACGCCUCCGUUUGACUGCCGCUUGGGAUGUAGUUGUAGAUACGUUAGUCUUAGUGGGUAGCCACCCAUGGCGAGGUCCAUGGUGCCUUCACCACGGCUCGAGCCGUGACAUCCAAGGCUUACAGCACCAAGGCCACGGCCCAAGUCGUGUCAUCCAAGUUUGCACGGGCCUGGGCCCAAGCCUCGCAUUCGCAUGCAUCACAUACUAAGCAGCCUGCUCCCGCCAAGCAGCCCAUUCCCGUGGCCCAGCCUGCUUCCGUUGAGCAACCCACUCCUGUGGCACAGCCUGCUCCUGCCAAGCAGCCUGCUCUCGUGACCCAGCCUGCUCCCGACGAGCAGCCCACUCCUGUGGCCCAGCCUGCUUCCGUCGAGCAACCCACUCAUGUGGCCCAGCCUGCUCCUGCCAAGUAGCCUGCUCUCGUGACCCAGCCUGCUCUCGACGAGCAGCCUACUUCCGUGAUCCAGCUUGCUUCCGUCGAGCAACCUACUCCCGUGGCCCAGCCUGCUCUCGUGACCCAGCCUGCGCCAGACGAGCAGCCCACUCCCGUGGUCCAGCCUGCUUCCAUCGAGCAGCCCACUCUCACGGCCCAACCUGCUCCUGCCGAGCAGCCUGCUCUCGUGACCCAGCCUGCUCCCAACGAGCAGCCAACUCCCGUGGUCCAGCCUGCUUCCGUCAAGCAGCCCACUCUCACGGCCCAACCUGCUCCUGCCGAGCAGCCUGCUCUCGUGACCCAGCCUGCUCCUGACGAGUAGCCCACUCCCGUGGCCUAGCCUGCUCCUGCCAAGCAGCCUGUUCUCGUAACCCAGCCUGCUUCCGACGAGCAGCCCACUCCCAUGGUCCAGCCUGCUUCCAUCGAGCAGCCCACUCUCACGACCCAACCUGCUCCUGCCGAGUAGCCUACUCUCGUGACCCAGCCUGCUCCCGACGAACAGCCCACUCCCAUAGCCCAGCCAGCUCCAGUCGAGCAGCCCACUCUCACGGCCCAUUCUGCUCUAGUGGCUUUCCAAGCAGCCCAAGUCGACCCAAGACUAUCUCAACCAUCCGAACCUACCAUCGAGCCGGGGGCAUUCUCACCAUAUUUUUUUACGGAUUUGACAUUUUCCAACUCAAAUCACGCGCCCGGAGUCUACCACCCUUCCACUGCCCAAUGAGGCACAUUCCUUCUAAGCUCUUCCAAUCCAAAUGGCGAACAAUACUUGUCUCGACAAGUCAUAGAGUUGACGAGUGCCCUUGCACAACAGACAACAUUGGUGAAUCAACUUUUGCAACGCAUCGGGAUCCAACGUGCCCCGGACGAGGUAUCCCGAAGUAGGACAAGGGCAGAUGGACCUUUCCAGCAGCGUCCCGGCAAGCAGCCACGAGCCAAACGUUUGGGCAGUCUACAUUCCCAUCUUAGCGCGCGGAGGAGCAUGCAUUCUCGACUAGGCCUACAGAUGAGCAUACAUUCACGGUUGGGGUCAUACUCUGAUAGUCAACAUGAGCAACCUUCCGGACAAAUUGUCCAUUUGCGGCUAAGCCCACAAGAAGCAUCAUUCACCUUACAUCAGAGUAGGCAGCACGACAGACGGAGAGAAACAAUCACUCAAUCCAGCUCAAGUUCAACCAGCAGCCUGCGAAGAACUCAUUCGCCUGCUAGGAACGCACCACAUGCACUGCAUCCGCGGCAUAGACAAGCCAAACACAUGAAAGAGAAGCCUAGACCAGCAAGUCAUGGCUGGGGGCAACUGAGAGCUCCGCUACCCUAACAAAGGCAAAUUCAAAAAGAAGUAGAGAGACUAUUGACCAAUCGAUUACAUGAUUUCCAACGCAACGAGGUCACCGACGAAGCACUACGACGGAACAUGACCAACAUAAGCAGGUCACCCUUCACGGACGAGAUUAAGCAGGCAGAGCCUCCACGCGAGUUCAGCAUGCCACAUUUCACAUCUUUCAAAGGGGAUGAAGACCCGGAAAGACACUUAAAGUGCUACCGAAGCGCAAUGAUCCUUUAUCGAAACAACGAUGAUCUCAUGUGCAAGAUAUUCGCCACCACUCUACAAGACGAGGCGCAAGAUUGGUUCUACACCCUGCCGCCACAAUCCAUCCGGAAUUUCUACUUUCUUUGGUUUUCACCAAAGAAUAUUCAUCCUAUCGCUCGAUUAAAAAAAAAGUCUGACCAUUUGUUCGAUGUCAAGAAGUACCCAAAGGAGUCGCUUCGCGACUAUGUGAGGAGAUUCAAAGCAGAGAAGGCAAGGAUAGUCGGAUGCAACGACUCGAUAGCUAGAGCAGCCUUUCAAAAAGGACUUCCAGCAGACCACCCGCUAUUCGGAAAAUUGAUCAUGAAAGAAGAUCUGACUCUGGCAGACUCUUUUGCUUUGGCAGAAAAGCAUGCACUUUGGGAUGAGGCUCGCCAAUGCACAUUCAAGGACUUGAAGAAGUACCCGACAUCACCUCCCUAGAAGCAGCGGAUGACUUAUUCGCAUGUUUGACGGUAUCUAAAGUAGUAAUAAGGUCUACCAUCAUGCGAGAAGAGCUGGGGGCCCGACUACCUGUAUUCUACAAUUCAAAAGCUUUCCUCGAUGCUAUUAAAAAUUCAAAAGCUAACUUUGGCAAUAAUUGUUGUAACCCAAAAGCUUAAGUUUUACCUUCAAAAGCAAGCAGUCAUCAUCGUGACGCACUAUUCUGCCGAAUCCAAACCGACAACAAUAAAGGCGUAGACCCUGGCAGAUGUAAAGUUUUCUGACUAAUGCAACAACUCGGCCCAACGAUGCCCCGAAGGUAGCCGAGCACACUUUAGCCACACCUGCUCCCUCAGUGGAGAUUUCUAACGUUUGCAUGUCGACGGCGCAUCCAACUACGAAGGCUCGUGAGCAGCCGUGGUUCUUGCCACCCCAGACGUUUCAAUGCUCAAGCAGGCGAUCACUGUAAGCUUCAAAACAUCUAACAACGAAGCAGAGUACGAAGCCCCAUUAGCAGGCCUUCGAAUGACAAAAGACUUGGUGGUGAAAAAGCUUUCAAUUCAUUCCAAGUCCUAGCUAAUCACCAGCCAGACUACUAGGGGCAAAGGCAUGAUGAUCGUGGCAACCGACUACUUCACCAAUAAGAAAAGAAAAUGGCCAGACGAACUCCAAGGAUGUCUAUGGGCAUAUCGCACAACCAAAAGACGAACAACCGAAAGGAGAUGGCCACAAGCUUAGAUCUGGCAGAAGAGAUGCGCGCACAGACUAUCAAUCGCAUCGCAGCCUACCAGCAUCAGCUCCUUUCCAGCUACAACAAAAGGGCCAAGAUCCGGCAGUUUCAGCCUGGAGAACUGGUCAUAAGAAAAACCUUCAUCACUACCAGUAGAAAAGGCUCCAAAAAUAUAGAUCCCAUCUGGGAAAGUCCGUACAAGAUCAGCAGAGUAGGUGGCAAGAACAAUUACACCCUUGCCACCAUAAAACGACAAAAAGAUUGAAAAACAAUGGAACACCUACAAUCUGAGGAAGUACCAUGUGUGACCUCUCGCUACAUCAAAGCCCGAAGACUCAAGCAGCUCGACGGGCACUACCUCACCAGUCGAGGAUUAUCCAGUUGUUAUGCAGUUAUUACCUUACAUCUAAGUUCUCGUUCGUUUAACUCGUUUUUCAAUGAGAAAUUCAGAAGUAAUCACGACUUGGCUUGACUACAUGCUUACAACAACUGAUCAUUCAUGCACUUCAAAAGAAGAUUGCGCCCUUCUUAGGGACUUACCGCAGAAUUGCGCCUCCCGAGGGACCAACCAUGCUCUCCAGUGUGAGAAGGUAAACUAAUUGCUCUCCAACGCGAUAGGGUAAACCAAUUCCCCGACACCCACAUGGGUCAGGUCUCCAAGAACGGGAGGAUAAACUCUACACUCCGAAUAUCCAGACGUGGAUGAGCCGGGCUGCCCUAGUAUAACUAGAUGCACGAUGGCUUGCGCUGGGAUUCCUAGAAGUAGCCGCAAUGGUCUUUUUCAAGGCUUAGCUAACUGAAGGAUUUUGGGUCUCUUGGCCUAAUCCGUGGGAAACCGGGCCCUUGAGACGGAGAGGGCACAUUAUGCAGUACAUCAGAUGGACGGCUGCCCUGGAAUCCUAAAGCUGCUACCGAGUGCACUAUGGUAGCCUACGGAUUCCGGAAGACUGCCUAUGGCUUGCCCUUCGAGCAGAAAGCCGCUCUAGACUUUUACAACCGCACAUUCUUGUGAAAGGUUAAACAAGCUAGCACACAUAUACGAAGUUUUAUCCAUUGCCGACAUGCUACGUAGUCGAUAAGCUUCACCUCUGCCAAGCGCGGAACAACCUACACAAAGUCCUAAAGUGUUGUGAUACUUGCUACGCAACCUACGGAAUUGGAGAAACUCAAGGUUAACAGCCUAGUGGUUACGCGGACUUGUCUGCUUCUGUAAGUAAGGCAUCCGGCUGCCAACCCAAUGGCUAACAACUUUGCAAAGUUCUAUACCAACACCUACGGCUGCAUAGGCUACGCGAGCUUGUCUGCUUAUAAAAAAGUAGCAUGUUUGCCACUGGUCUAUCAAGUCUAAAGGUUAAGGCAUGAACAAAAGAAUAAAAAAUGAAGAAAAGUUAAAGAAAACAUGUUUAUAAACAACUAGUAAAGGCCGAAAGAGUUCAAGCAAAAUAAGAGCUGCAAGGAAAAAACAAAGAAAAUCUUAAAGGCUACCUAGAUGACUACACUUUAGCAGCCUGGAUAUCCCACGACUAUUCGGUCGCCACACCUUCAGCAGCCGCGAAGCUCUUAGCAGCGGCAUCACCCCCGACUGCUCCAGCCUGGGCACCAACUUCUCUAAUUACUUCACCAAUACCAACAUGGACGCGCUGCAGCUCAUCCACUUCUUUCUUCAAACUUUCGUUGAUCUUCAGUACACCUUGAAGUUCCAACACUUGGGGUUCAAGCCUAUCGACGAUUCUCUUGAAGUGGAUCACUUGAUUAUAAGCAGCAAUCAACUUUUCAUCCUUUGCAUAAGCAGCGAAAAAAGUCUUUGGUUUUUUCUCAGCCGGCAUCUCUUGAGCAGGCAGGGAAGAUCCCUUUUUCCACCUUCACUUGCAGCAGGAUCCACAACGGUGAUUAGACGAGCCAAUACAUCCACCUUGAUCCUAUUCACCUCUUAUUUUGGGAGCAGCCCACGUUUCUCCUGACGAAGAGAGUUAAAGUAGCCAACGCCAUUUGUGGUACCCAGCAGGGGAGUUUAACCCAACAUUCCAGCAGCUCAUGAGGCCCGCAACAUCUUCAUUUCUCUCAAUCACCUACCUAGCUCGCGUCAUGUCCAAAAGCCCAAAAAGACAUGAGCCAUGUGACUCGCCUAGCACUGCGCCACAGCGCCCAUGGCCCCAGCCAUAUAAGUUGCCCUUGGUUUUAGCCAAGUCGAGCAGUCUCUGCCACAAUACCUCAUCGGCCCAUGCCGAGCCGACUCCUGGCCCAUGACAGCCGAUGUGCCACACCAUCCCGACGGCUGCCCCGAGGUAGCACCAUCCAAGAAGAAGACAAGGAAAAUUAAUUUUUUCUUACCUCAGUGCGGCACAAAAAAGACGAAGAAAGCAACAAAAGACGGUCCUUUGCAUGGGCAAGAUGUAGAAAAUUGCUAGAGGAGGGGGAACAAAUAUCCUCUAAGCUAUCUCUCUCUUGUAGGGUAGAAUAAAUCGCUCUUCAAAGUUGAUUUAAUAACCCACUUAAGGUGGACUUAAAUAGGCUUUGAGAGAAAUUUAUUUCCCUUUCCUAGAAGGAUCUAAUUUCCUAUUAAAGAGAGAAUCUACAUCAAAAUAGGAAGCAAUCCUAAGUUUCCUAAAACAAGAAGAUCUCUACACCUGCUGCCCUUUUCUGCGAGCAGCCCAACAGGUGUGGGGGUAUUUGUGGAACCAAAAAUAUUCACAAGGUGACAUGUGGAUCUUUGACAAAAGAAGACAAAACUACCCUUGGGGCAUACCGGGAUUCCUACGCGCAAGCGGAAGCAAUUAUCCCUCAACCAAGUCAAAAGUGCCCAAAAUAGGUAUCAACUUAAAAUCUAAUUUAUUCAUAUAUUUCCUAUUUCAUUAUUUAGCUAAUCAAUUAGCUAAAUACUAUACUUAUUCCAUAAUUCCUAAAACAUUCCUUCUAAAAUAAUGAUAAAUAGCUAAUUAAUGGGUUAAUUAGCUAAUUAUUCCCUUAAUUAGCAUUUAGACCUUUCACUUUACCCUAACUCCCACAAAAGGGCCGGCUAUCCUCAUUUCAAAACUUCAUCCAUCACCUUUUCUACCCUUUUUCACCAUUUCUUCCUUUUUAUUAGCCAAUAAAUUCCAUAACCACAAAAGCAUUUCCUUUUAUGUUUAAUUAGCCAAUUAAUUGGCUAAUUAAACCAAAACAAAACCUAAAACCCUACUAAGUGGCCGGCCAUCCUUUCCUCUCCUAUAAAUUGGUUCCCAUUUCACCAAACACUAAUUCCAACACUUUGGCAAAAAUCCCAAAAUUCUCUAAACACUAUUUCUCUCUAAAUUCUAACUUUGGCAUCGGAGGUUCUUCGGCCAAAGCCCCCCCAUUCAUCGUGGGCGCGUGAGGCUCUUGGCCUAAACCUAAGGUGUUAAUUGUUUUGUAGGUGCAAAAUUGUCCAAGAUCAAGGAGGAAGAAAUUUGCAUCCACACAGGUGGUAAUUACCAAGUUGAGGACAAUAUCGAUGUUGUUGGAAGUGGGUUGUAUGGCCCGUCUCUUUGAUAAUUCUACUGUAUCAAGAAAUGUACACAAAUAUGAACAAAAAAAAUAUCUCAAACCCUUAAUAAUCCGAUGUGAAAUAAUGUGGUAGGAUGACCUUCAACUGCCAAAAUAUGAUAUUAGUUGCUCACAUUAUAACAUCAUAUUCAUAAUUCAUGCAUGCUUCUUCAUGUCGUACACCAAUAAUAUUCAAAGUUUCACAUUCAUGGGCCAUAUGGUAUAAAUGCAAAUAAAAGGGUAGUUUCGAUAAUGCAGCAAAACACAAGGCCAGUUAUGACACUUUAUUUCAUGGGGGCAUUACUAAUAUUUCUCUAUUUUAUAUAUGAGUGCUACUACCUCCACCCUAAUGUCUUAUUUUCCCAUCCCAGUUUUUAUUAAAUUUUUAAUGACUAAUUUAUCAUCUCAUAAAAUGACAUAUAAGGACAUCCAAAAAGGCAAUGCUUUCGUUUCAGUCUCCUUCGAGCUCUCUCAGUCAUUUCUGAAACUCCAACCUCCAUAUUAAUGGACAAAGCAAUUGUGAUCAAGGUUAUGAAACGGACUGGAUCCUGUGGACAGGUGACUCAAGUGAAGGUCAAGUUUCUGUUACUUUGUGUCGGUGAAUGGCGAGGAGAGAGGAAGGGGAUGAGGCAUUUGGAGGGAAGGCGAUUAUUACGGAUUGAGAUGCCAUUGCAGCUGCCAUUGCCAAACCCACUAGGCGGUGCUAGGAGGUGGUAUCUUUGAUUGGGAUUGGGAUUUGAAUUGGAUUUGGAGGGUGGACAAGUCCAUUGGCAACCAGUUUUGAUUCCAUUUUUGGUACUUCGUUUCUUGCAUUGCCUUCGCCUAUGUUUGCUUCUGUGGCUCUGGGCACUUGGGCACUAGCCAAGCAGCAGAGCAUGCAAAUUGCAAUGGAAGUGCAAAGUAUGUGUAUGAUUGUAUCAAAAUUGACGGGUGAGCUUGGCUUUUGCCUUUCUAUUUUAUUUCAAAAUUAUUUCAUAUUUGGAAAUUCAAAGAAUUGAAAAUAGAAUGGAGGCCAUGUUACUGGAAGUCUGGAAGGAAAUCAAGCAUUGAUAUGAUAGUAUAUGGGGUUUUUAAGCGAUCAGUAAUGAUGGGAUAUGAGGCCAUUGAGCAGGGUGUUAGGGGUAAGGGCGCUUUGGGAAUAAUAGUGGGCGGAAAAUUAGUAUGGUUUUCUUUUUACUUUUUUUUGUAGGUGAGAAGAUAAAACAUUUGGGUGAGUAUAACACAUAUUGUUUUUUUUUUUAAUUCAAAAGUAUAAACACAAUUCUCUUUAGCUUUUCAAUUAAUUCAACCCCUCUCUGGUAUUUCCCCUUUAGAAAUUAAUAAUUGCAAAGCAAAGAGACAUACGAUAUUGCGUAUAAAAUAGUGUUUGACAAAAAUAUCUAAAGAGGGGAUGAGGAGGGGUUCUUACUGCUAACAAUUCCCUUAAAAAUGGUGCGGCAAUCAUAAGAGAGAAGGGCGCAAGUGGGGCUUUCCUAUGGGAAAAUGCACGCUGUCACAUGGCCAUGCCAUAUUUUACCUUCCAGAGUUACCACAAACCUUACUUUUUCCAGGAAAAUUUUCAUUUUCUAGGAAAAGUUUUCAUUCACCCCACCAGUGUUUGGCAGCAGCUUCUGUAUCUUGAGAGAUCAUUCCGUUACUGAUUUUCUCUACACAUAAUCUUGAUUUGUCUACUUGGUUUAGAGCAGUUUUAGUUCAUUUGGCUUACUACAUUACUUGCCGUUGAGGGUGUACUUGCUAAAUCAGUUAUAAUACAACAUUAGCUUACUACAUUACUUGCCGUUGAGGGUUUACUUGCUAAAUCAGUUAAAAUGGCCAUCUCAUCAGUUUAAGCACAGAUGCUAUCAAACAAGCUUUGAUGUGGAUUCCAUUCUUUUUCCCUCCAUCUGGUUCUCCACUAUUUUUUUCUCAUGACUCAUCAACAAGAGAAACGUGAACCAAUUAUUCCAACCAAAGAAAGUUGUUUUGUUAGGAGAUUACUUCAUUAAUUUAAGUUAUUCUUUAUGUACAUGUCCCUCUAUAAGUUAUAAUCCUUCCCUUCUUACAUGUAUAGUUCUCACAACUUCAUCUCCUUAAAGCUUUCAGACCCUAUUACUCUCUCUCUCUCUCUCUCUCUCUCUCUCUCUCUCUCUCUCUCUCUCUCUCUCUCUCUCUCUCUCUGAAUUAAGCUUGAAGAAUCCCCAGAGCUCCCCAUUACCUACAAGGUGAUUUUCUUUAAGCGUUUAGCUUGGUCAUAUCGAGUGAAUUCACGAUUAGUAUUGUCGACAGAGCUGAGUUGUCCCUGUUGAGUAAUUCCCAAGUCUCCUAUUCUUCGUCUCCUCAAGACCCUCGGUACACCUGUAUCACACACACACGAACUUCUGACCAAAUAAUUUUCAUAACUCUACUCUUCACAAAUCAGACACAAAGUUUGUAUACCAACAGAAAAUUAGUAAUUUUUCCUGUGUCCUGUGUAUUUGCAGAAGUUGACAGAUAAUUAAGCAGGAUGGCUUCUACCCAGGGCAAAGAAAAGCCAGCAGCCAUAAAGUUUCAGAAGAGCUACUUUGAUGUGUUGGGGUUGUGCUGCUCAUCAGAAGUUCCUCUGAUAGAGAAUAUCCUCAAGCCUCUUGAAGGUGUGAAAGACGUUUCAGUGAUUGUGCCUUCCAGAACUGUCAUUGUUGUCCAUGAUAGCCUUCUCAUUUCCCAGCUUCAAAUCGGUAAUAUAUUCUCUUAAAUAAUUUUACACCAGUGAAUAUUAGUAUUUCCCCUUAAUUCUCUAAUAUUUGUGUUAAAAAUUGGUUAUUUUUUUCUUAAUAGUUGCACAACAGAAAGUAAAUAGUUUUGGGAAAAAGAAAAAAAAAAAAAAAAAAAACGAUAGCAGUAGGUGGACGUGUACUUUUUCUGUUUGUGGGAGAAUUAUUAUUCGGCAUAUCGCGUACCAUUAUGAACCGAAAAGAUGGAACCGGAUCCUCUCCUGAUCCAUAUAUAUAUAUAUAAUAUAUAUUAUAUAUAUAUAUAUAUAUAUAUAUAUAUUGAGUCUGCUAAGCAGGCGAUUUGGAUCAUUGAAAUUUAAUUCAACGACUACAACUAUUAUAAUUUUUAGAGGAUUCUCUGUUUGUACCAUUAUGAACCAAAAAGAUGGAAUCGGAUCCUCUCAUGAUCCAUAUAUAUAUUGAGCCUGCUGAGCAGGCGAUCUGGACCGUUGAAAUUUAAUUCAACAGCUAUAACUAUUAUAAUUUUUAGAUGGUCUUCUGUUUGUAACCGUUAGAUUAAGUUUCGACAGUCCGGAUCGCCUGCUGAGCAGACUCAGUAUAUAUGGAUCCGGAAACGAUCCGGUUCCAAAAAGAUAGAGACGUGCAUGCCUUAUAUGUUUUUCUUUACCCAACUUUCACGUACUAUUUUGCUUUCCUUUUCAUCACCCACUAUAAUAUACUUAAAAAUAGCUUUCAGUUGUGGCUAAUUCGUUGUAUGUUUCACCUUACACUAUAUAAUACUAAAGAGAGAUUAUAUUCAUACUCUUCAAAUUACUUCUCCUACACAUUUUUAAUUUUUUAAUAUUUUCUGCACAUCACUAACACUUGAUAGAAAAAUAUUAAAAAAUUAAAAAGGUGUGGAAGAAACUUUGGAGUGUGUGAAUAUAAUCUCUCAAUACUAAAUAGUUUUACACCCCUUUGGUGUGAAUCUUGAGACUCCUUGACUAUGAGGAAAAGCACAUUAGUUUUCUUAAAAUAAAAAAGCUCAAGCUAUUUAUUCGAAAAUAAAAUAAAGUAUGCUCAGUCCAUUUAGUUGGCCUCUCACACACUCUUUUAUCUUAAUACAAAUGCACAAGUUUUUCAAACUCCAUUAUUACUUAUAAGGAAGUUCUUUUGAUUUGCCCCAUCAGAUAACAUUUAGAAACAUUGAAAAUUGAAGGAAAAUUAAUACGACAGCAAACUCACAUGAAUGGAUAUCGAAAAACUGAUAGGGCAACAUAAACAAAUUUAUUUUUCCUUGAGGAAAUUGCCCUUUUGAUCUGUUAUUUCAUGGACAGUUAAGGCACUAAACCAAGCAAGGCUAGAAGCAAAUGUGAGAGUGUAUGGGGCAGGGGACAUUUACAAGAAAACGUGGCCAAGUCCAUAUGCAAUUGGUAGUGGCGUGUUACUGGUUCUAUCAUUUCUCAAGUACGCAUAUCGGCCAUUAGGGUGGUUGGCCCUUGGAGCCGUGGCCGUUGGCAUUUUCCCCGUUGCUUUGAAAUGUUUUGCGUCUAUUCGGAAUUUCAGGUUUCAUGACAUCAACAUUCUUGUUAUCAUUGCCGGUGAGUCAAUACUUGGUCUUAAUCAUUGCGUUAGUUAUAUGAAAUUAUCAUAUAAACAUUGAAGUACAUUGUACACAUGACUGUCAGUCAAUCAUCUAUCACGAGAAUAAUACUUAAUGUGAUACAAUCAUCUUUCCCACUUUAAAGUUGCUCGUCAAAUUAUAUUUUCUACACUCCAUAAUUUUGGUACCACUUAUCUACUCAUAUUUCUUUGUCAGCUACUUUAUAAAAAUGAUUACAAAAAUUAGCUCUAAAAAAUUAUAAGUAAAAUGUCGUAUUAAAUAAAUCUAGGCCGUCUUGUUCUUAUUGCAAAUUGGAUUUAUCCUUUUGUUUUGUUUUUCUCCGUUGCAAGGAUGUUUAAGAAAAAGACUUUGCCGGCCUUCAUACCGAAUAACCUUAACGGUUGAUCCUUUUGUUUUGUUUUUUCUCUGAAAAAAAUUGCAACACAUCACGUUUCCUUAGAAAGUUUGAAUAGAUACAGGUUGGUUUUUGUGUAGAAGUUCAAAAGCUACCGUUAGACAUACUUUAUGACUUUUUACGAUACACAGAAAUGACCCAACGUCUUUGGCUUCUUGCAAGUUUGAGUGGGUAUGUAUGGGUGCGUUAGAUUAAAAGUUUGGAUUGCUAUUAGGUGAAUUUGAACCACAUUAUUGGUAGUUUAUUAUGGGGUUAAGUCUACACUCUUCUUUAAUGUGGAUAAUAUAAGUUGUUAAUAAAAAAAAAGGGUAUUCUGCAUCGGUUUCCCUCAAAUGAUAUACUUUUGGGAGAAAUGCAAUGGCUAGAUUGUUUUGACACUUGAAAAACUUAGAGUUCAUUUAGUAUCUUAUUUGAGAACCUUUUUUUUUUUUUUAAACUCAUGUUUUGAUUUAAAAUUUUUAAAUCAAAAACCAUUUUUGGUGUACAACUUCUCAAACUAUCAAAAACAAAAAGUUCGAACACCUUUGUAUAUAUUUUGAAGUUGUGGUUUUGAGAAUUGGGAUCCACACCACACUAAACACCAAACAACAAUUUAACAUUGGGAUUCAAAACUUGUUUUUAAGUUAAAAAUUCGAUCCAAAUCUGCCUUAAAAUCUUUAGUUUUUUUUUUCAAAGUUCAUAACUACCCAUUCGAGGCUUUUUCGAGUAAUGCUGGAGGGGUUCCUAUUUCCGAGCAUUACUCGAAUCCUCUUAUAGCAUAUUCUGCAUUUUUGUACUUUCACAUCUCUUCUUAGAUUUAAAAACUUUUCUAUUUAGAUUAGGUUUUAUAAAUUUUUAGUACACCAUAAAGUCUAAUUCCAUUGGCCCUAGCUCAUUAUUGGCCGGCUUCCCAAUUUUUGGUGGAGGGUGCUAUUGGGUCAUCAUUUCGUGAACCGUAUGUCGAUUAUAGUCUCAAUGGAUUCUAUUAACGCAACAUCUCUCUUGUCAUGUUUUAUGGUUGCCAUGUAAUAUAAAAUAAAUGGUUCUUCAAUUUAAUUGAGAGAGACAUUGAAAUAAAUAAAUAAAUAAAUAUAGCACUUAAGUGAAAGAACCAAAAACUACAAAUUAAAAAAAAAAAUCUACUGAAUUACGAGUUCAGUUGGAGUUGGAAAUGUAUUUUCAGAACUCUAUUGCAAUACUGCACACAUGAUACAGAAGUUACUUAUUUGCGCAUGUUUGUAUAUUUAUGUAAAUCCAUUUAGUGUAACUUUUGACAGUAAUUGGGACAAUUGCUUUGAAGGACUAUACAGAAGCUGCCUCGAUUGUCUUUCUGUUCACCAUUGCAGAGUGGCUCCAGUCUUCUGCAGGUUACAGGGUUAGCAUAAAACACUCAUCCUUCUUUUUUAUGAAAAAUUUAAGAACUAAUCUCAUUGAAUUAAACAAAAUACAAGUAAUGAUAAGUGGCCGAAAAACAUAGCAGUUGAUUUUGGAACAACAAAUUUUGCUGAAGACAGUUUUGUACAUAAUUUUGUGAUAAACCACAUACUAAUCAAUGCUUUAAAAGACGAAGGUGAAGCCCCUCCUAAGCGAAAGCCUUGAGAUUGAGGCGACUCAUGGGACCUAUAAUUAUUAAUAUAUAGUCUAGUUGGAAGGUAUGUCAUAUGGUCUUGUUGAACUUGAACUUAGAGGGUAUGUCAUGAAGUCUAGAUGAACUUGAACUUUGGCAUUUUUUUCUUAAAAAAAAAAGAAAAAUAAAAAAAAAGCCCAAUCGAACGCUGCAGCCGCCUAGGCAUGCCUCGAUCACAUCUAGGUGAGUUUAAGCCUAUUCCCGCUGGGCAGAGGCAUUUUCAUCACCGCCCUGUCUCCAAAGCUGCCUAGGUGCGCCUCAAGGCUCGUUUUUCAAUACACUGAUACUAAUACUAAAAUGUUGUUUAAGGGAUUAAUGAAUGACUUGCUAAUGUAUAUCAUAAACAGUCAGACACGUAGAAUAACAUGCUUUUGUUGAGAGUUGUCCCACAUCGUUGAGGGACAAGAUUUGCUAUGUGCUUAUAUGAUCUUGGGCUACUCCUCAUAUUGCCAAUUGGUUUUAUGGUUGAACCCCAAUUUCAUCAUGGUAUUAGAGCAAGGUUGUCCACGUGUGAAGCCCAACGGCCACGCGCGCUCCACAUCACCCAGUUGUUGUCCACGUGUAGGCUUAAAAAUCCGCCACACGUGCGGGGGCGUGUUGAGAGUUGUCCCACAUCGGUGAGGGACAAGGUUUGCUAUGUGCUUAUGAUCUUGGGCUACUCCCCAUAUUGCCAAUUGGUUUUAUGAUGGAACCUCAAUUUCAUCAGCUUUUAUCUACUCAGGCAAAAGCAGUGAUGUCGUCGUUGAUGAGCAUGGCGCCCCAAAAAGCAGUCUUAGCAGAGAGUGGAGAAGUUGUGGAUGUUGAUGAGGUUAAGUUGAACACAAUUCUUGCUGUUAAGGCUGGCGAAACUAUACCGAUUGAUGGAAUAGUUGUUGAAGGAAAAGCUGAAGUGGAUGAGAAAACACUAACUGGAGAAUCCUUUCCAGUUGCCAAAGAAAAGGACUCCACUGUUUGGGCAGGCACUAUCAAUCUUAAUGGUAACAUAAAUGUCGUUCCCGUCAUUCUUUGAUUUUGAAUAAAGAGUUAUGUUUUCAUUUCUGACAAAAUUUGGUUUCAAUUGUGAAGGUUAUAUUAGCGUGAAAACUACAUCAUUGGCUGAAGAUUGUGCGGUCGCCAAAAUGGCAAAACUUGUCGAAGAGGCUCAAAACAGCAAAACCAGAACUCAAAGAUUCAUUGACAAAUGUGCAAUGUUCUAUACCCCAGGUUAGUCUACUUUCCCCAUACAUUUCAUAUGUUUCACUAUUCUUUACUACCAAGGAGAAUGCAGACGGUUGGAUUUGUUUUGUGGUGCUGUUUUGCAGCGGUCCUGGUCAUUUCUGUUUCUAUCGCGGUGAUUCCAGCUGCAUUACAUGUUCACAAUUGGAGCAAGUGGUUUCACUUAGCUUUGGUUGUUUUAGUGAGCGGUUGUCCGUGCGCUCUCAUCCUCUCUACACCCGUUGUGACUUUCUGCACGCUCACAAAAGCGGCAACAUCUGGACUUCUGAUCAAAGGAGGUGACUACAUUGAGAUUCUUGCUAAAGUCAAGAUCAUGGCUUUUGACAAAACUGGUACAAUAACAAGGGGUGAAUUUGUGGUGAUGGAUUUUCAAUCUCUUCGUGAUGACAUUAGCUUGAACACAUUGCUUUACUGGUAUAGACUGCAACUCCUCUAUUCAGCAACAAGUUGAAUGAAACACACAAAAAUUUUGAUGGAAAGAAAAAAUUUACUUCAUGAAAUUCAGAAAGAGGCUUUUAGUUUAAGACGAAUUUAAGGCUGUUUUAAUGCUGCAUUAUUCUCCCAAAGUGUUUCCUAUUAUUUCUUUAUUAAUCUUCAUGAAGGGUUUCAAGCAUUGAGAGGAAGUCAAGUCAUCCAAUGGCAGAUGCGCUGGUUGACUAUGGAAGAUCGUUUUCGGUUAAGCCUAACCCUGAAAGUGUGGAGGAGUUUCAAAAUUUUCCCGGGGAAGGUAUCCAUGGGAGAAUUGAUGGACAAGAUAUCCACAUUGGAAACAGAAAAAUAGCUUUGAGAGCUGCUUGUGAAAUAGGUAAAUGCCAUCGACUCCUGUAUCUUCGAAGCUAUUUCGAAUGAUUCCAAAGAUUAUGAUUCAUUUUCUUUUUGUUUAUGGUCUUUUUGGAUCUCUCAUCAUUAAAUCUUUCUGAAAUUUCAGUUCCAACAAUUGAAGGUUCGAAAGGUGGGAAGACGAUUGGAUACAUAUACUCUGGGGGAGCCCCUGCUGGAGUCUUUACAAUAUCUGAUGCUUGUCGAUCUGGGGCUGCAGAGGCUCUCAAGGAGCUAAAGAAGUUAGGCAUUAAAACAGCUAUGCUCACAGGAGAUAGUAAUGCUGCCGCAUUGCAUACAAAUGAGCAGGUGUGUUAUUCUUAAUAUCUUAGCCUCAUAUCGCUAUGCUUAAAUCUGCACGCGCAGCGCACACCAUGCGCUCCACUCUGCACUCACUUUUAUUGAUUCAAUGUAUGAUCUUCCCUGGCAUACAUGGCUGUAGAACUGCAUAUAUAUUUUCUUUGCAGAUUAAGAAAGAAAAAAAGAACAAAUAAGAGUAGAAAAUUUAUCUGACUUGCAGCUUAAGCAAGCUCUCGAGGUAGUCCAGGCAGAACUUCUACCUGAAGACAAGGCAAGAAUCAUUAAAGAAUUUAAAAUGGAAGGAAACACAGCAAUGGUUGGAGACGGGAUCAAUGAUGCCGCUGCUUUAGCUACAGCCGAUGUUGGUAUCUCAAUGGGCAUUUCAGGAUCAGCCCUUGCUCAAGAAACUGGGAAUAUAAUUUUACUGUCAAAUGACAUUAGGAAACUACCGAAAGCAGUCCAACUUGCGAGAAGAGCUAAAAGAAAAGUGAUUGAGAAUGUGGCUUUGUCCAUCACUACUAAGGCGAGUAUCCUUGCACUGGGAUUUGCAGGGCAUCCGCUUGUUUGGGCUGCAGUUCUUGCUGAUGUCGGGACAUGCAUGCUUGUGAUAUUCAACAGCAUGCUACUCUUACAAGGAACCAACAAGCAUGGAGGGAAAACUUCUGCACCACAUGGCCAUAAACAUGGAAGCCAUGGACAUAGCCAUUCUCACAAAAGCCAACAUUGUUGCUCGGACAGCAAACCCGUAAAAGCCUGUAAACCUCAAAAGUGUUCCUCGCAGAAAUGCGGAUCAGAGUGCCAUCCUAGUCCCUUAAAUUCAAGCUUUCCCUGUAAGCUUAAGUGCAGUGAUGACUUACACGAGGCACGACACUGUGAUGAAACAAGCUGCAUCAAAGUCAGUCAUGAUCUCGAGUCACAGAAUAAACACAAUCAUGGUUGUUUGAGUCAUCAUAAUUUGAGCUCAUGCGCAGAAGGUGAUAAACUUCACGAGGCAAAACACUGCAAUCAUUCUGCUUCUUCUUUGGUGGAAAUUCAAAAGUUGACAAGUAAAGGUCAUUGCCACACGACCCACUGCGGCAAAGAGCACAGCAGAAAUGAAGGUGAUGGAGUCCAUGAGGAAAAACACUGCAAUUAUUCUGCUUUUGCUUUGCACGAAAGCGAAAAGUUGACAAGUAGUGUUCAUUGCCACUCAAGCCACUGUGGAAAGGAGCAUGUUAGAAAGGAAGGUGAUGCAAUCCAUGAGCCAAAACACUGCAACCAUUCUACUUUUUCCUUGGAGGAAAGCAGAAAGUUGACAAGUACUGGUCAUUGCCACUCAACUCAAUGUGGCGAAGAUCAUAUUCACAAUGAAUCGUUAGGAGAAACGUUUGCCACAAGAUGUGAUCAUCAGCACCACCAUAAUCAAGAUAAACAAUCAGCCCCUCAUCAUACGACGACUGAUGUUGUAGCGGGUUGCAACCACACAGAAUCGGCUGCAACGAAUUCUUGCAUUGGCUCCCGGACAGCGGAAAAGGAAGCAUGUUGCUCGGAAUUAGUAGCAAUUCAUGCUUGUGUGUUGGAGAAAAGAGAAGUCGGUGGGUGCUGCAAAAGCUACAUGAAGGAAUGCUGUGGUGGUCAUGGGCAUAUUGGUUCUAGCUUUCAGGGUUGUUUUUCAGAAAUCACAAUUGAAUAGAUGUAACUGGCUGAAAAUAAGUAUACAUAUUAUAUACGUGCUUUAUAUAUAUUUAUGAAAUUAAGAAUUUAGGAACUUUUCCGUUAAAUGACAAUGGCAUGAGAAGAAAGCAUAAGCAUUCAAUGAGUUGAAAUUUUUUAUAUUGUAGCUACAUGUACACCAGAUGUUUUGCCGCAACGAUAUGGCAGAAGCUGUGUCACGAGGAUCCGCUGUUGUUAAACGAUCUUGUAGGUGAUGGGAUUUUGAGGGAUUGUAAUGGAGGAAUAGCUCCUGAUAUCACCUGUCUUUGCGACGAAAUGAAGUUGGGGGAGGAGGUACAGUGAACAGCCGCUGUUGUGAACAUUGAGUUCUGAAGAACUAGUCAACUAAACAGCAACACAAGGAAUGAAAUUGAGGGAGCUGAAGUGCUCAUCUUGUAGGAAACAAUGUCAAGCGUAGCCGCCCUAACAGCCGUGGGGAUUUUGCGCUGGCGUUGCCCGGGCAAUGUUGGAGUAACAUGUUUUCUUACACAUCAACAUGGAUUUUGUAGCGUAUACUGAAUAAUCAAUAAAGCCAUUUGAUUUCAAGAAACUUGCAUUUGAAUUUUGACAUGGAUAAAAAAGAAUUAAUGGUACAGAUCACUUACGUAAACUACUUGAAGCUAACAGCCGGAAGUUUACUGCUCAGGUUCACUAUCCAUUCACGAAUAAUUGAAUUCACUUCACCGGGCACUUCGUCGUGCGGGCAAUGACCUAAUUUCAAGAACAAUGAAAGGAAUAAACUUGUAUGAAACUUUUGAGCAUAAACACAGCAUACAACAAUGGAAAUAUUUUACACACCGGCAUCCAACUCCUUGACGAUGAACCCAGCACAAUGCUCUUUAAGCAUAGCCACUGUUGACUUGGAGUCCGAUAUUGGAUCUCUCAUUCCCUAACCGAGACAGACAGACAAAACAGUAGGAUUAAGGGGUUUUAAACAAAAUCAAAAGAGAAGAGAGAUUUCUCUCUGCUUGUUAAGACUUAAUAAUUUACCUGUAUAAUCAUAACUUUGUCCUUGAAUUCAUCCAAGAGAUAAUUAAGAGGGAUUGAGAGAUUGAAGCUAAAAACGCUUUCAAGGACCACUGCCACCCCGGGAUCGUAUGACUUUCAAGUUACGUUAAGGAGACUUUUGACUAGUUACAUGUUUUUUAAUUUGUAUAAGAAAAAUCAACUGUGAUUGCUAGUUCCUAGAGAAAAAUAAAAUUACUUCACAUGGAAGAGGAUACUGCUCUUAGCAUUUCAUCAAUAAGCCAACUGUCAACUCGCUCUGUUUUCUGCAGAGAAAAGGUAGUAAAACACACAAACGAAAACUACGAAAGUGAAACAUAUUCGAAAAAAAGACAGUACAGAUACUUACAGAUGGGUAGCAAUUCUUCACUAUGUCCUUGAGUGUCAACCUUAAGUAGAACAAAAGGAAUUUAGCACCUAGCCAUGAAGCACCCGAAGUUCUUCUCUCCUGAAACAGAAAACUAUAUUAUGAGACUGUCAAAAUCGUACGAAAGAAGGGGAUCUUGCACGUUUUUAAUCAAGCUUACUUUGGCGAACAACACAGAGGAAUAUCCUGGAAUAACAUUCCCACCACUGUUGAUAAGAACCACAGAUUUGACCAAAGCAGGCCAAAGACGAGCGACAAUUGCAAUAAUAUAACCUGGAGACAGAAAAUCGUAACAAAUAACAAUAGAUACACAACGGAUAUGCACACUGGAGAAUAAAAGCUAAAAAUUAAGGCAGAUAAGCCACCAGAACUUUUUAGGUAAGUUGUAAGACAUUGUUUAGGUAAGUUGAUCAUCUCGUUUCUAGUUUAAAUCGUACCACCAAUUGAGUUCCCAACCAGAUGUGCUGGUUCACCCACAACUUCAAUAAUGAAAUCUCUAAGCAUUGCCCACACGAGUUCAGUGUAUUCAAUAUUUGGCUUUUCCGAUUUGCCAAAUCCUAAUAGCGUGAUGGCCCAUACUCUGUUUCCACCUUCAGCAAUGGCGCGUAUGUUGUCACGGUAAUGCUCCAAGAAGGCUCCAAAACCAUGAACCAGAAGA
rnacentral:lncRNA from 1 species